GUUGUAACACCCUCGAUGCGACUAUAUCUCCCACGUGUCGAGGCACGACUUAGAGGCAUAAUCGCAUUGAAGGCAAUGUCGCAAGUGAGGUAAUCUUCACACAACCCAUGUAAUAUAAUAGGGGAAAAAGUUACAUAGUUGGCUUACACUCGCCACUUCACACAAUUACAUGAAUAAAACAUUACAUCAACCAAGUACAAUCAGGGCCCGACUACGGAGCCAAAAUAAAAGAAGAACCCCAAAUGCGACAAAGAUCCCCGAUCGACCCCAACUGGGCUCCACUACUGAUCAACUAGAACGAAACAACACAAAUGAACAAGGUCUUCAUCGAGCUCCUCCCGAGCUUGGUUGCGUCAUCUGGACGGUCUCAUCGGCACCUGCAAACUGGUUUUGGAAGUAUCUGUGAGCCACAGGGACUCAGCAAUCUCGCACCCUCGCGAUCAAGACUAUUUAAGCUUAUGGGUAAGGUGAAGGUAUGAGGUGGAGCUGCAGCAAGCGACUAACAUAUAUGGUGGCUAACCUAUUCGCAAAAGAGAGCGAGAAGAGAAGGCAAAGCACGGUCGAUAAAAGUAUGAUCAAGAAGUGAUCCUGGACUACCUACGCCAAGCAUAACUCCAACAACCGUGUUCACUUCCCGGACUCCGCCGGAAAGAGACCAUCACGGUUACACACGCUGUUGAUUCAUUUUAAUUAAGGUCAACUUUAGGUUUUCUACAACCGGACGUUAACAAAUUCCCAUCUGCCCAUAACCACGGGCACGGCUUUCGAAAGAUCAAAUCCAUGCAGGGUGUCCCAACUUAGCCCAUGACAAGCUCUCACGGUCAACGAAGGAAUAGACCUCCACCCGAGAUAUUCCGAUCAAACUCGGUAUCCCAGUACAACAAGACAUUUCGACAGGGUAAAACUAAACCAGCAACACCGCCCGAUGCGCCGACAUCCUGAUAGGAGCUGCACAUAUCUCGUUCUCAGGGCAACACCGGAUGAACACUACGUACAGCUAAAACCAGCCCUCAAGUUUCCCCGAGGUGGCGCCGCAAGUGGCUCUAGUUUGGACCAACGCUUAGACAAGCACUGGCCCGGGGGGUUAAAAUAAAGAUGACCCUCGGGAUGCGCGACUCCCAAGGGAAAAAGGCUAGGUGGCAAAUGGUAAAACCAAUGUUGGGCAUUGCUGGCAAAGCUUUACUUAAGGCGAAGUGUCAAGGGGUUCCCAUUAUAGCCCAACCGCGUAAGGGACGCAAAAUCCGGGAACAUAACACCGAUAAGACGGAAACUAGGGCGGCAAGAGUGGAACAAAACACCAGGCAUAAGGCCGAGCCUUCCACCCUUUACCAAGUAUAUAGAUGCAUUAAUUAAAUACGAUAUAUAGUGAUAUCCCAACAAGUAAAACAUGUUCCAACAAGGAACAACAUCUCCAUGUUCCAACAAGGAACAAUCUUCAAACUUCACCUGCAACUAACAACGCUAUAAGAGGGGCGGAGCAAAGCGGUAACAUAGCCAAUCAACGGUUUGCUAGGACAUGGUGGGUUAGGGGCUGAACAUGGCAAUUUGGGAGGCUGACAAGCAAGUGGUAGGCAUCGUAGCAAUGGCAUAGCAAAAGAGCGAGCAAACUAGCAUAGCAAAGAUAGUAGUGAUUUCGAGGGUAUGAUCAUCUUGCCUGAAAUCUCGCAAGGAAGAAGAACGAGUCCAUGAAGAAGACAAACGGACGAAGAUGAACGGGUCCUCACAAACUCGACGUUAUCGGAAUCAACCCGAAGAAGCAAUCACCGGAAAAGAAGCACACAACAUAGUAAACAACCAACACAUCAACAUGGCAUGAUGCACAAACGAGUAUGAUGCAUGUCCGGUUUAAAGAGGCAUGGCAUGGCAAAAUGCACAAGCAAUCCUACAAAUUAAGUGGAGCUCAAUAUGCAACGAGUUGCAUAUUGACGAAACACCACAUCAAUUAUUUAGUUCUCUCUCGUUUAUGUACCCAACAAUAUUAAAUGUUGAUUAACAUGGCAAGAGGUGAAACAUGAUGAAACUAUCUAAUCUAGGCAUGUUUAAAUGAGCCGGAACAACAAAACAACAAGUCCGGAAAAUCCCCAUGUGCAAAUAUUAGGUUUGGUCCUGAUCUGUCCUAAACACAAUUUUAGAGUUGUUUAACAUGCAAAGUAAGGUCACCAUGAUAAACUAGGCAAAAUUCUACCCCAUUUACAUAUAAAGUUUAUUAAAUUCCGAGUUACGGUUAUUAAGUUAUGAAUAAAAUCAUUUUAGCAUGACAUAGAGCAAAAUUAAUGCAAACAACAUUUUAGACAUUUUAACAUGGCAAGAAAGUGGCAUAUUAUUAAUCUACACAAAAUUCUGAGCAAGUUUCAUUUAUAAAGCAUUUUAAUCCGAUGCACGGUUAAUUAGUUAUUAAAUGCAUGAAGACUAGGGGCUUUUCUGUAAAUCUGCAAAUCCCUGUAAAUAGAUAAAUCGCUGAACAGGAAAAAAAAACGAGUCAUGGGAUGAUUCUGAAACAGGGCAGGCGGUGGGGGCUCUCUCACCACGGGCUUCGGCCCGGUAGCAGGAGGAGGAGGCAGGCCGGCGAUGCUGGGUCUCGGAUCUGGUUGGCGGCCCAGCAGAGAGGAGGGACUGGCGCUGGGCCUGGUGGAGCUGGGCCGGAUCGGGCGAAGGGGAGGCGGCCCGCGCGAGAGGGAUCUCGUCCCCGACCUCCCGCCGAGGCCGAGGCGAGCCAUGGUGGCGGCGGCAGGGUCCGGUGGUGGCCUGAGGCGGCGGGGCGAGGCGACACCGGCAGGAAUGGACAGAUCGGGAACUAGGGAAGCUGGAUCCGGUGUCGAGGGUGGUCGACGGCGCUCGGGGAUGCGGGAUCCGGCAGGGCGGAGCUCUCAUGGCGGCGCAAGUCGACGGGGCUUGGCAGGGAGCAAGGUGGUGCGGCCGGGAGGCCAGCGCGGAAGGAGGCGGUGCCUCUCCAGCGAAGUCCGGUAGGGGAGGCGGCGAUGCGGGCUCUGGAUCGGGGCUCCUCCCGAUCUGGAGCUCGGGGAGCAGGGGUGGCGCGAUGCGGCCUCAGGGCCCAGAUCGGGGCCCGGGCGGCCUGGAGCGGGCCUGGCGGCGCGGGGCGAUGGGAGGAGGCGGUGGGGCGACGUGGCAGCGCCCGGUUGGGCAGGGCGACGCCUCAGGUGGCGGCUGGCCUCUUGGCAGCGCCCCAAGUGGCGACGGGGAGGUGGCUGCGCGCGGAAAUCAAGGAGAAGGAGGUGGGAGGCGGCUGGGAAAUGAUUGGGGCACUGAGAUUUAGGAGGAGGGGUAGGUAGCUGCCCAAAAUGGAAGGGGGAAGGUUUAUAUAGGGCAGGUUUUAGGGUUAGGGGGGUUUCGCUCCGUUUCUGGAUCCUCCGAUCGCAAACGAACGGCCCCGGUCAAAGGGGAAAACUAGAUGGGGUUUGUGGGCUGUGUAGGAGGGUUAGGCUGGGAGGAGAGGGGAGAGAUGCAGCCCGGCACAGUUUCCGGAGACCGAAAACCUGCGACGAAAAGACCGGCUACUAUUGCCGCUAUAUUUAAUCAUUGGGGCAUCAAACGAACUCCGAUUGCGAUGAAACUUGACAGGAGGUCUAUCUACACUAUAAUAAGACCACACGUCAAAUCUCAUCCCAUUCCGAGAACAUUUUCUGGCCACUUAUAAAAUACUAUCUCGGACAUGCCGCGGGCGCGUGCAAGUGUGUCUCGUCUCAGAAUGGACAACGGAGAGAACGAGGAGGCCGGGACGGAUGCAAGUUUUGAAAACAUGAUGACGCAAUGCACAUGAUGACAUGAUGAAAUGCAACACGCAAGCAAAUGACAUGGCAACGACGGCGAAUAACUGCACGACACCUGGCACAUCGGUCUCGGGGCGUUACACUAGUGAUCUUGUCAACCAUCAACACUUGAUGUUUUUCUUGAUUUCUACCUUCGUUUAUUUCAGCAUCACGAAGAGCUUGGGAGUUGUUUCCGCUAUCCCUUGCUUAUUAUAGUUCAUCACGAAGUUCUACUAACUUGGUGAUGGUGACUAGAGAAUUCUGUCAAUCACUAUCUUAUCUGGAAGAUUGACUCCCACUUGAUUCAAGCGAUUGUAGUACCCAGACAAUCUGAGCACAUGCUCACUAGUUGAGCGAUUCUCCUCCAUCUUUUAGCUAUAGAACUUGUUGGAGAUUUCAUAUCUCUCAACUCGGGUAUUUUCUUGAAAUAUUAACUUCAACUCCUGGAACAUCUCAUAUGGUCCAUGACGUUCAAAACGUCUUUAAAGUCCCGAUUCUAAGCCACUAAGCAUGAUGCACUAAACUAUCAAGUAGUCAUUUUUGGGGAACGUAGUAAUUUCAAAAAAUUUCCUACGCACACGCAAGAUCAUGGUGAUGCAUAGCAACGAGAGGGGAGAGUGUUGUCUACGUACCAACGCAGACCGACUGCGGAAGCGAUCACACAACGUAGAGGAAGUAGUCGUACGUCUUCUUUCCGAUCCGACCGAUCCAAGCACCGUUACUCCGGCACCUCCGAGUUCUUAGCACACGUACAGCUCGAUGACGAUCCCCGGGCUCCGAUCCAGCAAAGCUUCGGGGAGGAGUUCCGUCAGCACGACGGCGUGGUGACGAUCUUGAUGUUCUGCCGACGCAGGGCUUCGCCUAAGCACUACAACGGUAUGACCGAGGUGGAAUAUGGUGGCAGGGGCACUGCACACGGCUAAGGGACGAUCUCAAGGAUCAACUUGUGUGUCUAUGGGGUGCCCCUUGCCUCAGUAUAUAAAGGAUGGAGGAGGAGGAGGCCGGCCAAGGCAUAAGGUGCGGCCAGGAUGGGAGUCCUACUAGGACUCCAAGUCCUAGUAGGAGUCCAUCAAGAGGGGAGGAAGGGAGAAGGAAGUGGAGGAGUAGGAAAGGUGGCCGGCCCCCUUUUCCCUAGUCCAAUUCGGACUAGAGGGGAGGGGGGGCGCAGCAGGCCUUUUCUCCUCUUCCCACUAAAGCCCAUCAAGGCCCAAUACUUCUCCCAGCGAAUUCCCGUCACUCUCCGGUACUCCGAAAAAUACCCGAAUCACUCGGAACCUUUCCGAAGUCCGAAUAUAGUCGUCCAAUAUAUCGAUCUUUACGUCUCGACCAUUUCGAGACUCCUCGUCAUGUCCCCGAUCUCAUCCGGGACUCUGAACUCCUUCGGUACAUCAAAACUCAUAAACUCAUAAUAUAACUGUCAUCGAAACCUUAAGCGUGCGGACCCUACGGUUCGAGAACAAUGUAGACAUGACCGAGACACGUCUCCGGUCAAUAACCAAUAGCGGGACCUGGAUGCCCAUAUUGGCUCCUACAUAUUCUACGAAGAUCUUUAUCGGUCAAACCGCAUAACAACAUACGUUGUUCCCUUUGUCAUCGGUAUGUUACUUGCCCGAGAUUCGAUCGUCGGUAUCCAAUACCUAGUUCAAUCUCGUUACCGGCAAGUCUCUUUACUCAUUCCGUAAUACAUUAUCUCGCAACUAACUCAUUAAUUGCAAUGCUUGCAAGGCUUAUGUGAUGUGCAUUACCGAGAGGGCCCAGAGAUACCUCUCCGACAAUCGAAGUGACAAAUCCUAAUCUCGAAAUACGCCAACCCAACAUCGACCUUUGGAGACACCUGUAAUGCUCCUUUAUAAUCACCCAGUUACGUUGUGACGUUUGGUAGCACCCAAAGUGUUCCUCCGGCAAACGGGAGUUGCAUAAUCUCAUAGUCAUAGGAACAUGUAUAAGUCAUGAAGAAAGCAAUAGCAACAUACUAAACGAUCGUGUGCUAAGCUAAUGGAAUGGGUAAUGUCAAUCAGUUCAUUCAACUAAUGAUGUGAUCUCGUUAAUCAAAUAACAACUCUUUUGUCCAUGGUUAGGAAACAUAAUCAUCUUUGAUUAACGAGCUAGUCAAGUAGAGGCAUACUAGUGACACUCUGUUUGUCUAUGUAUUCACACAUGUAUUAUGUUUCCGGUUAAUACAAUUCUAGCAUGAAUAAUAGACAUUUAUCAUGAUAUAAGGAAAUAAAUAAUAACUUUAUUAUUGCCUCUAGGGCAUAUUUCCUUCAGUCUCCCACUUGCACUAGAGUCAAUAAUCUAGAUCACAUCACCAUGUGAUUAACAUCGAUAGUUCACAUCAUCAUGUGAUUAACACCCAUAGUUCACAUCGUCAUGUGACCAACACUCAAAGGGUUUACUAGAGUCAGUAAUCUAGUUCACAUCUCUAUGUGAUUAACACCCAAAGAGUACUAAGGUGUGAUCAUGUUUUGCUUGUGAGAUAAUUUUAGUCAACGGGUCUGUCACAUUCAGAUUCGUAAGUAUUUUGCAAGUUCUAUGUCUACAAUGCUCUACAUGGAGCUACUCUAGCUAAUUGCUCCCACUUUCAAUAUGUAUCCAGAUUGAGACUUAGAAUCAUCUGGAUCAGUGUCAAAAACUUGCAUCGACGUAACCCUUUACGAUGAACCUUUUUGUCACGUCCAUAAUCGAGAAACAUAUCCUUAUUUCACUAAGGAUAAUUCUGACCGCUGUCUAGUGAUCUACUCCUAGAUCACUAUUGUACUCCCUUGCCAAAUCAGUGCAGGGUAUACAAUAGAUCUGGUAUACAGCAUGACAUACUUUAUAGAACCUAUGGCCAAGGCAUAGGGAAUGACUUUCAUUCUCUUUCUAUCUUCUGCCGUGGUCGGGCUUUGAGUCUUACUCAACUUCACACCUUAUAAUACAGGCAAGAACUCUUUCUUUGACUGCUCCAUUUUGAACUACUUCAAAAUCUUGUCAAGGUAUGUACUCAUUGAAAAUACUUAUCUAGCGUCUUGAUCUAUCUCUAUAGAUCUUGAAGCUCAAUAUGUAAGCAGCUUCACCGAAGUCUUUCUUUGAAAAACUCCUUUCAAACACUCCUUUAUGCUUUACAGAAUAAUUCUACAUUAUUUCCGAUCAACAAUAUGUCAUUCACAUAUACUUAUCAGAAAUGUUGUAGUGCUCCCACUCAGUUUCUUGUAAAUACAGGCUUCACCGCAAGUCUGUAUAAAACUAUAUGCUUUGAUCAACUCAUCAAGGCGUAUAUUCCAACUCCGAGAUGCUUGCACCAGUCCACAGAUGGAUCGCUGGAGCUUGCACAUUUUGUUAGCACCUUUCGGAUUGACAAAACCUUCUGUUGCAUCAUAUACAACUCUUCUUUAAUAAAUCCAUUAAGGAAUGCAGUUUUGUUUAUCCAUUUGCCAGAUUUCAUAAAAUGCGGCAAGUACUAACAUGAUUCGGACAGACUCAAGCAUAGAUACGAGUGAGAAGCUCUCGUCGUAGUCAACACCUUGAACUUGUCGAAAACCUUUUGCGACAAUUCUAGCUUUGUAGAUAGUAACACUACUAUCAACGUCCGUCUUCCUCUUGAAGAUCCAUUUAUUCUCAAUUGCUUGCCGUUCAUCGGGCAAGUCAACCAAAGUCCAAACUUUGUUCUCAUACAUGGAUCAUAUCUCAGAUUUCAUGGCCUCAAACCAUUUCGCGGAAUCUAGGCUCAUCAUCGCUUCCUCAUAGUUCGUAGGUUCGUCAUGGUCAAGUAACAUGACCUCCAGAACAGGAUUACCGUACCACUCUGGUGCGGAUCUCACUCUGGUUUACCUACAAGAUUCGGUAGUAAUUUGAUCUGAAGUUACAUGAUCAUCAUCAUUAGCUUCCUCACUAAUUGGUGUAGUAGUCACAAGAACAGAUUUUUGUGAUGAACUACUUUCCAAUAAGGUAGAAGGUACAAUUACCUUAUCAAGUUUUCUACUUUCCUCCCACUUAGUUCUUUCAAGAGAAACUCCUUCUCUAGAAAGGAUCCAUUAUAAGCAACGAAUGUCUUGCCUUAGGAUCUGUGAUAGAAGGUGUACCCAACAGUCUCCUUUGGGUAUCCUAUGAAGACAUAUUUCUCCGAUUUGGGUUUGAGCUUAUCAGGAUGAAUUUUUUUUCUCAUAAGCAUCGCAACCCCAAACUUCAAGAAACGACAACUUUGGUUUCUUGCCAAACCAUAGUUCAUAAGGCAUCGUCUCAACGGAUAUAGAUGGUGCCCCUUUUUUUUAACGUGAAUGCAACUGUCUCUAAUGCAUGACCCCAAAAAUGAUAGUGGUAAAUCGGUAAGAUACAUCAUAGAUUGCACUAUAUCCAAUAAAGUACGGUUAUGAUGUUCGGACACACCAUUAUGCUGUGGUGUUCCAGGUGGCGUGAGUAGUGAAACUAUUUCACAUUGUUUUAACUGAAGACCAAACUCGUAACUCAAAUACUCUUUUCCACGAUCAGAUCGUAGAAACUUUAUUUUCUUGUUACGAUGAUUUUCCACUUCACUCUGAAAUUAUAUGAACUUUUCAAAUGUAUCAGACUUCUAUUUCAUUAAGUAGAUAUACCCAUAUCUGCUCAACUCAUCUGUGAAGGUCAGAAAAUAAUGAUACCCGCUGCAAGCCUUAAAUAUUCAUAGGACCACAUACAUCAGUAUGUAUGAUUUCCAACAAAUCUGUUGCUUGCUCCAUUGUUCCGGAGAACGGCGUUUUAGUCAUCUUGCCCAAAAGGCAUGGUUCGCAAGCAUCAAGUGAUUCAUAAUCAAGUGAUUCCGAAAGCCCAUCAGCAUGGAGUUUCUUCAUGCGCUUUAUACCAAUAUGACCUAAACGGCAGUGCCACAAAUAAGUUGCACUAUCAUUAUUAACUUUGCAUCUUUUGGUUUCAAUAUUAUGAAUAUGUGUAUCACUACGAUUGAGAUCCAACGAACUUGUUUCAUUGGUGUAUGACCAUCGAAGGUUUUAUUCAUGUAAACAGAACAACAAUUAUUCUCUGACUUUAAUGAAUAACCGUAUUGCAAUAAACAUGAUCAAAUCAUAUUCAUGCUCAACGCAAAAACCAAAUAACACUUAUUUAAGUUCAACACUAAUCCCGAAAGUAUAGGGGAGUGUGCGAUGAUGAUCAUAUCAAUCUUGGAACUACUUCCAACACACAUCGUCACUUCACCCUUAACUAGUCUCUGUUUAUUCUGCAACUCCUAUUUCGAGUUACUACUCUUAGCAACUGAACCAAUAUCAAAUACUGAGGGGUUGCUAUAAACACUAGUAAAGCACACAUCAAUAACAUGUAUAUCAAAUAUACUUUUGUUCACUUUGCCAUCCUUCUUAUCCGCCAAAUACUUGGGGCAGUUCCGCUUCCAGUGACCAGUCCCUUUGCAGUAGAAGCACUUAGUCUCAGGCUUAGGACCAGACUUGGGCUUCUUCACUUGAGCAGCAACUUGCUUGCCGUUCUUUUUGAAGUUCCCUUCUUCCCUUUUGCACUUUUCUUCAAACUAGUGGUCUUGUCAACCAUCAACACUUGAUGUUUUUCUUGAUUUCUACCUUCAUCGAUUUCAGCAUCACGAAGAGCUUGGGAAUCGUUUCCGUUAUCCCUUGCAUAUCAUAGUUCAUCACGAAGUUCUACUAACUUGGUGAUGGUGACUAGAGAAUUCUGUCAAUCACUAUCUUAUCUGGAAGAUUAACUCCCACUUGAUUCAAGCGAUUGUAGUACCCAGACAAUCUGAGCACAUGCUCACUAGUUGAGCGAUUCUCCUUCAUCUUUUAGCUAUAGAACUUGUUGGAGACUUCAUAUCUCUCAACUCGGGUAUUUGCUUGAAAUAUUAACUUCAACUCCUGGAACAUCUCAUAUGGUCCAUGACGUUCAAAACGUCUUUGAAGUCCCGAUUCUAAGCCAUUAAGCAUGGUGCACUAAACUAUCAAGUAGUCAUCAUAUUGAGCUAGCCAAACGUUCAUAACGUCUGCAUCUGCUCCUGCAAUAGGUUUGUCACCUAGCGGUGCAUCAAGGACAUAAUUUUUCUGUGCAGCAAUGAGGAUAAACCUCAGAUCACGGAUCCAAUCCGUAUCAUUGCUACUAACAUCUUUCAACACAAUUUUCUCUAGGAACAUAUCAAAAUAAACAUAUGAAAGCAACAACGCGAGCUGUUGAUCUUCAACAUAGAUAUGCUAAUACUACCAGGACUAAGUUCAUGAUAAAUUAAAGUUCAAUUAAUCAUAUUACUUAAGAACUCCCACUUAGAUAGACAUCCCUCUAAUCCUCUAAGUGAUCACGUGAUCCAAAUCAACUAAACCAUAACCGAUCAUCACGUGAGAUGGAGUAUUUUUCAAUGGUGAACAUCGUUAUGUUGAUCAUAUCUACUAUAUGAUUCACGCUCGACCUUUCGGUCUCUGUGUUCCGAGGCCAUAUCUGCAUAUGCUAGGCUCGUCAAGUUUAACCUGAGUAUUCUGCGUGUGCAAAACUGGCUUGCACCCGUUGUAGAUGGACGUAGAGCUUAUCACACCCGAUCAUCACGUGGUGUCUGGGCACGACGAACUUUGGCAACGGUGCAUACUUAGGGAGAACACUUCAUGAUAAUUUAGUGAGCGAUCAUCUUAUAAUGCUACCGUCAAUCAAAGCAAGAUAAGAUGCAUAAAAGGAUAAACAUCACAUGCAAUCAAUAUAAGUGAUAUGAUAUGGCCAUCAUCAUCUUGUGCUUGUGAUCUCCAUCUCCGAAGCACCGUCAUGAUCACCAUCGUCACCGACGCGACACCUUGAUCUCCAUCGUAGCAUCGUUGUCGUCUCGCCAAUCUUAUGCUUCCACGACUAUCACUACCGCUUAGUAAUAAAGUAAAGCAUUACAUCGCGAUUGCAUUGCAUACAAUAAAGCGACAACCAUAUGGCUCCUGCCAGUUGCCGAUAACUUGGUUACAAAACAUGAUCAUCUCAUACAAUAAAAUCAGCAUCAUGCCUUGACCAUAUCACAUCACAACAUGCCCUGCAAAAACAAGUUAGACAUCCUCUACUUUGUUGUUGCAAGUUUUACGUGACUGCUACGGGCUUAAGUAAGAAGUCAUCUCACCUACGCAUCAAAACCACAACGAUAGUUCGUCAAAUAGACUCCGUUUUAACCUUCUCAAGGACCGGGCGUAGCCAUACUCGGUUCAACUAAAGUUGGAGAGACAGUCGCCCGCAAGCCAUCUAUGUGCUAAGCACGUCGAGGGAAUCGGUCUCGCGUAAGCGUACGCGUAAGGUUGGUCCGGGUCGUCUCGUCCAACAAUACCGCCGAACCAAAGUAUGACAUGCUGGUAGGCAGUAUGACUUGUAUCGCCCACAACUCACUUGUGUUCUACUCGUGCAAAUAACAUCAAACCAUAAAACCUAGGCUCGGAUGCCACUGUUGGGGAACGUAGUAAUUUCAAAACAUUUCUUACGCACACGCAAGAUCAUGGUGAUGCAUAGCAACGAGAGGGGAGAUUGUUGUCUACGUACCAACGCAGACCGACUGCGGAAGCGAUCACACAACAUAGAGGAAGUAGUCGUACGUCUUCUUUCCGAUCCGACCGAUCCAAGCACCGUUACUCCGGCACCUCCGAGUUCUUAGCACACGUACAGCUCGAUGACGAUCCCCGGGCAUCGAUCCAGCAAAGCUUUGGGGAGGAGUUCCGUCAGCACGACGGCGUGGUGACGAUCUUGAUGUUCUACCGACGCAGGGCUUCGCCUAAGCACUACAACGGUAUGACCGAGGUGGAAUAUGGUGGCAGGGGCAUCGCACACGGCUAAGGGACGAUCUCAAGGAUCAACUUGUGUGUCUAUGGGGUGCCCCUUGCCUCAGUAUAUAAAGGAUGGAGGAGGAGGAGGCCGGCCAAGGCAUAAGGUGCGGCCAGGAUGGGAGUCCUACUAGGACUCCAAGUCCUAGUAGGAGUCCAUCAAGAGGGGAGGAAGGGAGAAGGAAGUGGAGGAGUAGGAAAGGUGGCCGGCCCCUUUUCCCUAGUCCAAUUCGGACUAGAGGGGAGGGGGGCGCAGCAGGCCUUUUCUCCUCUUCCCACUAAAGCCCAUCAAGGCCCAAUACUUCUCCCAGCGAAUUCCCGUAACUCUCCGGUAGUCCGAAAAAUACCCGAAUCACUCGGAACCUUUCCGAAGUCCGAAUAUAGUCGUCCAAUAUAUCGAUCUUUACGUCUCGACCAUUUCGAGACUCCUCGUCAUGUCCCCGAUCUCAUCCGGGACUCCGAACUCCUUCGGUACAUCAAAACUCAUAAACUCAUAAUAUAACUGUCAUCGAAACCUUAAGCGUGCGGACCCUACGGUUCGAGAACAAUGUAGACAUGACCGAGACACGUCUCCGGUCAAUAACCAAUAGCGGGACCUGGAUGCCCAUAUUGGCUCCUACAUAUUCUACGAAGAUCUUUAUCGGUCAAACCGCAUAACAACAUACGUUGUUCCCUUUGUCAUAGGUAUGUUACUUGCCCGAGAUUCAAUCGUCGGUAUCCAAUACCUAGUUCAAUCUCGUUACCGGCAAGUCUCUUUACUCGUUCCGUAAUACAUCAUCUUGCAACUAACUCAUUAAUUGCAAUGCUUGCAAGGCUUAUGUGAUGUGCAUUACCGAGAGGGCCUAGAGAUACCUCUCCGACAAUCGGAGUGACAAAUCCUAAUCUCGAAAUACGCCAACCCAACAUCGACCUUUGGAGACACCUGUAAUGCUCCUUUAUAAUCACCCAGUUACGUUGUGACGUUUGGUAGCAGCCAAAGUGUUCCUCCGGCAAACGGGAGUUGCAUAAUCUCAUAGUCAUAGGAACAUGUAUAAGUCAUGAAGAAAGCAAUAGCAACAUACUAAACGAUCGUGUGCUAAGCUAAUGGAAUGGGUCAUGUCAAUCAGAUCAUUCAACUAAUGAUGUGAUCUCGUUAAUCAAAUAACAACUCUUUUGUCCAUGGUUAGGAAACAUAAUCAUCUUUGAUUAACGAGCUAGUCAAGUAGAGGCAUACUAGUGACACUCUGUUUGUCUAUGUAUUCACACAUGUAUUAUGUUUCCGGUUAAUACAAUUUUAGCAUGAAUAAUAAACAUUUAUCAUGAUAUAAGGAAAUAAAUAAUAACUUUAUUAUUGCCUCUAGGGCAUAUUUCCUUCAGUCAUCAUAUUGAGCUAGCCAAACGUUCAUAACGUCUACAUCUGCUCCUGCAAUAGGUCUGUCACCUAGCGGUGCAUCAAGGACAUAAUUCUUCUGUGCGGCAAUGAGGAUAAACCUCAGAUCACGGAUCCAAUCUGCAUCAUUGCUACUAACAUCUUUCAACACAAUUUCCUCUAGGAACAUAUCAAAACAAACACAGGGAAGUAACAACGCGAGCUAUCGAUCUACAACAUAAUUUGCAAAAUACUACCAGGACUAAGUUCAUGAUAAAUUUAAGUUCAAUUUAAUCAUAUUACUUUAAGAACUCCCACUUAGAUAGACAUCCCUCUAAUCCUCUAAGUGAUCACGUGAUCCAAAUUAACUAAACCAUAACCGAUCAUCACGUGAGAUGGAGUAGUUUUCAAUGGUGAACAUCGUUAUGUUGAUCAUAUCUACUAUAUGAUUCACGCUCGACCUUUCGGUCUCCGUGUUCCGAGGCCAUAUCUGUGAAGGAAAUAUGCCCUAGAGGCAAUAAUAAAGUUAUUAUUUAUUUCCUUAUAUCAUGAUAAAUGUUUAUUAUUCAUGCUAGAAUUGUAUUAACCGGAAACAUAAUACAUGUGUGAAUACAUAGACCAACAUAGUGUCACUAGUAUGCCUCUACUUGACUAGCUCGUUAAUCAAAGAUGGUUAUGUUUCCUAACCAUGAACAAAGAGUUGUUAUUUGAUUAACGAGGUCACAUCAUUAGUUGAAUGAUCUGAUUGACAUGACCCAUUCCAUUAGCUUAGCACCCGAUCGUUUAGUAUGUUGCUAUUGCUUUCUUCAUGACUUAUACAUGUUCCUAUAACUAUGAGAUUAUGCAACUCCCGUUUACCGGAGGAACACUUUGGGUACUACCAAACGUCACAACGUAACUGGGUGAUUAUAAAGGAGUACUACAGGUGUCUCCAAUGGUAGAUGUUGGGUUGGCGUAUUUCGAGAUUAGGGUUUGUCACUCCGAUUGUCGGAGAGGUAUCUCUGGGCCCUCUCGGUAAUGCACAUCACAUAAGCCUUGCAAGCACUGCAACUAAUAUGUUAGUUGUGAGAUGAUGUAUUACGGAACGAGUAAAGAGACUUGCCAGUAACGAGAUUGAACUAGGUAUUGGAUACCGACGAUCGAAUCUCGGGCAAGUAACAUACCGAUGACAAAGGGAACAACGUAUGUUGUUAUGCGGUCUGACCGAUAAAGAUCUUCGUAGAAUAUGUAGGAGCCAAUAUGGGCAUCCAGGUCCCGCUAUUGGUUAUUGACCGGAGACGUGUCUCGGUCAUGUCUACAUUGUUCUCGAACCGUAGGGUCCGCACGCUUAACGUUACGAUGACAGUUAUUAUGAGUUUAUGCAUUUUGAUGUACCGAAGGUUGUUCGGAGUCCCAGAUGAGAUCACAGACUUGACGAGGAGUCUCGAAAUGGUCGAGACGUAAAGAUUGAUAUAUUGGAAGCCUAUGUUUGGACAUAGGAAGUGUUCCGGGUGAAAUCGGGAUUUUACCGGAAUACCGGGAGGGUUACCGGAACCCCCCGGGAGACUAAUGGGCCUAUUGGGCCUUAGUGGAAAAAGAGAAAAGGGGCAACCCAUAGCUGGCCGGCGCCCCCCCUUUCCCCAAGUCCUAGUAGGACUAGGAUAAGGGGCCGGCCCCCCCUUCUCUCUCCUUUUCCCCGAGAGUCCUAAUUGGAAUAGGAUUGGAGGGGGGAGUCCUACUCCCGGUGGGAGUAGGACUCCCCCUGCGCCUCCCUCUCCCUGGCCGGCCGCCCCCCCUCCUCCAACCUUUAUAUACGGGGGCAGGGGACACCCCAAGACACACAAGUUGAUCCUUGAGAUCGUUCCUUAGCCGUGUGCGGUGCCCCCUGCCACCAAAUUCCACCUCGAUCAUACCGUUACAGUGCUUAGGCGAAGCCCUGCGUCGGUAGUACAUCAAGAUCGUCACCACGCCGUCGUGCUGACGGAACUCUUCCUCGACGCUUUGCUGGAUCGGAGCCCGAGGAACGUCAUCGAGCUGAACGUGUGCUAAGAACUCGGAGGUGCCGGAGUAACGGUGCUUGGAUCGGUCGGAUCGGAAAGAAGACGUACGACUACUUCCUCUACGUUGUGUGAUCACUUCCGCAGUCGGUCUGCGUUGGUACGUAGACAACACUCUCCCCUCUCGUUGCUGUGCAUCACCAUGAUCUUGUGUGUGCGUAGGAAAAUUUUCGAAAUUACUGCGUUCCCCAACAAUCUGCAUAUGCUAGGCUCGUCAAGUUUAACCUGAGUAUUCUGCGUGUGCAAAAACUGGCUUGCACCCGUUGUAGAUGGACGUAGAGCUUAUCACACUCUAUCAUCACGUGGUGUCUGGGCACGAUGAACUUUGGCAACGGUGCAUACUCAGGGAGAACACUUCUUGAUAAUUUAGUGAGAGAUCAUCUUAUAAUGCUACCGUCAAUCAAAGCAAGAUAAGAUGCAUAAAAAAGAUAAACAUCACAUGCAAUCAAUUCAAUAUAAGUGAUAUGAUAUGGCCAUCAUAUUCUUGUGCUUGUGAUCUCCAUCUCCGAAGCACCGUCAUGAUCACCAUCGUCACCGGCGCGACACCUUGAUCUCCAUCGUAGCAUCGUUGUCGUCUUGCCAAUCUUAUGCUUCCACGACUAUCGCUACCGCUUAGUGAUAAAGUAAAGCAUUACAUCGCGAUUGCAUUGCAUACAAUAAAACGACAACCAUAUGGCUCCUGCCAGUUGCCGAUAACUCGGUUACAAAACAUGAUCAUCUCAUACAAUAAAAUUUAGCAUCAUGUCUUGACCAUAUCACAUCACAACAUGCCCUGCAAAAACAAGUUAGACGUCCUCUACUUUGUUGUUGCAAGUUUUACGUGGCUGCUACGGGCUUAAGCAAGAACCAAUCUCAGCUACGCAUCAAAACCACAAUGAUAGUUUGUCAAAUAGACUCCGUUUUAACCUUCGCAAGGACCGGGCGUAGCCACACUUGGUUCAACUAAAGUUGGAGAAACAGUCACCCGCAAGCCACCUUUGUGCAAAGCACGUCGGGAGAACCGGUCUCGCGUAAGCGUACGCGUAAUGUCGGUCCGGGCCGCUUCAUCCAACAAUACCGCCGAACCAAAGUAUGACAUGCUGGUAGGCAGUAUGACUUAUAUCGCCCACAACUCACUUGUGUUCUACUCGUGCAUAUAACAUCAAACCAUAAAACCUAGGCUCUGAUACCACUGUUGGGGAACGUAGUAAUUUCAAAAAAUUUCCUACGCACACGCAAGAUCAUGGUGAUGCAUAGCAACGAGGGGGAGAGUCUGAUCUACGUACCCUUGUAGAUCGCAACGGAAGCGUUGACACAACGUAGAGGAAGUAGUCGUACGACUUCUUCCCGAUCCGACCGAUCCAAGCACCAUUACUCCGGCACCUCCAAGUUCUUAGCACACGUACAGCUCGAUGACGAUCCCCGGGCUCCGAUCCAGCAAAGCUCCGGGGAGGAGUUCCGUCAGCACGACGGCGUGGUGACGAUCUUAAUGUACUACCGACGCAGGGCUGCGCCUAAGCACUACAACGGUAUUAUCGAGGUGGAAUAUGGUGGCAGGGGGCACCGCACACGGUUAGGAACGAUCUCAAUGAUCAACUUGUGUGUCUAUGGGGUGCCCCCUGCCCCCGUAUAUAAAGGAGCAAGGGAGGAGGGGCGGCCGGCCUAGGAGUGGGCGCGCCAAGGGGAGUCCUACUCCCACCGGGAGUAGGACUCCUUCUUUCCUUGUCCAACUAGGAGAAGGGGGGAAUGGAGGGAAGUGGAGAAGGAAGGGAGAGGUGGGCCGCGCCCCAAAUCCCUUGUCCAAUUCAGACUAGGCUUGGGAGGGGCGCGCGCCACCUCCUGGCUCCUUCCCACUAAAGCCCAUUAAGGCCCAAUACUCUUCCCCGUAUUCCCGUAACUCCCCGGUACCUCCGAAAAUACCCGAAUCACUCGGAACCUUUCCGAUGUCUGAAUUGUAACACCCUCGAUGCGACUAUAUCUCCCACGUGUCGAGGCACGACUUAGAGGCAUAAUCGCAUUGAAGGCAAUGUCGCAAGUGAGGUAAUCUUCACACAACCCAUGUAAUACAAUAGGGGAAAAAGUUACAUAGUUGGCUUACAAUCGCCACUUCACACAAUUACAUGAAUAAAGCAUUACAUCAUUCAAAUACACUCAAGGUCCGACUACGGAACCAAAAUAAAAGAAGAACCCCAAAUGCGACAAAGGUCCCCGAUCGACCCCAACUGGGCACCACUACUGAUCAACUAGAACGAAACAACAUAAAGGACAAGAUCUUCAACGAGCUCCUCCUGAGCUUGGUUGCGUCAUCUGCACGGACUCAUCGGCACCUGCAAACUGGUUUUGGAAGUAAUCUGUGAGCCAUGGGGACUCAGCAAUCUCGCACCCUCGCGAUCAAGACUAUUUAAGCUUAUGGGUAAGGUAAAGGUAUGAGGUGGAGCUGCAGCAAGCGACUAGCAUAUAUGGUGGCUAACAUACGCAAAUGAGAGCGAGAAGAGAAGGCAAGGCACGGUCGAUAAAGUAUGAUCAAGAAGUGAUCAUGGACUACCUACGUCAAGCAUAACUCCAACAACCGUGUUCACUUCCCGGACUCCGCCGGAAAGAGACCAUCACGGUUACACACGCGGUUGAUUCAUUUUAAUUAAGGUCGACUUCAGGUUUUCUACAACCGGACGUUAACAAAUUCCCAUCUGCCCAUAACCGCGAGCACGGCUUUCGAAAGAUCAAAUCCCUGCAGGGGUGUCCCAACUUAGCCCAUUACAAGCUCUCACGGACAACGAAGGAAUAGACCUCCACCCGAGACAUUCCGAUCAGACUCGGUAUCCCAGUACAACAAGACAUUUCGACAGGGUAAAACUAAACCAGCAACACCACCCGAAUGUGCCAACAAAUCCCGAUAGGAGCUGCACAUAUCUCUUUCUCAGGGCACACCGGAUCGUCCAAACUUCCGGUAGGCCAGCCCAGAGUUGCCCCUGGUGGCCACCGGCGGCUGACAGUUUGGACCAACACUCAGAGGAGCACUGGCCCGGGGGGGGGGGGUAAAUAAUGAUGACCCUUGAGUCUGCAGUACCCAAGGGAAAGAAAAAGGCUAGGUGGCAAAUGGUAAAACCAAUGUUGGGCAUUGCUGGAGAAGCUUUACUUAAGGCGAACUUGUAACACCCUCGAUGCGACUAUAUCUCCCACGUGUCGAGGCACGAUUUUGAGGCAUAAUCGCAUUGAAGGCAUAUGUCACAAGUGAGGUAAUCUUCACACAACCCAUGUAAUAUAACAAGGGAAAGAGAUACAUAGUUGGCUUACAACCGCCACUUCACACAAUUACAUGAAUAAAGCAUUACAUCAAUCAAGUACACUCAUGGUCCGACUACGGAACCAAAAUAAAAGAAGAACCCCAAAUGCGACAACGGUCCCCGAUCGACCCCAACUGGGCUCCACUACUGAUCAACUAGCACGAAACAACACAAAGGACAAGAUCUUCAUUGAGCUCCUCCUGAGCUUGGUAGCGUCAUCUGCUCGGUCUCAUCGGCACCUGCAAGCUGGUUUUGGAAGUAUCUGUGAGCCACAGGGACUCAGCAAUCUCGCACCCUCGCGAUCAAGACUAUUUAAGCUUAUGGGUAAGGCAAAGGUAUGAGGUGGAGCUGCAGCAAGCGACUAGCAUAUAUGGUGGCUAACAUACGCAAAUGAGAGCGAGAAGAGAAGGCAAAGCACGGUCGAUAAAAGUACGAUCAAGAAGUGAUCCUGGACUACCUACGUCAAGCAUAACUCCAACAACCGUGUUCACUUCCCGGACUCCGCCGGAAAGAGACCAUCACGGUUACACACGCGGUUGAUUCAUUUUAAUUAAGGUUGACUUUAGGUUUUCUACAACCGGACGUUAACAAAUUCCCAUCUGCCCAUAACCGCGGGCACGGCUUUCGAAAGAUCAAAUCCCUGCAGGGGUGUCCCAACUUAGCCCAUAACAAGCUCUCACGGUCAACGAAGGAAUAGACCUCCACCCGAGACAUUCCGAUCAGACUCGGUAUCCCAGUACAACAAGACAUUUCGACAGGGUAAAACUAAACCAGCAACACCGCCCGAUGCGCCGACAUCCUGAUGGGAGCUGCACAUAUCUCGUUCUCAGGGAAACACCGGAUGAGACAUCCUACGAGUAAAACCAGCCCUCAAGUUUCCCCGAGGUGGCCCUGUAGUCUACUCAGUUCGGANNNNNNNNNNNNNNNNNNNNNNNNNNNNNNNNNNNNNNNNNNNNNNNNNNNNNNNNNNNNNNNNNNNNNNNNNNNNNNNNNNNNNNNNNNNNNNNNNNNNNNNNNNNNNNNNNNNNNNNNNNNNNNNNNNNNNNNNNNNNNNNNNNNNNNNNNNNNNNNNNNNNNNNNNNNNNNNNNNNNNNNNNNNNNNNNNNNNNNNNNNNNNNNNNNNNNNNNNNNNNNNNNNNNNNNNNNNNNNNNNNNAAAGAGGCUAGGUGGCGAAUGGUAAAACCAAUGUUGGGCAUUGCUGGAGAAGCUUUACUUAAGGCGAACUGUCAAGGGGUUCCCAUUAUAGCCCAACCGCGUAAGGGACGCAAAAUCCGGGAACAUAACACCGAUAUGACGGAAACUAGGGCGGCAAGAGUGGAACAAAACACCAGGCAUAAGGCCGAGCCUUCCACCCUUUACCAAGUAUAUAGAUGCAUUAAAUAAAUAAGAUAUAUAGUGAUAUCCCAACAAGUAAAAAAAUGUCCCAACAAGGAACAACAUCUCCAUGUUCCAACAAGGAACAAGCUUCAAUCUUCACCUGCAACUAACAACGCUAUAAGAGGGGCUGAGCAAAGCGGUAACAUAGCCAAUCAACGGUUUGCUAGGACAAAGGUGGGUUAGAGGCUGGACAUGGCAAUUGGGAGGCUGACAAGCAAGUGGUAGGCAUCAUAGCAAUGGCAUAGCAAAAGAGCGAGCAUCUAGCAAAGCAAAGAUAGAAGUGAUUUCGAGGGUAUGAUCAUCUUGCCUGAAAAUCCCGCAAGGAAGAAGAACGAGUCCAUGAAGAAGACAAACGGGCGAAGUCGAACGGAUCCUCACAAACUCGACGUUAUCGGAACCAACCCGAAGAAGCAAACACCGGAAAAGAGCAAACAACAUAGUAAACAACCAACACAUCAACAUGGCAUGAUGCACAAUCGAGUAUGAUGCAUGUCCGGCUUAAAGGGGGCAUGGCAUGGCAAAAUGCACAAACAAUCCUACAAAUUAAGUGGAGCUCAAUAUGCAACGAGUUGCAUAUUGACGAAACACCACAUCAACUAUUUAGUUCGAUCUCGUUAUGUACCCCAACAAUAUUAAAUGUUGAUUAACAUGGCAAGAGGUGAAGCAAAAGAAAACUACCUAUCUAGUCAAGGUUAAAUGAGGCCGGAAGCAACGAACAACAAUUCCGGUAAAUCCCCAUAGCAUAUUUUAGAUUUGGUACUGAUCUGUCCUAAACACAAUUUUAGAGUUAUUAAACAUGCAAAUAAAGGUCACCAUGAUAAACUAGGCAAAAUUCCACCCCAUUUACAUAUAAAGUUUAUUUAAUUCGGAGCUACGGUUAUUUAGUUAUGAAUAAAAUCAUGUUAGCAUGGCAUAGGAGCAAAUUAAUGCAAACAACAUUUUUAAACAUUUUUAAUUGUUGUUAUCAUGAUGCGGAUGACAUGAACAAGUUUAUGCAAAUUUUAUUAAAAGUUGAUAAGAUCAUUAUGAAGCAUUUGUCACCGUGGUGGAAAGAAGAGGGAUGCCACGGUAACGAAUCCGAAAAUGAUGCCAUGGCAACAUAUCGGUUCUGGUAACUCGAUUGAGAUCCCGGUGCAAAAGAAAAUGCGACGGGAGCGUGACACGCAAUAGGAGGUGGGGUGAUCCCGGAUACCGGGUUCCCACAAGAUGGUGGCAAGGCAAAAGAGGGGCAACGUGCACCGAACAACUCCGACACGGAGCAAACACGAGCAUUUCAUACAUCACACAUGCAUUCAUUCACGGCGGUCGUCCCGGGGUUAUACCUUCGAAGCGAGCAUACUCGGAGGGGUUCGGGUUCGUAGAGGAAGUAGGCGUUCUCGCGACGGCGGUAGUAGUUGUUCACGGGGUCGUCGUGGGAAGUAGGGGUACAUGACGACGUAAAGGUACUCGCGACGGUAGUCGUUCACGUUCACGUUACACGGGUCUUCGGCGACGAUUGUCGUACAUGGUUCGGAGUGGUACUUGCGAUGGUAGUGGUACACGUUUCGUAGAUGUUCGAGCGAUAUCGGUAGCGGUACUUGAUGAAUCCCGAAACGGACUUGGCGUCGUCGUGCGUAGGGGUACUUGGCGUUUUCGGAGAUGAUGGUAGAGGAACACGUUUCGAAGGGGUACUUGGGGUCCUCGAACUUGCCGAUCUCGAAGGGGUACUUGACGUCCAAAGCGUUCAUCAGUAGUAGAACUUGGCGGUCUUGACGGUCGUCGUGGUACUUGACGUAAUCCACGCAAACGGUGCCUGUCCAAGCAUCGAUCUUGACGAAGAUGUACUUGACGAGUUACCCGAACGCGUUAGUCCUCGGACUUGGACUCCGGAGAUGGUGUCGUGGUGGUCCUGCAACAAUAGUCUCCGCAAGGGCGUUGGGGAAGGAGAUGGUCGUGACCGAGGACGAAAACAAGGAGCAGCAGCGCGAGGAGGGCCUUGGCGGCGCUGGUCGUCGGCAUCAGGCCGCGUGUGCUCGAGGAGAGGCCGAGGGCGGCUGGAACCGACCAGAGGCGACGCCCUACGGCGCGGGGACGAGGCAGGAGGCGGCUCGGGAGCACGGCGCGGGGACGACGGCUGCAGGCGUGGGCGCGGGCGCUCCUCUCCUCGGGCUCCUGGGCGACGCGGAGAUAGGUGAGGAGGAGGCGCGGCAGGGUGGCUCCGGCCAGGGGCACGGCGCGGGGUGGUUGGCUUGAGUGAGGGGAGAGGGAGAGACCAUGGAUCGGGCGAGAGGAGAGAGGAGCGUGGGCGCGGGCGCUGGUGAUGGGGAUCGAGCGUGAGGAGCUCCUCUCCCUGGCGAAGCGAGGUGGCGACAGAAAAAAAUGGAGGGGGUCGAGGGAGAUGGGGCGCUAGAUCUGGCCUUUGGCGGCGCGAGGGGAGAGGAUGAGGGAGAGAACAAGGGGAUGAGGUCUCCUCGCGCUAGGUUACAGGAGGAGGAGGCCCGGCCUGGUGGGCUGAGAGGAAAAAAUGGGCCGGCCUCGUUGGGCUCCUUCCCUCUCUCUAAUUCUCUUUCACUUCUUUAUUUCUUGAUUUAACAAAUAAACCGAGGAAUAAGAAAUGUAGAGAGAGAUAGGAGAAGAAUUUGAGCAGGGCGCCAAUUUUCUUGGACUCAUAAAAAUGAGGUUGAUCCAAGAAAAAUACAUUUGACACCGUUUGGAAGGAUUGCAUUCGAACACAUUUGAAUGUGAUUCAAAUGAGUUUGAAUUAGGAAAAACAUUUUGGAGAGUCCAAAAAUGUUCGGAAUAUUGGUGGAGCACCGGAAAAUGGAGAAAGGAUAAAAGCAAAGUUUGGGGACCAAACUCGAAGCGAGAAAAGGCAUUGGGAUUUUAUUUUGCAAGUGUGUUCCGGUUAAUUCCAAAAGAAUGGAAUAUUUAUUAUAGCUCCCUAAUAUUGGGAGGAUAUAUUAUAAAGAGAAGUCAUCCUUCCCUCGAUUUAAAUGGAUCGAAGAUCCAUACGAUUUAUUUAGUUGAGAUGCAAAAGACUAUGACAUGAUGACAUGAUGACAUGAUGCAAUGCACAUGAUGACUUUACAUGAUGCAACACGCAAGCACAUGACAACGCAACAACAUCGAAUAACUGCACGACACCUGGCACAUCGGUCUCGGGGCGUUACAACACUCCACCUCUACGAGAGGAUCUCGUCCCGAGAUCUAGAAUGGCACCGGAGGGAAAAGGAAGAGAAAGAGAAGAGGUAAAACAAAUUGCUUCAUUGACAAACGAGUGAAACCACAACCUUGAGAGGUUGAAUACCUUCGAGACAGAAUUCAACGAAGGUGAACAAGGUCGAAAACAGCCAUUUAGAAAAGAGGAAGAAAGCACAUUGCGAAAAACCUUGAGGUUGAAGGGAAGAUAUAUAUUGAAACUACUCCGGUUAAGACAAGAUAGAGAAGGAAUAAGACUUAUAUAAUUUGGACAGCACUCCGGUUGAGAAGGGAUGCAAAAAUUGAUAAGAUGAGAAAGCUCGAAAGAAAACACGACACUCCGGUUGAAUGGAUAAGCAAAGAAAGAAUACUAUCAUGACAAACCAAGAAGAUGGGUUGAAGAGAGCAACAUCACAAGCCUCCGGAACGAAGGGAAACAAGAUCUUGAGAGAGCACGGUUACCACAAAUGCUAGAACGGAGUUGUUGGAAAACCAACAACGAAAAGAAUAAUCUUGAUAUGGUCUUAUAGAAAAAACAUCUCGAAACUAGAGGUGAUAACCUGCCACUCAUGGGAAAAGAAUUGUAUUGAUAUGAACAAGUAGACGAGAAACUAUAUCACCGGGAGGAUAUAUGAAGAACUUGGAUCAUAUACGAGCACAAUUAUCGCAACAAUCCUUAGGGAAGGAUUUAGGUGAAGUAUAACCCAAGAUAAAUCCAUGACGAGAUUGAUGGAUUUAAAAUAUCUCAUUCUUGACAACAUGUGAAUCAUGAAAAAUGAACUCAAAUUAUCAAGAAUGACACAAUACCACCUCCAAUGAUACGGAAGAAAGAAUAAUUACACUCCGGAUUACGAUAUGAAGAAUGCUUGAGCACCUCUGAAAAGAAACUUGAUGAACACUUCAAGAAGGAAUUAAAUCCUUGGUGAACCAUCAUGUAGAACCUCCAUGAAGAACUCCGUUAAACAGAAGAAUGAUCAAACGGAAAGAAAAGGGAAGUUGAAAACACAAGGUGAAACCUUGUAAUGAUUAGAUGGAACUUCGCGACGAGAUAAUGGGGAAAAGCUUGGAACUCCAGAAAAGAAAGAUGAACAAAUGAAAUCAAGAAUUUGAUGAGCCCCCGGAAUAAAGAAUUAAUCACUUGGAUGAACAAGAAUAAGAAUUACAUUAUGCUUAUCCUUCACCAAUUCAAAUUGACGACAACCAAUGGAAUUUGCAUACUACUUAUUCUCGUAGAAAGGAUUAAGAUAGAUAAUGCGCAAACUUGAAGAGGCCUUCAAUGAUCCACCGGUAGGAUUUGAAAGAACGGAAGUAUGAUAACGUAAGAAGAGGAAACUUGAACAAACCACCGUAAGAGUUAAAAUGAACGAAGAAAAGAUAAAGAAACACCGGGAAGAAUUAUAAAAUGAACAGAGAUUGAGAGGAUUUAGAAACAUGAGAACGAAGAGAUCACGAGUCGACUAAAGAUCACUAGAACAAAGGACGGUGAAAAUAGGAGAAUGAUAACUGACAGCUGAGAAUGAAUAAUCCUGAAUUGAUGGACUCCGGAUAACAAAUUGAGAAGACUCUUGCAUUGCUCCGGAUGGGUAAAAGAAUUCUCACGAUCAAAACAAUUAUGAGAGGAUUGCAACAAUCUCGAAUGACAAAACUUGAAGAGAAUGGAGCAAGGUUGAAAGAAGAAUCGUCUUCGGUCUUCCAAACUGAGAAUGACGAUGAGAAAUACCAUCAAGACUUAUUUAGAUACUCCGGAAGAAUCAAAACGAAGAGGUUGAGCCAACGGUGAAAAGAAUUUAACCGAUCUUGGAGAAAGACAUAUGACUGAUGAUAAUUCAUUCUUACGUCAAACUUCAAAAGGGAUUUAGUAUAACUCCGGUGGAAUAAAAAGAGUCAGGUAAGAUCCUGGGAAAGGACCUAUGGGUUAGGGCCCACUCAAAAGAAACACCGUUGAAUGAUUUAAAAGGAGAGAUUGCACUGGUUGAAUAAUAAAAAAAAGGCUUGAAUGAGAUAAGAACCUCGAAAGAGCUUGAACGAAAGUAGAGUGGAAACACGAAUCUUCUGAGAUAUCUUCAGCACUCCGGAACAAAUGAAUAGCGAGAAGUGAAUUAUUAUGAGGAGCACCGGUAUGAGAAAGCAUUGACAUGAGAAAAGGGUAUGAUCAACAAAGCUUGACUUGGAUCCACCGGAGAAGAAAAGAACAAGGAAUGAUAAACUUGAAGCUCCGUUAGAAUAUUCAUGAGAAUCACCGGAUAAGAAUAUUGAUAGAAAAAGAAUCGAGAGACUUGACAUCAAUAAGAAGGAUACUUGAAAAGACAUCUGAGUCCUUGAAGAAAACAAGGGUGGGAGGGUGGGAAAAAAACAAAGGCAACUUGGAGACGGAUGAAACAAACACCGUUGAUAAGAACUAAUAAUUGAUCUUGCGGAAGUUGAAAUGUUCGGAUCCACUAGAAGAGAAGCACACCGGUUAAAAGGAUUGACAAAAACAAUCUUGAUGAACAAGAAGGAUUAGUAUUCACAUCGGAGUAUGAGAACACCAUUUGGGGAAGGUAUGGAAUCAACACUUGACAUUGAAGCAACUCGAAUACCACAACUCAAAACAAAACAAAGGGUUGGCUUGCAAAAUAAGCCGGAACAAACAUAUGAUAGAGAUUUCGUCCGAAGUUUUCGUGGUGGGACCUACACGGGCUCGAUUGUACAGCACCAUCAUGUACAAGGCAGUGCACAUGACAUACGAAGCGUCCCCGAGUCAGCAUAGCCAAGGACUCUUUAAGACCCAACGAGACCACUGUAAAAUCGACCGUGAAUAGGCGAACCACUAGACGUCGAUUGGAGAAGAUAUCCUAAGUCAGCAUAGCCAAGGACUCUUUAAGACCCAAUUUCAUAUCACACAUCUGUCGGAAAGAUAUCCUAAGAGCUACUUGAAUUCCACCUAUGAAACUCCCGAAACUUUCCGGUUAUGCAAUCAGGUGUUGGGGAUACAGGGGAAGCAUAAUAUCUCACCCAAACUAGCAAUACCUACAUCCAGCUGUAUCCAUCCUUCAACACAUAACCAAGACACUACGGUGCAAGUCAUGGCAAGGCAAGCAUAUAUCCAUAAGGAAGGCACAAAAUGCUAGCUAGACAUGGCAAGAACAAUGGCAUAGCAUGCAUGGAUAACUAGCAAUAGCUCCGGCAAAAUCGCAAAAGAGUUCACGAUCUGCCCAAAUUAACAACGAUGCAAAAGUUGAGCUCGAUUGACUCAACCUAGGGUGCUCCAACAUAGCAAGCAAAGACAUGGAUGGAUAGAGCACAACAAGUUUAACAAAUGUCCCUGAAAUCAGCAAUCUCAGGUACCCCUCUUGGCAAGCUUGCAUAAGACACCACACACAUCCUAAAAAUGCAUGGGUGGCACCUCUGGAAAGAAGACAAAAUGCUUAACAAUUCAUCCCAAAGGGUCAUAGGCAUAUCAUGCACACAAUAAUCAUGGCAAAAAUGACAAAAGUCAAUGUUGAGCUAACGGAUCUGCAAUUUAACUCACGAUGCCUCCUUCUAACAGCAUUUUGGGCAUCAAGAUGAACUCAAAUGCAAAUGAUGCAAUGGAAUGAAAUGAUGUACUCAUCGAGACGAAGAUUUUGAUAUAUUAUAUGCCCAAAACGGAGCUACGGAUGCGGAGAUAUGAUCAGACGAACAUGAGCAUAUGGAUCUGGGAAUUCCGGGGACUUAGCCAAAAUUUAUACCUCUCCGGGAAAAGUCAACGGGACGGAGCGGUGCGGGACGGGGUGGAUCCGGAUCGAGAUGACGACAUUUGGAUGAAGGGACCGGUGGAUCUCGUCCCGAUCCAUCGGAUCGGAUCCGGCCGGGAUUUACUCCGGCGAGCUCCGGCGAUGAUGGCGAGGAGCCUCGGUGGCGGAGGCGGGCCGUGCCGCGAAGGGCGGUGGCCGGCAGGGACUCGGCCGGGCGGCGAGCAGGCGCCGGCGAGGNNNNNNNNNNNNNNNNNNNNNNNNNNNNNNNNNNNNNNNNNNNNNNNNNNNNNNNNNNNNNNNNNNNNNNNNNNNNNNNNNNNNNNNNNNNNNNNNNNNNNNNNNNNNNNNNNNNNNNNNNNNNNNNNNNNNNNNNNNNNNNNNNNNNNNNNNNNNNNNNNNNNNNNNNNNNNNNNNNNNNNNNNNNNNNNNNNNNNNNNNNNNNNNNNNNNNNNNNNNNNNNNNNNNNNNNNNNNNNNNNNNNNNNNNNNNNNNNNNNNNNNNNNNCGCGGGCCCGAUCCGGGCCGCGUGGGCCGGCGGCGGGGCUAGAGGAGAGAGAAGGUGGCGGGAUGACGUGGCGGCGGCGGAUUCGCCGGGUACGGCGGUCGGACAUGUCCGGGGCGUGGAGAUUUGUCCGGUGGCGCGAGGUAGGAGAAGCUAGGGUUUCAUCCGCGAUUUUUUUCGGGGAUGCCCACAUAUUUCCUUCGGCAAACGGGAGUUGCAUAAUCUCAUAGUCAUAGGAACAUGUAUAAGUCAUGAAGAAAGUAAUGGCAACAUACUAAACGAUCGGGUGCUAAGCUAAUGGAAUGGGUCAUGUCAAUCAGAUCAUUCAACUAAUGAUGUGACCUCGUUAAUCAAAUAACAACUCUUUGUUCAUGGUUAGGAAACUUAACCAUCUUUGAUUAACGAGCUAGUCUAGUAGAGGCAUACUAGUGACACUCUGUUUGUCUAUGUAUUCACACAUGUAUUAUGUUUCCGGUUAAUUCAAUUCUAGCAUGAAUAAUUGAAGGAAAUAUGCCCUAGAGGCAAUAAUAAAGUUAUUAUUUAUUUCCUUAUAUCAUGAUAAAUGUUUAUUAUUCAUGCUAGAAUUGUAUUAAUCGGAAACAUGAUACAUGUGUGAAUACAUAGACCAACAGAGUGUCACUAGUAUGCCUCUACUUGACUAGCUCGUUAAUCAAAGAUGGUUAUGUUUCCUAACCAUGAACAAAGAGUUGUUAUUUGAUUAACGAGGUCACAUCAUUAGUUGAAUGAUCUGAUUGACAUGACCCAUUCCAUUAGCUUAGCACCCGAUCGUUUAGUAUGUUGCUAUUGCUUUCUUCAUGACUUAUACAUGUUCCUAUAACUAUGAGAUUAUGCAACUCCCGUUUACCGGAGGAACACUUUGGGUACUACCAAACGUCACAACGUAACUGGGUGAUUAUAAAGGAGUACUACAGGUGUCUCCAAUGGUAGAUGUUGGGUUGGCGUAUUUCGAGAUUAGGGUUUGUCACUCCGAUUGUCGGAGAGGUAUCUCUGGGCCCUCUCGGUAAUGCACAUCACAUAAGCCUUGCAAGCACUGCAACUAAUAUGUUAGUUGUGAGAUGAUGUAUUACGGAACGAGUAAAGAGACUUGCCAGUAACGAGAUUGAACUAGGUAUUGGAUACCGACGAUCGAAUCUCGGGCAAGUAACAUACCGAUGACAAAGGGAACAACGUAUGUUGUUAUGCGGUCUGACCGAUAAAGAUCUUCGUAGAAUAUGUAGGAGCCAAUAUGGGCAUCCAGGUCCCGCUAUUGGUUAUUGACCGGAGACGUGUCUCGGUCAUGUCUACAUUGUUCUUGAACCGUAGGGUCCGCACGCUUAACGUUACGAUGACAGUUAUUAUGAGUUUAUGCAUUUUGAUGUACCGAAGGUUGUUCGGAGUCCCAGAUGAGAUCACGGACUUGACGAGGAGUCUCGAAAUGGUCGAGACGUAAAGAUUGAUAUAUUGGAAGCCUAUGUUUGGACAUAGGAAGUGUUCCGGGUGAAAUCGGGAUUUUACCGGAAUACCGGGAGGGUUACCGGAACCCCCCGGGAGACUAAUGGGCCUAUUGGGCCUUAGUGGAAAAAGAGAAAAGGGGCAGCCCAUAGCUGGCCGGCGCCCCCCCUUUCCCCAAGUCCUAGUAGGACUAGGAUAAGGGGCCGGCCCCCCCCUUCUCUCUCCUUUUCCCCGAGAGUCCUAAUUGGAAUAGGAUUGGAGGGGGGAGUCCUACUCCCGAUGGGAGUAGGACUCCCCCUGCGCCUCCCUCUCCCUGGCCGGCCGGCCCCCCCUCCUCCAACCUUUAUAUACGGGGGGAGGGGACACCCCAAGACACACAAGUUGAUCCUUGAGAUCGUUCCUUAGCCGUGUGCGGUGCCCCCUGCCACCAAAUUCCACCUCGAUCAUACCGUUACAGUGCUUAGGCGAAGCCCUGUGUCGGUAGUACAUCAAGAUCGUCACCACGCCGUCGUGCUGACAGAACUCUUCCUCGACGCUUUGCUGGAUCGGAGCCCGAGGAACGUCAUCGAGCUGAACGUGUGCUAAGAACUCGGAGGUGCCGGAGUAACGGUGCUUGGAUCGGUCGGAUCGGAAAGAAGACGUACGACUACUUCCUCUACGUUGUGUGAUCACUUCCGCAGUCGGUCUGCAUUGGUACGUAGACAACACUCUCCCCUCUCGUUGCUGUGCAUCACCAUGAUCUUGCGUGUGCGUAGGAAAUUUUUCGAAAUUACUGCGUUCCCCAACAUUGGCAUCCGAGCCUAGGUUUUAUGGUUUGAUGUUAUUUGCACGAGUAGAACACAAGUGAGUUGUGGGCGAUACAAGUCAUACUGCCUACCAGCAUGUCAUACUUUGGUUCGGCGGUAUUGUUGGGUGAGACGAUCCGGACCAACCUUACACGUACUCUUACGCGAGACCGGUUCCCUCGACGUGCUUUGCACAUAGAUGGCUUGCGGAAGACUGUCUCUCCAACUUUAGUUGAACCAAGUGUGACUACGCCCGGUCCUUGAGAAGGUUAAAACGGAGUCUAUUUGACGAACUAUCGUUGUGGUUUUGAUGCAUAGGUGAGAUGAGUUCUUACUUAAGCCCGUAGCAGCCACGUAAAACUUGCAACAACAAAGUAGAGGACGUCUAACUUGUUUUUGCAGGGCAUGUUGUGAUGUGAUAUGGUCAAGGCAUGAUGCUGAUUUUAUUGUAUGAGAUGAUCAUGUUUUGUAACCGAGUUAUCGGCAACUGGCAGGAGCCAUAUGGUUGUCGCUUUAUUGUAUGCAAUGCAAUCGCGAUGUAAUGCUUUACUUUAUUACUAAACGGUAGUGAUAGUCGUGGAAGCAUAAGAUUGGCGAGACGACAACGAUGCUACGAUGGAGAUCAAGGUGUCGCGCCGGUGAUGAUGGUGAUCAUGACGGUGCUUCGGAGAUGGAGAUCACAAGCACAAGAUGAUGAUGGCCAUAUCAUAUCACUUAUAUUGAUUGCAUGUGAUGUUUAUCCCUUUUUAUGCAUCUUAUCUUGCUUUGAUUGACGGUAGCAUUAUAAGAUGAUCUCUCACUAAAAAUUAUCAAGAAGUGUUCUCCCUGAGUAUGCACCGUUGCCAAAGUUCGUCGUGCCCAGACACCACGUGAUGAUCGGGUGUGAUAAGCUCUACGUCCAAAUACAACGGGUGCAAAACAGUUGCACACGCAGAAUACUCAGGUUAUACUUGACGAGCCAAGCAUAUACAGAUAUGGCCUCGGAACACGGAGACCGAAAGGUCGAGCGUGAAUCAUAUAGUAGAUAUGAUCAACAUAACGAUGUUCACCAUUGAAAACUACUCCAUCUCACGUGAUGAUCGGUUAUGGUUUAGUUGAUUUGGAUCACGUGAUCACUUAGAAGAUUAGAGGGAUGUCUAUCUAAGUGGGAGUUCCUAAGUAAUUUGAUUAACUGAACUUAAACUUAUCAUGAACUUAGUACCUGAUAGUAUCUUGCUUGUUUAUGUUGAUUGUAGAUAGAUGGCUCGUGCUAUUGUUCCGUUGAAUUUUAAUGCGUUCCUUGAGAAAGCAAAGUUGAAAGAUGAUGGUAGCAAUUACACGGACUGGGUCCGUAACCUGAGGAUCAUCCUCAUUGCUGCACAGAAGAAUUACGUCCUGGAAGCACCGCUGGGUGACAGGCCUGCUGCUGGAGCAACGCCAGAUGUUAUGAACGUCUGGCAGAGCAAAGCUGAUGACUACUCGAUAGUUCAGUGUGCCAUGCUUUACGGCUUAGAAUCGGGACUUCAACGACGUUUUGAACGUCAUGGAGCAUAUGAGAUGUUCCAGGAGUUGAAGUUAAUAUUUCAAGCAAAUGCCCGAAUUGGGAGAUAUGAAGUCUCCAAUAAGUUCUAUAGCUGCAAGAUGGAGGAGAACAGUUCUGUCAGUGAGCAUAUACUCAAAAUGUCUGGGUAUAAUAAUCACUUGAUUCAGAUGGGAGUUAAUCUUCCAGAUGACUGCGUCAUUGACAGAAUUCUCCAAUCACUGCCACCAAGCUACAAGAGCUUCGUGAUGAACUAUAAUAUGCAAGGGAUGAACAAGACUAUUCCCGAGCUCUUCGCAAUGCUGAAAGCUGCGGAGGUAGAAAUCAAGAAGGAGCAUCAAGUGUUGAUGAUUAGCAAAACCACUAGUUUCAAGAAAAAGGGCAAAGGGAAGAAGAAGGGAAACUUCAAGAAGAACAGCAAGCAAGUUGCUGCUCAGGAGAAGAAACCCAAGUCUGGACCUAAGCCUGAAACUGAGUGCUUCUACUGCAAGCAGACAGGUCACUGGAAGCGGAACUGCCCCAAGUAUUUGGCGGAUAAGAAGGAUGGCAAAGUGAGCAAAGGUAUAUGUGAUAUACAUGUUAUUGAUGUGUACCUUACUAGAGCUCGCAGUAGCACCUGGGUAUUUGAUACUGGUUCUGUUGCUAAUAUUUGCAACUCGAAACAGGGACUACGGAAUAAGCGGACGCUAGCAAAGGACGAGGUGACGAUGCGCGUGGGAAACGGUUCCAAAGUCGAUGUGAUCGCGGUCGGCACGCUACCUCUACAUCUACCUUCGGGAUUAAUAUUAGACCUAAAUAAUUGUUAUUUGGUGCCAGCGUUGAGCAUGAACAUUAUAUCUGGAUCUUGUUUAAUGCGAGACGGUUAUUCAUUUAAAUCAGAGAAUAAUGGUUGUUCUAUUUAUAUGAGUAAUAUCUUUUAUGGUCAUGCACCUUUGAAGAGUGGUCUAUUCUUGUUGAAUCUCGAAGAUAGUGAUACACAUAUUCAUAAUGUAGAAGCCAAAAGAUGCAAAGUUAAUAAUGAUAGUGCAACUUAUUUGUGGCACUGCCGUUUAGGUCAUAUCGGUGUAAAACGCAUGAAGAAACUCCAUACUGAUGGGCUUUUGGAACCACUUGAUUAUGAAUCACUUGGGACUUGCGAACCGUGCCUCAUAGGCAAGAUGACUAAAACACCGUUCUCCAGUACUAUGGAGAGAGCAACAGAUUUAUUGGAAAUCAUACAUACCGAUGUAUGUGGUCCGAUGAAUAUUGAGGCUCGUGGCGGAUAUCGUUAUUUUCUCACCUUCACAGAUGAUUUAAGCAGAUAUGGGUAUAUCUACUUAAUGAAACAUAAGUCUGAAACAUUUGAAAAGUUCAAAGAAUUUCAGAGUGAGGUUGAAAAUCAUCGUAACAAGAAAAUAAAGUUUCUACGAUCUGAUCGUGGAGGAGAAUAUUUGAGUUACGAGUUUGGUGUACAUUUGAACAAUUGUGGAAUAGUGUCGCAACUCACGCCACCCGGAACACCACAACGUAAUGGUGUGUCCGAACGUCGUAAUCGUACUUUACUAGAUAUGGUGCGAUCUAUGAUGUCUCUUACUGAUUUACCGCUAUCGUUUUGGGGUUAUGCUUUAGAGACGGCCGCAUUCACGUUAAACAGGGCACCAUCAAAAUCCAUUGAGACGACACCUUAUAAACUAUGGUUUGGCAAGAAACCAAAGUUGUCGUUUCUUAAAGUUUGGGGCUGCGAUGCUUAUGUGAAAAAGCUUCAACCUGAUAAGCUCGAACCCAAAUCGGAGAAAUGUGUCUUCAUAGGAUAUCCAAAGGAAACUAUUGGAUACACCUUCUAUCACAGAUCCGAAGGCAAGACUUUUGUUGCUAAAUUCGGAAACUUUCUAGAGAAGGAGUUUCUCUCGAAAGAAGUGAGUGGGAGGAAAGUAGAACUUGACGAGGUAACUGUACCUGCUCCCUUAUUGGAAAAUAGUACAUCACAGAAAACUGUUUCUGCGACACCUAUACCAAUCAGUGAGGAAGCUAAUGAUGAUGAUCAUGAAGCCUCAGAACAAGAUACUACUGAAACACGUAGAUCAACCAGAGUGAGAUCCGCACCAGAGUGGUACGGUAAUCCAGUUCUGGAAGUCAUGAUGCUAGAUCAUGAUGAACCUACGAACUAUGAAGAAGCGAUGGUGAGCCCAGAUUCCGCAAAGUGGCUUGAGGCCAUGAAAUCUGAGAUGGGAUCCAUGUAUGAAAACAAAGUAUGGACUUUGGUUGACUUGCCCGAUGAUCGGCAAGCAAUUGAGAAUAAAUGGAUCUUCAAGAAAAAGACUGACGCCGACGGUAACAUUACUGUCUAUAAAGCUCGACUUGUCGCGAAAGGUUUUCGACAAGUUCAAGGAGUUGACUACGAUGAGACCUUCUCACCCGUAGCGAUGCUUAAGUCCGUCAGAAUUAUGUUAGCAAUUGCCGCAUUUUAUGAUUAUGAAAUAUGGCAGAUGGAUGUCAAAACUGCAUUCCUGAAUGGAUUUCUGGAAGAAGAGUUGUAUAUGAUACAACCAGAAGGUUUUGUCGAUCCAAAGGGAGCUAACAAAGCAUGCAAACUCCAGCGAUCCAUUUAUGGACUGGUGCAAGCAUCUCGGAGUUGGAAUAAACGCUUUGAUAGUGUGAUCAAAGCAUUUGGCUUUAUACAGACUUUUGGAGAAGCCUGUAUUUACAAGAAAGUGAGUGGGAGCUCUGUAGCAUUUCUAAUAUUAUAUGUGGAUGACAUAUUGCUGAUUGGAAAUGAUAUAGAAUUUCUGGAUAGCAUAAAGGGAUACUUGAAUAAAAGUUUUUCGAUGAAAGACCUCGGGGAAGCUGCUUACAUAUUAGGCAUAAAGAUCUAUAGAGAUAGAUCAAAACGCUUAAUUGGACUUUCACAGAGCACAUACCUUGACAAGAUUUUGAAGAAGUUCAAAAUGGAUCAAGCAAAGAAAGGGUUCUUGCCUGUGUUACAAGGUAUGAAGUUGAGUCAGACUCAAUGCCCGACCACUGCAAAAGAUAGAGAGAAAAAGAAAGAUGUUCCCUAUGCUUCAGCCAUAGGCUCUAUCAUGUAUGCAAUGCUGUGUACCAUACCUGAUGUGUGCCUUGCUAUAAGUUUAGCAGGGAGGUACCAAAGUAAUCCAGGAAUGGAUCACUGGACAGCGGUCAAGAACAUCCUGAAAUACCUGAAAAGGACUAAGGAUAUGUUUCUCGUAUAUGGAGGUGACAAAGAGCUCACUGUAAGAGGUUACAUUGAUGCAAGCUUUGACACUGAUCCGGACGAUUCUAAAUCGCAAACCGGAUACAUGCUUACUUUAAACGGUGGAGCUGUCAGUUGGUGCAGUUCUAAACAAAGCGUCGUAGCGGGAUCUACAUGUGAAGCGGAGUACAUAGCUACUUCAGAAGCAGCAAACGAAGGAGUCUGGAUGAAGGAGUUCAUAUCCGAUCUAGGUGUCAUACCUAGUGCAUCGGGUCCAAUGAAAAUCUUCUGUGACAAUACUGGUGCAAUUGCCUUGGCAAAGGAAUCCAGAUUUCACAAAAGGACCAAACACAUCAAGAGACGCUUCAACUCCAUCCGGGAUUUAGUCCAGGUGGGAGACAUAGAGAUUUGCAAGAUACAUACGGAUCUGAACGUUGCAGACCCGUUGACUAAGCCUCUUCCACGAGCAAAACAUGAUCAGCACCAAGGCUCCAUGGGUGUUAGAAUCAUUACAGUGUAAUCUAGAUUAUUGACUGUAGUGCAAGUGGGAGACUGAAGGAAAUAUGCCCUAGAGGCAAUAAUAAAGUUAUUAUUUAUUUCCUUAUAUCAUGAUAAAUGUUUAUUAUUCAUGCUAGAAUUGUAUUAACCGGAAACAUGAUACAUGUGUGAAUACAUAGACCAACAGAGUGUCACUAGUAUGCCUCUACUUGACUAGCUCGUUAAUCAAAGAUGGUUAUGUUUCCUAACCAUGAACAAAGAGUUGUUAUUUGAUUAACGAGGUCACAUCAUUAGUUGAAUGAUCUGAUCGACAUGACCCAUUCCAUUAGCUUAGCACCCGAUCGUUUAGUAUGUUGCUAUUGCUUUCUUCAUGACUUAUACAUGUUCCUAUAACUAUGAGAUUAUGCAACUCCCGUUUACCGGAGGAACACUUUGGGUACUACCAAACGUCACAACGUAACUGGGUGAUUAUAAAGGAGUACUACAGGUGUCUCCAAUGGUAGAUGUUGGGUUGGCGUAUUUCGAGAUUAGGGUUUGUCACUCCGAUUGUCGGAGAGGUAUCUCUGGGCCCUCUCGGUAAUGCACAUCACAUAAGCCUUGCAAGCACUGCAACUAAUAUGUUAGUUGUGAGAUGAUGUAUUACGGAACGAGUAAAGAGACUUGCCAGUAACGAGAUUGAACUAGGUAUUGGAUACCGACGAUCGAAUCUCGGGCAAGUAACAUACCGAUGACAAAGGGAACAACGUAUGUUGUUAUGCGGUCUGACCGAUAAAGAUCUUCGUAGAAUAUGUAGGAGCCAAUAUGGGCAUCCAGGUCCCGCUAUUGGUUAUUGACCGGAGACGUGUCUCGGUCAUGUCUACAUUGUUCUCGAACCGUAGGGUCCGCACGCUUAACGUUACGAUGACAGUUAUUAUGAGUUUAUGCAUUUUGAUGUACCGAAGGUUGUUCGGAGUCCCAGAUGAGAUCACAGACUUGACGAGGAGUCUCGAAAUGGUCGAGACGUAAAGAUUGAUAUAUUGGAAGCCUAUGUUUGGACAUAGGAAGUGUUCCGGGUGAAAUCGGGAUUUUACCGGAAUACCGGGAGGGUUACCGGAACCCCCCGGGAGACUAAUGGGCCUAUUGGGCCUUAGUGGAAAAAGAGAAAAGGGGCANNNNNNNNNNNNNNNNNNNNNNNNNNNNNNNNNNNNNNNNNNNNNNNNNNNNNNNNNNNNNNNNNNNNNNNNNNNNNNNNNNNNNNNNNNNNNNNNNNNNNNNNNNNNNNNNNNNNNNNNNNNNNNNNNNNNNNNNNNNNNNNNNNNNNNNNNNNNNNNNNNNNNNNNNNNNNNNNNNNNNNNNNNNNNNNNNNNNNNNNNNNNNNNNNNNNNNNNNNNNNNNNNNNNNNNNNNNNNNNNNNNNNNNNNNNNNNNNNNNNNNNNNNNNNNNNNNNNNNNNNNNNNNNNNNNNNNNNNNNNNNNNNNNNNNNNNNNNNNNNNNNNNNNNNNNNNNNNNNNNNNNNNNNNNNNNNNNNNNNNNNNNNNNNNNNNNNNNNNNNNNNNNNNNNNNNNNNNNNNNNNNNNNNNNNNNNNNNNNNNNNNNNNNNNNNNNUUUCCCCGAGAGUCCUAAUUGGAAUAGGAUUGGAGGGGGGAGUCCUACUCCCGGUGGGAGUAGGACUCCCCCUGCGCCUCCCUCUCCCUGGCCGGCCGGCCCCCCCUCCUCCAACCUUUAUAUACGGGGGCAAGGGACACCCCAAGACACACAAGUUGAUCCUUGAGAUCGUUCCUUAGCCGUGUGCGGUGCCCCCUGCCACCAAAUUCCACCUCGAUCAUACCGUUACAGUGCUUAGGCGAAGCCCUGCGUCGGUAGUACAUCAAGAUCGUCACCACGCCGUCGUGCUGACGGAACUCUUCCUCGACGCUUUGCUGGAUCGGAGCCCGAGGAACGUCAUCGAGCUGAACAUGUGCUAAGAACUCGGAGGUGCCGGAGUAACGGUGCUUGGAUCGGUCGGAUCGGAAAGAAGACGUACGACUACUUCCUCUACGUUGUGUGAUCGCUUCCGCAGUCAGUCUGCGUUGGUACGUAGACAACACUCUCCCCUCUCGUUGCUGUGCAUCACCAUGAUCUUGAGUGUGCGUAGGAAAAUUUUCGAAAUUACUGCGUUCCCCAACAAUAAUAAACAUUUAUCAUGAUAUAAGGAAAUAAAUAAUAACUUUAUUAUUUCCUCUAGGGCAUAUUUCCUUCAUUCAUCCCAUACCAUUUGAACAGGGCAUGAAUUCUUUUGUAAGUCACAGGAAAACCAGAAUGCCCACCAACUGGAGUAACAUGAAAAGCAUUGCAAAUCUUAGCUUGCAGUUGUACAUCAUUGCCAAUCCAUAUGGAGUUGUUGUACCUGAUUAAUCCAUUAACCAAGAUAUAGGAAGGUUUGGAUGCUGGGUCCACAGCCAAUUGUUGCAACAACUCUUGAGCUUUAGGAUCUUGUUGAGAGCUGUCCACAAUUUCCUGUAACCAAGAGGGCUGAGAAGAAGAGAUGGGCAUGGCUUGAGAGGGAGGAUGAGGUCUCCUGGAUAAAGCAUCUGCAGCAGAGUUAUAUGUGCCCUUUUUGUACAAGAUCUUAUCAUUGAGACCAAGGAGUUUGGUGAACACUUUCUGCUGCCAGGGUGUAUGCAACCUUUGAUCAGAUAAAUGAGUCAGGCUUUUCUGAUCUGUUUUGACCACAAACUCUUGAAAUUGCAAAUAGGGCCUCCACUGUUCCACUGCCAGAAGAAUAGCUAGAUAUUCUUUUUCAUAAACAGAUAAUCCUCUGUUCUUUGGACCUAAGGCUCUACUGACAAAUGCAAGAGGAUGCCCUUUUUGCAUAAGUACUGCUCCUAUACCAGUAUCACAAGCAUCAGUCUCCAAUACAAAUGGCAAGGAGAAAUCAGGGAGGGCCAUGUCAGGUGCUUGUACUAGAGCUUCCUUGAGAGUGACAAAAGCAGUUUUAGCAGCCUGGGUCCACACAAACAAUGUGCCUUUCCUUAAUAGUUCAGUCAAGCGUUUACUAAUCACACCAUAGUUUCUAAUGAAUUUCCUGUAGUACCCAGUGAGGCCCAAAAAACCCCUAAUCUCUUUUACAUUGACAGGAGUGAGCUAGUUCUGAACUGCUAGAAUUUUACAAGGAUCAGUAGAAACCCCUUUGUCACUGAUGACAUGACCCAAAUAAGCAAUUUGCUACUGUGCAAAGGAACACUUGCUCAACUUGACUUUCCAUUGCUUUUCUUGCAAGGUGCUGAGGACCUUUUCCACAUGCAAUAGAUGUUCCUUCAAGGUUUUACUGAAAAUCAGGAUAUCAUCAAAAAUACCAGAACAAAUUCCCUGAGUGCAGGUAGAUCAGAAUUCAUAGCACCUUGGAAUGUACCAGGAGCUUCAGACAGUCCAAAACCCAUGACCAAGAGCUCAUAAUGACCUUAAUGAGUUUGAAAUGCAGUUUUAAACUCUUCACCAGGGGCCAUUCUAAUUUGGUGGUAGCCUGCCCUUAAGUCCAGUUUAGUAAACCAGCAAGCACCAUGCAAUUCAUCCAGUAACUCAUCUAUCAUAGGUAUAGGAUAUUUUCCCUUCACUGUUAUAGCAUUCAAAUGCCUGUAGUCCACUACCAUGCGCCAAGUGCCAUCCUUCUUCUUGACCAUCAGCACAGGAGAGGAAAAGGGGCCACGACUUAGUCUGAUCAUACCAUUUUUCAGUAACUCUUUUACUUGUUUUUCCAUCUCUGUUUUCAAGUGGGGAGCCACUCUAUAAGGUCUGACAGCCACUAGUGUAGCAACCGGUAUAAGUGGUAUAGUAUGGUCAUACUACCUCCUAGGUGGCAGUCCUUUUGGUUCAUCAAAUACAGAAGAAAUUUUUUUCCAACAGUGCUUGUACUUCAGGAAUGUGAGAAUUGGUUUCUUUGUUUUCUGUGUCAGCCAAUUCCACACUCAUAACUGUAAAAGUGCAGUCAUCAGGUAGUACACCUUGUAAUGUGACCCAGUUUCCUUGAGACUGGAAUGAAAACCAUUUUUGAUCCCAAUCUAUCACCAUUAGACUAUGGUUUGAUAGCCAAUCAAGUCCCAAAAUUCCAUCAUAGUUGCCUAACUGAAGAAAUCUGAAGUCUGAUUUGAAUUCAUUAUUCUGACAAGACCAACUACAUUGCUUCACUAUCUGGGAGCAGUACAACUUAGCACCACCUGCUAUCUGGGAGCUAUAUUAUCUACUGUUUUGGACUAUAUUGGGCUUUAUUUUCCACUUUUAUAUUAUUUUUGGGACUAACCUAUUAACCGAAGGCCCAGCCCAGAAUUGUUGUUUUUUUGCCUAUUUCGGUGUUUCGAAGAAACGAAAUAUCAAACGGAGUCCAAACGGAAUAAAAUCUUCGGGAACGUGAUUUUGUCACCGAACGUGAUCCAGGAGACUUGGACCCUGCUCCAAGGAACAAAAGAGGCGGUCACGAGGGUGGGGGGCGCCCCCCUAGGGCGCGCCGUCCUGCCUCGUGGGCCCCUUGUUGCUCCUCCAGCAUACUUCUUCCUCCUGUAUAUACACACGUACCCCAAACGAUCAGAACAGGAGCCAAAAACCUAAUUCCACCGUCGCAACUUUCUGUAUCCACGAGAUCCCAUCUUGGGGCCUGUUCUGGAGCUCCGCCGGAAGAGGGCCGUCAUCACGGAGGGCUUCUACAUCAUGAUAGCCUCUCCGAUGAAGUGUGAGUAGUUUACCUCAGACCUUUGGCUCCAUAGUUAGUAGCUAGAUGGCUUCUUCUCUCUCUUUAAAUCUCAAUACAAAGUUCUCCCCCUCUCUUGUGGAGAUCUAUUCGAUGUAAUCUUCUUUUUGCGGUGUGUUUGUUGAGACCGAUGAAUUGUGGGUUUAUGAUCAAGUCUAUCUAUGAAUAAUAUUUGAAUCUUCUCUGAAUUCUUUUAUGUAUGAUUGGUUAUCUUUGCAAGUCUCUUCGAAUUAUCCGUUUGGUUUGGCCAACUAGAUUGGUAGUUCUUGCCAUGGGAGAAGUGCUUAGCUUUGGGUUCGAUCUUGCGGUGUCCUUACCCAGUGACAGAAGGGGCAGCAAGGCACGUAUUGUAUCGUUUCCAUCGAGGAUAACAAGAUAGGGUUUAUUUCAUAUUGCAUGAAUUUAUCUCUCUACAUCAUGUCAUCUUGCUUAAGGUGUUACUCUGUUUUUAACUUAAUACUCUAGAUGCAUGCUGGAUAGCGGUCGAUGAGUGGAGUAAUAUUAGUAGAUGCAGAAUCGUUUCGAUCUACUUGUCACGGACGUGAUGCCUAUAUACAUGAUCAUGCCUAGAUAUUCUCAUAACUAUGCUCAAUUCUGUCAAUUGCUCAACAGUAAUUUGUUCACCCACCAUAGAAUACUUAUGCUCUUGAGAGAAGCCACUAGUGAAACCUAUGGCCCCCGGGUCUAUUCUCAUCAUAUCAAUGUCCAUCACUUUAAUCUUGCUUUGCUUUUUUACUUUGCAUCUUUAUACCAAAAAUACCAAAAAUAUUAUAUCUAUCAGAUCUCACUCUCGUAAGUGAUCGUGAAGGGAUUGACAACCCGUAAUCGCGUUGGUUGCGAGUAGCUAUCGCUUUGUGCAGGUACGAGGGACUUGAGCGUGGGCUCCUACUGGAUUGAUACCUUGGUUCUCAAAAACUGAGGGAAAUACUUACGCUACUCUGCUGCAUCAUCCCUUCCUCGUCGGGGAAAACCAACGCAAGCUCAAGACGUAGCAAGUCACUAUCAGACGACUCCUGAUAGAAUGAAGCAGUACUUUGGGUGUGUUCAAUCAUCUCCUGCACUAUAUGGAGUUGAACAGAAGAUUUGUAUUGGUGGUCCUUGGACCAUUUCUCUCCACAGGUGAAACAUAACCCCUUUGAUUUCCUGUAGGUGCGCAACGUGAUCCACUUAUCCUCUGAGGAAGCGCCCUUGCCGUUCUCAAUAGGCCUCCUGUCAGCAGCAACUAGAGCUCUCUGAAUUGUCGAAGCUGCUGUCAUUGUCUUCUUGAAUUGAAACGGAGAGGAGUUUGUGUCACUUAAUUCUUCAUGGAGAAAGGCUGUGUCAUAAGCUGUGUCCAGGUCCUGACGUUUCUGCAGAGCAACUGACAUCCUCACACCCGGCUUGAGGCCAUCGAUGAAACAAGUGGUAUAGUACAGACUGUCAGGCACAUCCUCAUAAGCUGAAAGCUGGUCAUAUAGUUCUGUAAAUCGUUCCACAUAAUCUGUCACUGUCGAUUCCUGAGCAAUUCUGAACAUCUGUCUCACCAGGGUCUGAUGUUGAUUGCGACCGAAUCUGUUCAAUAACAGCUGACAGAACUUUGUCCAGGACAAAUUCGGUGAUCUACGCUGUACUGCCUCGAGCCAUCUAGCUGCUGCACCAUCAAACUUGGACGUGGUGAAGGAAAUCCACCUUGCUGCUGGAGUACCCCAUAGCUUGAAACAGUCCUUGCAGCGCGAUUGCCACAGUCGCGGAUUCGAGCCAUCGAAACGCGGUAGUUCCACAACGGGAGCAGAUUGGUACAGGUCAGAGACGUCCGAUGCAGCGAAAUCUCGAGGAGAAAAAAUUUCACGGGGAGAAACGGAAUCACACGCACCUCUGACCGGAGGAGGCACAUAAACCUGAUGCGCCUUCCCCCGGUGAAACUUGUCGAAGCCAAGGGGAUCUGUCGCCGUCGAAUCGCGGCCGCCCCCAACUUCCUUGCUGGUCGACGGGCUCGUCUGCUUGCACAGAAUCUCCUCCUUGCCGCAGCGCUCGAGUUCCACACGGAUUUGUUCAACGUCGAGGUUGAACUCGGAUCUAGCACCGUCGAUUCGCGCCGUGACGAGGCCGUCGAGCGCCAUCGUCGUCUCCUUGAGCAUUUUGCCGACGGACUUGAUGAUCUCCUCGCCGUGCGCCUUGAAGCGUUGAUCCAGCACCUCGGCGAAGGCCGCACGAAGCAGCUCCUGGAUCUCUCACCCCUCGGACGACAGCUUGUCCAUGGCGGCGCUCUGCUGCUGGAGCUUGAAACGCGUGGCGUGGACGUGGCUUGGGAUCUCCAGGAUCAGAAAGCUCCGAUACCAGAUGUAAGGAUCCUGCUACCUCCAUGAACGAGAUCUAGGUUUGAAUUUGGUUUAGCUGUCCUGCCAACCACCCACACAACAAUUCAAAUUACAAAUCACACACACACACGCUUGAGCCAGGCCGAAGCCUCCCGUUCCUUCCUGUCCUUUACUGAUGACGACGGGAAGUAUUUAAACCCUCUCUACCGUUACACCCGCUUAGCGGGCCUAGUCUGGGCUUGCAAGCCAUUGGGGAACCCUCUUGUUACGGAUGGGCCGGCCUGCCGGCCCAUGACUUGAGUUGCUCGCUUCCCGCGUCUCUUCUCGAUCAGCAUCAUCUUCAGUGUUGACGAUCGGGCUGCUGAUAAACAAUCACCGAUAAAAUUGUUGAACAUCUUCGUGGAGUCGAGGAGAUCCGCAUCAGUUGUCUUAUAAUAGAUGUCCUUGGUCAGGAUCUCGAACUCUGCCUCAUAAAUCUUCUGGGUCGCCAUGGCGAGGGCGACGGUCCUGCCGAUCUUGAGGUGGUCGUCGCCUCUCAUGAUGAACCUGAGCUUCAGCAUGCGGAUGGGGAUCCGAGGAGACCUCGUGCUCAGGAUCUUGUCCGCCACGUCGGCCACAUCACAGUUCUUCCAGAGUAGAUCGCCGUCGCUGAGGUCGAUGACGAUCUGCGAGAGCAAGGCCGGCAGGUUGAGCGUUUGCUUGGAGAUGAGGCAGGCCCUGACAGCGUCGAGCGCGCCGACCCUCUCCAAGAUGUUGAGCAGCACAUGGUCGGGCAGUUUGAUUAGCCUGUCGACUUUCAACAGCUGGAUAGAUAGAUUAAUAAGUUAAAUGAUUCAUGCACAAGAAUUUGAGGAGGAACACAAGCAACGGGGGUUUACAUCACGGCGGUGGCGGCGAACCCGGUUGAGCUUCAUGGCGGUCUGAUCUCCAGGAACAACGAAGUGGCAAAUGGUGGCUCAGCUUACAUCGCGGCGGCGGAAAUCGCCUGCACGGUCCUUCCUUAGGUGCGAUGCUCAAGAUUGCAGACGUUUAUAUGGCAGCCUCCUCUGACUUCAACAUUGUCAGUCAGUCCCCACUAUCCUUCUGGCAUUGCAUGUUCUUGGCGCUGUCGGCACCUUGGCGUCUAUCAUGUACGUGCCGCCGGGUCGAGACGCACGCUGCAGGGUAAGACGUAGACAUGUGGAUCUUCGUUUUGUGAACUUCACGUCAUGAUUUGCAAGCAGAGCAUCGGGCUACAGCUGCCGUUCGUGCCGCGCAAGCUCCAGUGGGGAACACAUUGUUCGCUCCGCUGCUGGCGUGCGUGCGCCCCGCUGCCGCGGGCCAGGGGGGCAUGCCCAUUGUCCAUUGAGCAAGGAGAUGGUGAAGGAGAUGAAAGAGUUGUCAGCGAUCGUCGUCGGGCUCGACGGCUCGUCCGCGGCGGCGAUGGUGUGCGGCAUGCAUGGAGUGGGGUGGCGUGUUGCGGGGAUGAGCACGUAGCAGGAGAAGACGUAGGGGAGACGGGUGAUAUGGCAAUACGUGGAUUGUCUGCUUGUUUUUUUAGAUAAAAGAGGCACCGGGAGGAGAAAAUGAUGCGGCCGUUGGAUGGUAAUUGAACGAGUCGGGAGUACGGAUGGGAGCACGACAAGAGAGCAGGCAAGCCCUUCUUGGUCUGUUAUUUUUUUCUUUCUAAAUGCAACUAUUUUUUCUUUCUACAAAGAUAAUUUACGAUCUAUUCAUCAACUGUAAGCUAGUAGUAGUACAAAGAACACUAAAAGGAAAAAAAUACAUCUAGAUUUGUAUAGAUCAUCUAGCGACAAGCUACAAGCAUUGGAGUUGUUAAAAUAAAUCCGAGGCACUCCGUCGAUCAUCCGAGGACUAAGCAAUCACACGAGCACGACACUGAUAUUCGUUAACGAGCUUCAUCGAUAUGGCUACGUCCCCGGAGCCUGACUACGGGCGCUCUUUCCCGUGACACCGUCACAAUACCGCACCCGGUCGCCCUGAACGCCAGCACAUGCCGCCGGCUUCCCCCUGCAUUUUGGUGCUAUUAUGUUGGCAUAGGUUACAUCGUGUGUCUAGCCUCGCUAUAUAUGAGAGGCUUAGGAUACAAGUGUCCUACUAGGACACGACUCCAUAUCCUAUCUAAACACAAUACAACUGCAAGUCCAACUUAACCUACCUUGUACACUAUAUUCGACACAACUUCAACAAACUCCACCUUGGCGAAUAUUCUCCACCACUUUAAAUUCGUCAAUGCAUCAAACUUUCAUGUACAUUGAACUUGAGCUUAUCCCGUGAGUACCGCUGCUACUCCAAAGACUCCAUGUGACUCCACCUGCAACUUGUAGUCCCAUCAUUUCUUGACAACAGUCAACACUCGAGCAAAAUUAAGUUCCUUGUUACUCUAGUUUGUGUUCCUAACUUCCAGAGUAUUCGUCCAACGCCAUCACACACUGAUCACUGACCUGCGUGAAAGUGAAUAACUCACAUAUUGGGUGUCACACAUAAGAGUUACCUGAACUCAACAUCACUGCUCCUUUCUUGACCGUCUGUAUGAAACCUGAAGGAAUUUCACCAUUUUUUGUAGUCAUCCCGAGUCAAAUUCACAGUUGUCUCACCACAUGUAUGACCACCAGAGCCCUGGCCCGUCUCCAUGUCCCAUGCAUACCGCACGCCUCACCGCUAUUAUCGCGUCGAGCCUCCGCUGUCCCGGUCGAGUCUCAAGGGUCGCGAACCCACACCACUCAAGCCCCACUACAAAGUACCACCGAUCAUCACCGACCGAUGAUGAGUUUCAGGCUUCCAUCAGACCACUGGGUUCCAGUCCAAACUACGUGUCACUCGCUUUUCUCCCUUGCCGAAUAGGCUUCGAUUCUCUGGAUCCUUACACCGUAGCCCCUCAAUCCAGCUCCACCUUCAACAUGACUCCAUGGUAGAUGAUCAGUCCACCCUCGCACCUCAUCGACUUCAAGCUCCGUGUAUACACCACCUUGAAUCAAUCCCGCGCCAUAGUCUUGUCGAAGCCACACAAGCCCUCGGGCCUGCGCCACGUGUUUCCACGCCCCAGAAGUCGGUCACUAUCAGCAUCGCGCACCUAUGUCGUCGUCGCCGAUUCCAUCACCGUCUUCUGUACCAACCGACUUGCCGCCGGCUUCCCCCGCGUUCCGGUGCUGUUAUGUUGGCAUAGGUUACAUCGUGUGUCUAGUCCCGCUAUAUAUGAGAGGCCUAGGAUACAAGUGUCCUAUUAGGACACGACUCCAUAUCCUAUCUAAACACAAUACAACUACAAGUCCAACUGUAACCUACCUUGUACACUAUAUUCGACACAACUCCAACAGGAGCGAGCCGAAGGCGCGCCAUCGUCUUUGCCUCUUCCACAUUGAACCCCGACAAACCUUUUUAUAGUAAACAGUCAAAAAGUCAUCGUGCUAAGGCCUCAUAAGGCCAGCCCGCCAGAAUGCAGCAACGCUACCGAUGAAGAGAAGUAUAGAUCGAAAGGAUCUAACCUAUAGACCCAGGCACAUAGAAGAAUAAAGACAUGAUCCACGUGGAUUUCACUGAAGACAAACGCCGCCCGAAUCAUGUGAGAUCUGCCGGAGAGAAAACUUCACACAUCCAACGACGAUACUAGAAACACACCGGGACGGUAACUAUGCGGGGAAAAACUUAUUCCCUUUUCAGAGAGCCGCUGCCGCCUCACCUCUCUAAGCAGAACAUAAACCCUAACAAAACUCAAAAGAUUAUGAAAAAAUCAAGCCCUCCCGCCGGCAAAGGCAAAGAUCCACCGCGCGUACAUUGGCCCUAAGACCACAGAAAAAGGAGGUAGACCAAGGACGGCACUGGCCAGAGGCAUUGUCGAUGUUGCACGAUGCCACGACAACAUCACCAGUGUUGUGGAUGUCACCGUGCAACUUCGCCGACGUUGCCAUUGAUGCCACAAAACAUCGCCUGUGUUGCGGAAGCACCGGGCAACACACAUCACCUUGUAGUUGUAGCACCCGAGCGGAUCGGCUUGUACAACAACUUGGGGCUUGCUACACCGGCAUCCCCUGACCACUCCAUUGCGGCGGCAUUCGGUGGCUCGGUGCCCCCAGCCUGCCAUACCCCAGUGACGGGCAGUACCUCUCCUUGGAGCAGUAGGCGUCUUUUUUUUAGAGUAUUUUUCGGAUGAAGCAGUAGGCGUCUUGCGUAGAGUAGCUGGGGAAGAGUUAACAAAAAUACCACGCAUCAAAAUUGUUCAUAGUAUAUGUUUUCAGCGUGUAUUUUAAAAUUGAUCUUUGUGUUUGAAAAAUAUUUCCUCAUAUAUUUUAAAAAUAGGUUCGCCGUGUACUUGAAAAUGUUCAUCCUGUAUAUGCAAAAUGUUCAUUGUGUCUUAAAAAUACUUCGCCAUGUCUUCAAACUUUUCUUAUGUACUUUAAAAAUGUCCAUCAUGCUUUAAAAAUAUAUUCAUCGUAUAUGCUCAUCGUGUCUUACAAAUGUCCCUUGUAUAUUCAAAAUAUCCAUCAUGUAUUUUAAAAAUGUUCAUCGUGUAUUAGAGAAGUACCAUGCAUCAAAAUUGUUGAUGCUGUAUCUAGAAAAUGUUCAUCGUGCAUUUUAAAAAUGGUCAUGUUGUGCGUGGUGCUGGAAACAAACAAGCACGAAAAAUACGGAGUUUUGUUUACACUUCAGGAUCGCCUUGUGCUUGGGUGCUCCUAUCAUUCUGAAGAAUUCGGUGAAAUCCAUGGAAACGAACAAUUUUUCAAAUUCAUGAAGAUGCCCACAUAUAUAUGUCAGGUUCCGGAUGAAAAUCUUAAGCUAAGACUUCCAGUGCUACUUCGUAUCAUUCAGCAAGCAGUUUAAACCUGUGAACCUGUCGAAACAAAAGAAGCCACUGAUCAAUGCUGGAAAUAAACCUUGCGGCUUCAGAAACUUCAGUUCUGUAGGUUCAGUUUCAGGUGUCGUUUUCUUCAGUUUCGUCAGUUGGCAGAUUUGUUAGUUAGAAGGUUUAGCUCGCAGGCUUGACAACCUGGAGUGGAUGAGGAUGGUGCAUAGUCGCGGCCACUAGCCCCAUUUCCUUUUCUGUAAUCUGCAUAAAUAGAAGAGAAUAAAGAGCAGAAAAGCCGCAGAAGUUUGAGCAGCCCGAAACCUCUUCUUCUACCUCUCGAACUUUUGCUAUGAAACUGAAAUGCAUCCUGAGCCCGCUCAAUAAGAUAGCAUGCCAAGUGAUAUGCCAAAGACUUAGUCAUUAGUCAACGGUAGAAGUAAAAUAAACUGAAGCCACUGAAACUGAAUUCCCUCAAAAAGUAAAUAAAAGCCACUGAAACUGAAGCAGUUCCCCUGGAAAGCAAAGUUUGCAUUCUUAGUACAGUGAGAAGUAAAACUCAUUUCACAAUGAAAACCAGGUUCAAGCAUUUAUCAGGAAUAAGAAAUAUCCACGAUAUCCAUUUGAUAAGAUACUUGACAAUAAUGUUUAGAGUAAACCUUAUCCUCCUCGACUCAGUACGAUCUCAAAAUACACAUAAUUGAAAAGGUUCACUAGUGACAAUUAAUCCAUGAAUCAUACGACAGUUUCUGUAAACUGAAGCUUGCAGUGCAAGAGCAUUAUUAUUUUCAGAAGACUUGCCCCAAACUCGGAAAGUGAAUCCGGACAUGCGAGGGUAUCUCCUUGCUGAAUUCGUAGCUAAGCCAAGACGUCUCCUCAAAUGUCCACUCCUUAAGCAUGUGCUUGCACCUAACACACACUGGACUCUUGUAUAGUCUUAUAUUCUCCAGAUUCACAGCUGCUUCCACGACAUCUCUGGCAAAUCGCACUAGUUUGUCUGCUGCAUGAAACCUCCCAUAGAUACCGAGCUCUGCCAGGUUGUGGUGCUUGAAAUCAGAUGCAGAUGGUUCCCACUCUAGUCCCUUGUCCUUCUCCUUGCAAACCACAGGCAACUCCCUCCGCUUCCCUGUUAUCAUUUCACAUUGAUGAUUCCGCACCUGCAUUCGGUCAGGUCAAAAAAAAAAUUCCUAACUGGUCACACAAAGUUUGAACAUCGAAAAUGAGAAUUGGAGAAUCGGUACAAGAGUUCACCAAGAUGUGUAGUUCCUUAAGGUUGGGUGCGCCAUGGAGUAAGAACAUUGUCCAAGUCAGAUCACACUCUUCAGCAAUGUUAAUCCAAUUCACAAUCCUGAGUUUGUGGAACACCGGUAACAAUUGUCUACGACCUUCCGGUUUGACCCAAAUCUGCAAAAGAUGUAGUAAUGUAGGAUCAUGUUAACCAAAAAAUAAUGAUUACAACCUCCCCACGACAUGGCCAGCAAAACAUAUACACGUCGCUGACAACAUUGAGGACCUUCACUAACCUUUUCGCUUUUGAAGUCCAAAGACAGAUUGCUUAUGGCAGAGUUACCAAGCAACUCACUUAACUUGAGCAUCUUGUGCCAAGUGAAAGCAACAUUAAUGAUGGACACAGUCUGGAGCAGUGGGACAUAGCCAAGACAGAAGGGGUCAUCCCGAGAUCUAAACACAUUAAAUUUCAGUUUUGUGAGCUUUGGUACCCACUUCAGAUCAACCCUCUCAAAACGGCCACAGACAAUCACUAGUUCACUGAGUUGCGGGUGUUCCACUUCCAGCAAAGACUUAAUACCCAUGUCACAUUCGUAGAGGGAGAGGAACUCCAGUUGCUUGCAUAUACUGAAAAUCUUGGGGAAACCUGAUUCUCCUAACCUCAAAUUCUCUAGCGUGAGGCGUGCAAGACCACCAAAUGCGUUUGGACAUGAAUCAAAGAAUGACAUGAAUUGCUUCCCAUAUAUGAGCAGCUCAUUCUUGGUACACUUCUUACGCACCUUCGUCAAGAUUGUAAACUCAGCUGAAUCAACCUUUUGUGUUGCUAUGGCAUUGGCAACAGUCUGGCCAAUUAAAAUGGACUCAUCUCCCAAGUAGAAUUGCAUGCGCAACAGGUGAAUGGGGUACAGACUUCCAGCUCUCCUUUCCAGUAUGCUCCUGGUUGCUUCCAGCACGGUGGUGUUGGCCCGAACUAUAUCAUCUGGGGUUAACUUGCUCCAGUCUUCGUGCUUCGGCUCAAAAGAACCAGCCAAUAUAACAACUUUCGAGAGUAUAGCAGGGAUCUGCUUCCAACGUCUGGAGAGGACGGUGGUUCGUGCGACGUCAACGAUACCAAGUCGCUCGACAAUGUUGAGCAAAACGUCAUCAGGCAACUUGCUGAGCCGAUCAUCUUGACUGUCCUCCUACAUUUGAUAAGGAAACAAAUCAGAGUUGAUUUCUUGUUAGCAUCAUCAUUCAUAGAUGCCUGUGAAGCACGGAUACGGACAAAUCUGCCAUUUCCACGUACAUAAGGCCGCUUAUAGAGAGGAUGAUCCAGCUAGAGCUCAAAGGGUGACAACACCAACACCACCAUGUUCGCCAUCACCGGAGAGGUUUUGCGAUGUCUCGGGACUUGCUGGCCUCCGGCGAAUUCUAGUGACUGCCAGGGAGACCACCGCUUGGCAGGGGCAGAGCUAGCAAUUGACAACAGGAUGGUCCGCCUCAAAAGAAUUGACAACAAAUAUGACAUGUAAAGAUUGUAACUAAUUGCAAAUUACCACAUAGAAAUAGAUUAAUAUGGUCUUACAAACACACUAAUCAGAGGUUGGGGAACUGGAAAAUGGUACCUCAAAUCAGGCUGAGACGAGUGCCGGAGUGAAGACCGGGCGGUGGGCGGCUGCGGCCGGGGCAGGGCAACAGGGUUGCGGCCACGGGUGGUGGCGCGGCGGGCUCCGAGCGACGGGGUUUUUUUUCAUACCUACAUGAAUGUCAUGUCAUCACAAAAAUUUGCAGCAAGCUAAAACUUUCAUCAAUGUUUAUAAAAAAAUCAGAAUUUGUUUACUAUUAUUUUGGAUUUUAUUGUUCAUCAAGGAGCAUGUGAGCUCGGAUUCAAAUACUCCGCGUGCAAGAAAAGUAUACUUUUCCCCCUCAAAUCCAUAUAGAUGGAUCAAAUACCACCCAAAGUCUAAAACCGGUUAAAUCACCCCCAAACUCUGCAAUACCGGAUCCAUAAGCCUCUCAAGUGGUUUUGGGAAGGAUUACAACCGGUUUGACUAUAGGUUGUUGACUUGUCAUUUCACUUGUGCCCCGUGACGCCAUGUUCUUGAUGACCGAGCAUCUCGCCGGGCAAGUAAUGGCUCUGACCAUCCAUCCAGGGUGAGGUUGUUGGCGCUAGUGCCGCGGGGAUUGUACCCGAGUGCGUGGUCACCAGGGCUCAGGAGGUGCCCAAGGUGCGCCCUCACGGUGAUGAUGGUGUCGCUCCUGCCCAGCUCCGACGAGCGCAUCGAGCUGCCUCGCCGCGUCCGCCAUGCACGACAGCAGGAGGACGGCGACGAUGGCCAUGAGGGCGGCUCAGGACCACGACGCAAAACAGAAGUCGACAUCGCCGGCGAGGCAGCAUUUAAUUUUUAAAAACUUGAACAGUUUUUUCAAAACAUAAACAACUUUUGAAAUUGAGAACAUUUUUUGAAACAUGAAAAGAAAUUAAAGCGUGAACUUUCUUUAAAAAAUAUGAAAAAAUAAUUAAAUUGAGCACAUUUUUUGAAAAAAUUGAACACUUUCUGGAAUUAAAAAAACAAACAGUCUUUGAAUUCCAAAAAAAUGAUUUUUUAGAACAUGAACAUUACAAAAACAAACAGUCUUUGAAAUUCCAAAAAAAAUGAUUUUUUAAGAACGUGAACAAAAUUUUGAAGCUUUUGAAAAAAACAAACAUCUUUUAAAAUUUUGAUUUUUUUUAAACAUACAUGAUAUUUUUUGCAAGUUUUAUAAAAAGAAAAGAAAAAACAGUAACAACGAAAAAGAGAAAACUUGGGAAAAACCAUCAAGAAAACAACAGGAAACCAUCAAGAAUUGGGAUCUCUUGCCCGUACCCUAGCUAUUGAGCCGGCCCAUAUGGCUGUCACUGUGCAAAGCAGCGACAUUUUGCCCGGGAGCUCCCAAGGGUGUGUUUGAUAGCAUGUAUGGAACUAGCCUAGUUGUUCUCAUGUCAUACAUGCUGAGUGUAGACAUGCUGAGUCCAUGCAGUUGCUGUUGUUUGGCAGUGAUGUAUGCGUUGAGACAUGCUGAGCUGAGAUUUUGUUUGGUAGCCUGCAUGUGUUUAGACAUGCUGAACAAUUUCAAAUUCUGAAUAUAUUUUUUGAAUGAUGAACAAAAUCGAAAAAAUCUCAACACAAAUUUAAACAUAUUUUGAAAAUUUAAAUAAAAUUUGAUAUUCUAAACUUUUUUGGAAAAUUAAAAUAAAUUUUGAAAUUCUUUUUUUAAUUUGAACAUAUUUGAAAUUACGAGUUUUUUUGAAAAUUUAAAUAAAAUUUGAAAAUUUUAUAAAAAAAAUAAAAUUCUAUUUUUUCAAAAUUCAAACAAAUUUUGAUUUCCUUUUGAAAUUCUGAACAUUUACAAUUUUUUUAGAAAAAAAUGAAAUUUCAAAUAUUUAAUGAAAAUUCAAACAAAUUUUGAAAUUAUGAUUUUUUUGAAAAUUUAAACAAUUUUGAAAUUCAAACUUUUCAUUUUUUCUGAAAUUCUAAGGUUUUUCGAAAAUUUAAACAAAUUUUGAAAUUCUGAUUCUUUUUGAAAAAAUAAACAUAUCUGGACGUGGUCUGGCCGGUGGGGACGAGUGUUAGGCCGGCAUAGCUGCCUCGAUGCACCCUGUCUGGAGUGCAUGAGAUGAGCAUGGCUGAGGGCACUUUUAUGCAUCAGAUGAGCAUAGCUCAGAUGAGCCCAUGCACCCUACCAAACAAGCAAAAGUGGGUCAGAUUAGGAACUUUUGCCCUCAUGCACCCUCCAUGCACCCUACCAAACACACCCUAAGUGACGGCUUAAGCGCCACUUGGAUGAACGGGUGCCCACGCGCCCCUGCUCAUGCGCUGGCCCAGGUAAGGUGAGUGUUGGAUCGAUUCACCCGUUCCCACCCCUGGUCACUCUAGCACUAUUUGACCAGUCGCGGUUGACCAGUUGUCUGAUCAACCUUUAACUUUUUAAAAAUAGGGAAAAAGUAAACAAUGCGGAAAAACACAAAUAAAAUUGAAAAAAAAUGUGAAUUCAAAAAUGUUCACAGACUUUGAAAAAUUUCAUGAAUUUGUAAAAAUAGUUCGUCAAAUUUGAAAGAAAAUUCAUCGAAUUUGCAAAAAGGUCAUCACCAUCUUCACCAACUGAGUCUUUUGUAGGAGUAGAGAUGCGGCUGAGGACACUUGGCGCCAUGCCUUGACUGAAUGUCGGAUGGCCUAGUGUUCAUGGGCGUUGGGAGAUGAAGAAACAUGGAACAUAUGAUCUCUAAUUGUUCGGGCGAUGCCCGGCUAUGUUUGUUCUGUUUGUUUGAACCCAUGAACCAGCAGGAGCUUGCGUGAGUGGUUAUUACCCUAUGGGCCAUCUGGCGGGCUCGAAAGCAGGCAAUUCAGAUGACAAAUUUCAAAGUCCUCUUUCUACAAUGGGUUUCAUCAAUAGUGUAACACCCUCGAUGCGACUAUAUCUCUCACGUGUCGAGGCACGACUUAGAGGCAUAAUCGCAUUGAAGGCAUAUGCCGCAAGUGAGGUAAUCUUCACACAACCCAUGUAAUAUAAUAAGGGAAAGAGAUACAUAGUUGGCUUACAAUCACCACUUCACACAAUUACAUGAAUAAAGCAUUACAUCAACCAAAUACACUCAUGGUCCGACUACGGAACCAAAAUAAAAGAAGAACCCCAAAUGCGACAAAGGUCCCCGAUCGACCCCAACUGGGCUCCACUACUGAUCAACUAGAACGAAACAACACAAAUAAACAAGGUCUUCAACGAGCUCCUCCAGAGCUGGGUUGCGUCAUCUGCACGGACUCAUCGUCACCUCCAAACUGGUUUUGGAAGUAUUUGUGAGCCACGAGGACUCAGCAAUCUCGCACCCUCGCGAUCAAGACUAUUUAAGCUUAUGGGUAAGGUAAAGGUAUGAGGUGGAGCUGCAGCAAGCGACUAGCAUAUAUGGUGGCUAACAUACGCAAAUGAGAGCGAGAAGAGAAGGCAAAGCAUGGUCGAUAAAAGUAUGAUCAAGAAGUGAUCCUGUACUACCUACGUCAAGCAUAACUCCAACAACCGUGUUCACUUCCCGGACUCCACCGGAAAGAGACCAUCACGGUUACACACGCGGUUGAUUCAUUUUAAUUAAGGUCAAUUUCAAGUUUUCUACAACCGGACGUUAACAAAUUCCCAUCUGCCCAUAACCGCGGGCACGGCUUUCGAAAGUUCAAAACCCUGCAGGGUGUCCCAACUUAGCCCAUGACAAGCUCUCACGGUCAACGAAGGAAUAUACCUCCACCCGAGACAUUCCGAUCAGACUCGGUAUCCUAGUACAACAAGACAUUUCGACAGGGUAAAACUAAACCAGCAACACCGCCCGAUGCGCCGACAUCCUGAUAGGAGCUGCACAUAUCUCGUUCUCAGGGCAACACCGGAUAAGCAGUCCGUACAACUAAAACCAGCCCUCAAGUUUCCCCGAGGUGGCGCUGCAAGGGGCUCUAGUUUGGACCAAUGCUUAGACAAGCACUGGCCCGGGGGGGUUAAAUAAAGAUGACCCUCGAGAUGCGCGACUCCCAAGGGAAAAGGCUAGGUGGCAAAUGGUAAAACCAAUGUUGGGCAUUGCUGGAGAAGCUUUACUUAAGGCGAACUGUCAAGGGGUUCCCAUUAUAGCCCAACCGCAUAAGGGACGCAAAAUCCGGGAACAUAACACCGAUAUGACGGAAACUAGGGCGGCAAGAGUGGAACGAAACACCAGGCAUAAGGCCGAGCCUUCCACCCUUUACCAAGUAUAUAGAUGCAUUAAUUAAAUAAGAUAUAUGGUGAUAUCCCAACAAGUAAAUAAAUGUUCCAACUGUUGGGGAACGUAGUAAUUUCAAAAAAUUUCCUACGCACACGCAAGAUCAUGGUGAUGCAUAGCAACGAGGGGGAGAGUCUGAUCUACGUACCCUUGUAGAUCGCAACGGAAGCGUUGACACAACGUAGAGGAAGUAGUCGUACGUCUUCUUCCCGAUCCGACCGAUCCAAGCACCGUUACUCCGGCACCUCCGAGUUCUUAGCACACGUUCAGCUCGAUGACGAUCCUCGGGCUCCGAUCCAGCAAAGCGUCGAGGAAGAGUUCCGUCAGCACGACGGCGUGGUGAUGGUCUUGAUGUACUACCGACGCAGGGCUUCGCCUAAGCACUACAACGGUAUGAUCGAGGUGGAAUUUGGUGGCAGGGGCACCGCACACGGCUAAGGAAUGAUCUCAAUGAUCAACUUGUGUGUCUAGAGGUGCCCCCUGCCCCCGUAUAUAAAGGUUGCCAGGGGGAGGGCUGGCCGGCCAAAGGAGGAGGGCGCAGGAGGAGUCCUACUCCUACCGGGAGUAGGACCCCCCCCAAUCCUAUUCCUAAUAGGAUUCCUCGAGAGAGGGAGAGAGGGAGAAGGAGGCCGGCCACCUCUCCUAGUCCUAAUAGGACUAGGGGAGGGGGGAGGCGCGCAGCCCACCUUGGGCUGCCCCUUUCACCUUUCCACUAAGGCCCAAUAAGGCCCAUUUGGUUCCCAGGGGGUUCCGGUAACCUCCCGGUACUCCGGUAAAAUCCCGAUUUCACCCGGAACACUUCCGAUGUCCAAACAUAGGCUUCCAAUAUAUCAAUCUUUAUGUAUCAACCAUUUCGAGACUCCUCGUCAUGUCCGUGAUCACAUCCGGGACUCCGAACAACCUUCGGUACAUCAAAAUGCAUAAACUCAUAAUAACUGUCAUCGUAACGUUAAGCGUGCGGACCCUACGGUUCGAGAACAAUGUAGACAUGACCGAGACACGUCUCCGGUCAAUAACCAAUAGCGGGACCUGGAUGCCCAUAUUGGCUCCUACAUAUUCUACGAAGAUCUUUAUCGGUCAGACCGCAUAACAACAUACGUUGUUCCCUGUGUCAUCGGUAUGUUACUUGCCCGAGAUUCGAUCGUCGGUAUCCAAUACCUAGUUCAAUCUCGUUACCGGCAAGUCUCUUUAGUCGUUCUGUAAUACAUCAUCCGCAACUAACUCAUUAGUUGCAAUGCUUGCAAGGCUUGUGUAAUGUGUAUUACCGAGAGGGCCCAGAGAUACCUCUCCGACAAUCGGAGUGACAAAUUCUAAUCUCGAAAUACGCCAACCCAACAUCUACCAUUGGAGACACCUGUAGUACUCCUUUAUAAUCACCCAGUUAUGUUGUGACGUUUGGUAGCACCCAAAGUGUUCCUCCGGCAAACGGGAGUUGCAUAAUCUCAUAGUCAUAGGAACAUGUAUAAGUCAUGAAGAAAGCAAUAGCAACAUACUAAACGAUCGGGUGCUAAGCUAAUGAAAUGGGUCAUGUCAAUCAGGUCAUUCAACUAAUGAUGUGACCUCGUUAAUCAAAUAACAACACAUUGUUCAUGGUUAGGAAACUUAACCAUCUUUGAUUAACGAGCUAGUCAAGUAGAGGCAUACUAGUGACACUCUGUUUGUCUAUGUAUUCACACAUGUAUUAUGUUUCCGGUUAAUACAAUUCUAGCAUGAAUAAUAAAAUUUAUCAUGAUAUAAGGAAAUAAAUAAUAACUUUAUUAUUGCCUCUAGGGCAUAUUUCCUUCAGUCUCCCACUUGCACUAGAGUCAAUAAUCUAGAUUACACAGUAAUGAUUCUAACACCCAUGGAGCCUUGGUGCUGAUCAUGUUUUGCUCGUGGAAGAGGCUUAGUCAACGGGUCUGCAACAUUCAGAUCCGUAUGUAUCUUGCAAAUCUCUAUGUCUCCCACCUGGACUAGAUCCCGGAUGGAAUUGAAGCGUCUCUUGAUGUGUUUGGUCCUUUUGUGAAAUCUGGAUUCUUUUGCCAAAGCAAUUGCACCAGUAUUGUCACAAAAGAUUUUCAUUGGACCCGAUGCACUAGGUAUGACACCUAGAUCGGAUAUAAACUCCUUCAUCCAGACUCCUUCGUUCGCUGCUUCCGAAGCAGCUAUGUACUCCGCUUCACAUGUAGAUCCCGCUACGACGCUUUGUUUAGAACUGCACCAACUGACAGCUCCACCGUUUAAAGUAAACACGUAUCCGGUUUGCGAUUUAGAAUCGUCCGGAUCAGUGUCAAAGCUUGCAUCAACGUAACCUCUUACGGUGAGCUCUUUGUCACCUCCAUAUAUGAGAAACAUAUCCUUAGUCCUUUUCAGGUAUUUUAGGAUGUUCUUGACCGCUGUCCAGUGAUCCACUCCUGGAUUACUUGUUGGAAAUAUGCCCUAGAGGCAAUAAUAAAUUGAUUAUUAUUAUAUUUCCUUGUUCAUGAUAAUCGUUUAUUAUCCAUGCUAUAAUUGUAUUGAUAGGAAACUCAGAUACAUGUGUGGAUACAUAGACAACACCAUGUCCCUAGUAAGCCUCUAGUUGACUAGCUCGUUGAUCAAUAGAUGGUUACGGUUUCCUGACCAUGGACAUUGGAUGUCAUUGAUAACGGGAUCACAUCAUUAGGAGAAUGAUGUGAUGGACAAGACCCAAUCCUAAGCAUAGCACUAGAUCGUGUAGUUCGUAUGCUGAAGCUUUUCUAAUGUCAAGUAUCAUUUCCUUAGACCAUGAGAUUGUGCAACUCCCGGAUAUCGUAGGAGUGCUUUGGGUGUGCCAAAUGUCACAACGUAACUGGGUGGCUAUAAAGGUACAUUACAGGUAUCUCCGAAAGUGUCUGUUGGGUUGGCACGAAUCGAGACUGGGAUUUGUCACUCCGUGUAAACGGAGAGGUAUCUCUGGGCCCACUCGGUAGGACAUCAUCAUAAUGUGCACAGUGUGAUCAAGGAGUUGAUCACGGGAUGAUGUGUUACGGAACGAGUAAAGAGACUUGCCGGUAACGAGAUUGAACAAGGUAUCGGGAUACCGACGAUCGAAUCUCGGGCAAGUAUCGUACCGAUAGACAAAGGGAAUUGUAUACAGGAUUGAUUAAGUCCUUGACAUCGUGGUUCAUCCGAUGAGAUCAUCGUGGAACAUGUGGGAGCCAACAUGGGUAUCCAGAUCCCACUGUUGGUUAUUGACCGGAGAACGUCUCGGUCAUGUCUGCAUGUCUCCCGAACCCGUAGGGUCUACACACUUAAGGUUCGAUGACGCUAGGGUUAUAAAGGAAGUUAGUAUGUGGUUACCGAAUGUUGUUCGGAGUCCCGGAUGAGAUCCCGGACGUCACAAGGAGUUCCGGAAUGGUCCGGAGGUAAAGAUUUAUAUAUGGGAAGUCCUGUUUUUGACACCGGAAGAGUUUCGGGGUUUAUCGGUAACAUACCAGGACCACCGGGAGGGUCCCGGGGGUCCACCUGCCCCGGAGGUUUGCAUGGGCCAAGAUUGGUGAGGGACCAGCCCCUUAGUGGGCUGGUGCGCCUCCCAUAAGGGCCCAUGGCGCCUAAGAGGUGGAAAAGGGGCAAACCCUAGAGGAUAUGGGCCUUAGGGCCCAUAUUGGUGCGCCUCCCUCUCCUCUCUCCCUCUUGGCCGCCACCUUUGAUCCCCAUCUAGGGCUGCCGCCCCCCUAGGGGUGGGAACCCUAGAGGGGGCGCAGCCCCUCCCCUUCCCUAUAUAUAUGAGGCCUAGGGCUGCCCAAAAAGACACGCGAUUCAAUCUCUCUUGGUGCAACCCUGCGUCUCUUCUUCCUCCUCUUCUGUGGUGCUUGGCGAAGCCCUGCAGGAUAGCCACGCUCCUCCACCACCACCACGCCAUUGUGCUGCUGUUGGAUGAAGUCUUCCUCAACCUCUCCCUCUCUCCUUGCUGGAUCAAGGCAUGGGAGACGUCACCGGGCUGUACGUGUGUUGAACGCGGAGGUGUCGUCCGUUCGGCACUUGGUCAUCGGUGAUUUGAAUCACGAUGAGUACGACUCCAUCAAACCCAUUCACUUGAACGCUUCCGCUUAGCGAUCUACAAGGGUAUGUAGAUGCACUCUCCUCCCCCUGGUUGCUAGUCUCUCCAUAGAUAGAUCUUGGUGACACGUAGGAAAAUUUUGAAUUUCUGCUACGUUCCCCAACAGUGGCAUCAUGAGCUAGGUCUAUGCGUAGAUUCUAUGCACGAGUAGAACACAAAGUAGUUGUGGGCGUUGAUUUUGUUCAAUAUGCUUGCCGUUACUAGUCUUAUCUUGAUUCGGCGGCAUUGUGGGAUGAAGCGGCCCGGACCGACCUUACACGUACUCUUACGUGAGACUGGUUCCACCGACUGACAUGCACUAGUUGCAUAAGGUGGCUAGCGGGUGUCUGUCUCUCCCACUUUAGUCGGAUCGGAUUUGAUGAAAAGGGUCCUUAUGAAGGGUAAAUAGCAAUUGGCAUAUCACGUUGUGGUCUUUGCGUAGGUAAGAACCGUUCUUGCUAGAAACCCAUAGCAGCCACGUAAAACAUGCAAACAACAAUUAGAGGACGUCUAACUUGUUUUUGCAGGGUAUGCUAUGUGAUGUGGUAUGGCCCAAAGGAUGUGAUGAAUGAUAUAUGUGAUGUAUGAGAUUGAUCAUGUUCUUGUAAUAGGAAUCACGACUUGCAUGUCGAUGAGUAUGACAACCGGCAGGAGCCAUAGGAGUUGUCUUAAUUUAUUUAUGACCUGCGUGUCAACAUAAACGUCAUGUAAUUACUUUAGUUUAUUGCUAACCGUUAGCUGUAGUAGUAGAAGUAAUAGAUGACGUGAGAACUUCAAGAAUACACGAUGAUGGAGAUCAUGAUGAUGGAGAUCAUGGUGUCAUGCCGGUAACAAGAUGAUCAUGGAGCCCCGAAGAUGGAGAUCAAAAGGAGCAAUAUGAUAUUGGCCAUAUCAUGUCACUAUUUGAUUGCAUGUGAUGUUUAUCAUGUUUAUACAUCUUAUUUUCUUAGAACGACGGUAGUAAAUAAGAUGAUCCCUUACAAAAAUUUCAAGAAGUGUUCUCCCCUAACUGUGCACCGUUGCUACAGUUCGUCGUUUCGAAGCACCACGUGAUGAUCGGGUGUGAUAGAUCCUUAUGUUCACAUACAACGGGUGUAAGACAGAUUUACACAUGCAAAACACUUAGGGUUAACUUGACGAGCCUAGCAUGUGUAUAGACAUGGCCUCGGAACACAGAAGACCGAAAGGUCGAGCAUGAGUCGUAUGGUAGAUACGAUCAACAUGAAGAUGUUCACCGACGUUGACUAGUCCGUCUCACGUGAUGAUCGGACACGGCCUAGUUGACUCGGAUCAUGUAAUCACUUAGAUGACUAGAGGGAUGUCUAUCUAAGUGGGAGUUCAUAAGAUGAACUUAAUUAUCCUCGACAUAGUCAAAAGGAUUUUGCAAAUUAUGUCGUAGCUCACGCUAUAGUUCUACUAUUUAGAUAUGUUCCUAGAGAAAAAUUAGUUGAAAGUUGAUAGUAGCAAUUAUGCGGACUAGGUCCAUAAACUGAGGAUUGUCCUCAUUGCUUCAUAGAAGGCUUAUGUCCUUAAUGCACCGCUCAGUGUGCUGAACCUCGAAUGUUGUCUAUGGAUGUUGCGAACAUCUGACAUACACAUUUUGAUAACUACGUGAUAGUUCAGUUAAACGGUUUAGAGUUGAGGCACCAAAGACGGUUUUUGAAACGUCGCGAAACAUAUGAGAUGUUUCGAGGGCUGAAAUUGGGAUUUCAGGCUCGUGCCCACGUCAAGAGGUAUAAGACCUCCGACGAUUUUCUUAGCCUACAAACUAAGGGAGAAAAGCUCAAUUGUUGAGCUUGUGCUCAGAUUGUCUGAGUACAACAAUCAUUUGAAUCAAGUGGGAGUUGAUCUUCCAAGAUGAGAUAGUGAUGUUUCUCCAAAGUCAUUACCACCAAGCUGCUAGAGCUUCAUGAUGAACUAUGAUAUAUCAGGGACAUAUAUGAUUAUCCUUGAGAUAUUCGCGAUGUUUGACACCGCAAAAGUAGAUAUCAAGAAGGAGCAUCAAUUGUUGAUGGUUAGUGAAACCACUAGUUUCAAGAAGGGCAAGGGCAAGAAGGGAUACUUCAUGAAACGGCAAAUCAGCUGCUGCUCUGGUGAAGAAACCCAAGGUUGAACCCAAACCCGAGACUAAGUGCUUCUGUAAUAAGGGGAACAUCCACUGGAACAGAAUUACCCUAGAUACUUGGUAGAUUAGAAGGCUGGCAAGGUCGAUAGAAGUAUAUUGGAUAUACAUUAUGCUAAUGUGUACUUUGCUAGUACUCCUAGUAGCACCAGGGUAUUAGAUACCGGUUCGGUUGCUAAGUGUUAGUAACUCGAAAUAAAAGCUACGGAAUAAACGGAGACUAGCUAAAGGUGAGCUGACGAUAUGUGUUGGAAGUGUUUCCAAUGUUGAUAUAAUCAAGCAUCGCACGCUCCCUCUACCAUCAAUAUUGGUGUUAAACCUGAAUAAUUGUUAUUUGGUGUUUGCGUUGAGCAUAGACAUGAUUGGAUUAUGUCUAUCGCAAUACGGUUAUUCAUUUAAGGAGAAUAAUGGUUACUCUGUUUAUUUGAAUAAUACCUUCAAUGGUCUUACACCUAAAAUGAAUGGUUUAUUGAAUCUCGAUCGUAGUGAUACACAUGUUCAUGCCAAAAGAUAGUAAUGAUAGUACCACCUACUUGUGGCACUGCCACGUAAGUCAUAUCGGUAUAAAACGCAUGAGGAAGCUCCAUGUUGAUGGAUCUUUGGGCUCACUCAUUUUUGAAAAGUUUGAGACACGCGAACCAUGUCUAUUGGUGUAUAUGCAUGAAGAAACUCCAUGCAAAUGGACCGUUUGGACUCACUUGAUUUUGAAUCAGUUGAGACGUGCAAAUCAUACCACAUGGGCAAGAUGACUGAAAGCCUCGUUUUCAGUAAAAUGGAACUAGAAAGCAACCUGUUGGAAGUAAUACAUUUUGAUGUGUGCAGUCCAAUGAGUGCUGAGGCAUGUAGUGGAUAUCGUUAUGUUUUAACUUCACAGAUGAUUUGAGUAAAUGUUGAGUAUAUUUACUUGAUGAAUCACGAGUCUGAAUUAUUGAAAGGUUCAAGUAAUUUCAAGGUGAAGUUGAAAGAUCAUCGUGACAAGAGGAUAAAAUAUCUAUGAUAUGAUCAUAGAGAUGAAUAUCUGAAUUACGAGUUUGGCACAGAAUUAAGACAUUGUGGAAAUUGUUUCACAACUAAUACAGCCUGGAACACCAUAGUGUGAUGGUGUGUCCGAACAUCAUAACUGCACCCUAUUGGAUAUGAUGCAUACCAUGAUGUCUCCUAUCGAAUUACCACGAUAGUUUAUGGGUUAGGCAUUAGAGACAACCACAUUCACUUUAAAUAGGGCACCACGUAAUUCCGAUGAGAUGACACCGUACGAACUAUGGUUUAGAGAAACCUAAGCUGUCAUUUCUUAAAAGUUUGGGGCUGUGAUGCUUAUGUGAAAAGUUUCAGGCUGAUAAGCUGGAACCCAAAGCGGAUAAAUGCAUCUUCAUAGGACACCCAAAACAGUUGGGUAUACCUCCCGUCUCAGAUCCGAAAGCAAUAAGGGAUUGUUUCUGGAAUCGGGUCCUUUCUCGAGGAAAAGUUUCUCUCGAAGGAAUUGAGUGGGAGGAUGGUGGAGACUUGAUGAGGUUAUUGAACCAUCUCUUCAACUAGUGUGUGGCAGGGCACAGGAAAUUGUUCCUGUGGCACCUACACCAAUUGAAGUGGAAGCUUAUGAUAUUGAUCACGAGACUUCGGAUCAAGUCACUACCAAACCUCGUAGGAUGACAAGGUUGCGUACUACUUUAGAGUGGUACGUAAUCCUGUCUUGGAAGUCAUGUUGCUAGACAACAAUGAACCUACGAGCUAUGGAGAAGCGAUGGUGGGCCCGGAUUCCGAUAAAUGGCUCGAGGCCAUAUAAUCCGAGAGAGGAUCCAUAUAUGAAAACAAAGUGUAGACUUUGGAAGAACUACUUGAUGGUCGUAAGGCUGUUGAGUAUAGAUGGAUUUUAAAGGAAGACGGACAAUGAUGGUAGAUGUCACCAUUAAGAAAGCUUGACUUGUCAUUAGAAGUUUCCCGACAAGUUCAAGGAGUUGACUACGAUGAGACUUUCUCACUCGUAGCGAUGCUAAGAGUCUGUUGGAAUUAUAUUAGCGAUUACUGCAUUAUUUAUGAAAUCUUGCAGAUAGGAUGUCAAAACAUUGUUUCCUCGACGAUUUUCUUGAGGAAAAGUUGUAUGUGAUACAACCGGAAGUUUUUGUCAAUCCUCAAAUAUGCUAAUAAGUAUGCAAAGCUCCAGCAAUCCUUCUAAGGACUGGAGUAAGCAUCUCGGAGUUGGAAUGUAUGCUUUGAUGAGAUGAUCAAAGAUUUUGGUUUAUACAAAGUUUAUGAGAAACUUGUAUUUCCAAAGAAGUGAGUGGGAGCACUAUAGAAUUUCUGAUGAGUAUAUGUUGUUGACAUAUUGUUGAUCAGAAAUGACGUAGAAUUUCUGGAAAGCAUAUAGGGUUAUUUGGAAAGUGUUUUUCAAUGGAAAAGCCUGGAUUAAGCUACUUGAACAUUGAAGCAUCAAGAUCUAUAAGGAUAGAUCAAAACGCUUAAUGGAACUUUCAAAUGAGCACAUACCUUGACGUGAUCUUGAAGGUGUUCAAGAUGGAUCAGUCAAAGAAGGAGUUCUUGCCUGAGUUGUAAGGUAUGAAGUUAAGACUUAAAGCUCGACCACGGCAGAAUAGAGAGAAAGGAACGAAGGUCGUCCCCUAUGCUUAAGACAUGGGCUCUACAGUAUGCUAUGCUGUGUACCGCACCUGAAGUGUGCCUUGCCAUGAGUCAGUCAAGGGGUACAAGAGUGAUCCAAGAAUGGAUCACAGGACAGCGGUCAAAGUUAUCCUUAGUAACUAGUGGACUAAGGAUUUUUCUCGAUUAUGGAGGUGGUAAAAGAGUUCAUCGUAAAGGGUUACGUCGAUGCAAGCUUAACACCUAUCCGGAUAGCUCUGAGUAGAGAUACCGGAUACGUAUAAUGGAGCAACAAUUUAGAAUAGCUCCAAGUAGAACAGUUAUUUGGAAUAGCUCCAAAUAGAACGUGGUAGCUACAUCUAGGAGAUGACAUAGAGAUUUGUAAAGCACACACGGAUCUGAAAGGUUUAGACCCGUUGACUAAAACCUCUCUCACAAGCAACAUGAUCAAACACAGAACUCAUUGAGUGCUAAUCACAUAGUGAUGUGAACUAGACUCUUGGAUGUUGGUUACAUAGCGAUGUGACCUGUGAGUGUUAAUCACAUGGCGAUGUGAACUAGAUUAUUGACUCUAGUGCAAGUGGGAGACUGUUGGAAAUAUGCCCUAGAGGCAAUAAUAAAUUGAUUAUUAUUAUAUUUCCUUGUUCAUGAUAAUCGUUUAUUAUCCAUGCUAUAAUUGUAUUGAUAGGAAACUCAGAUACAUGUGUGGAUACAUAGACAACACCAUGUCCCUAGUAAGCCUCUAGUUGACUAGCUCGUUGAUCAAUAGAUGGUUACGGUUUCCUGACCAUGGACAUUGGAUGUCAUUGAUAACGGGAUCACAUCAUUAGGAGAAUGAUGUGAUGGACAAGACCCAAUCCUAAGCAUAGCACUAGAUCGUGUAGUUCGUAUGCUGAAGCUUUUCUAAUGUCAAGUAUCAUUUCCUUAGACCAUGAGAUUGUGCAACUCUCGGAUACCGUAGGAGUGCUUUGGGUGUGCCAAAUGUCACAACGUAACUGGGUGGCUAUAAAGGUACAUUACAGGUAUCUCCGAAAGUGUCUGUUGGGUUGGCACGAAUCGAGACUGGGAUUUGUCACUCCGUGUAAACGGAGAGGUAUCUCUGGGCCCACUCGGUAGGACAUCAUCAUAAUGUGCACAGUAUGAUCAAGGAGUUGAUCACAGGAUGAUGUGUUACGGAACGAGUAAAGAGACUUGCCGGUAACGAGAUUGAACAAGGUAUCGGGAUACCAACGAUCGAAUCUCAGGCAAGUAUCGUACCGAUAGACAAAGGGAAUUGUAUACGGGAUUGAUUAAGUCCUUGACAUCGUGGUUCAUCCGAUGAGAUCAUCGUGGAACAUGUGGGAGCCAACAUGGGUAUCCAGAUCCCGCUGUUGGUUAUUGACCGGAGAACGUCUCGGUCAUGUCUGCAUGUCUCCCGAACCCGUAGGGUCUACACACUUAAGGUUCGAUGACGCUAGGGUUAUAAAGGAAGUUAGUAUGUGGUUACCGAAUGUUGUUCGGAGUCCUGGAUGAGAUCCCGGACGUCACGAGGAGUUCCGGAAUGGUCCGGAGGUAAAGAUUUAUAUAUGGGAAGUCCUGUUUUGGACACCGGAAGAGUUUCGGGGUUUAUCGAUAACAUACCGGGACCACCGGGAGGGUCCCGGGGGUCCACCAAGUGGGGCCACCUGCCCCGGAGGUUUGCAUGGGCCAAGAUUGGUGAGGGACCAGCCCCUUAGUGGGCUGGUGCGCCUCCCAUAAGGGCCCAUGGCGCCUAAGAGGUGGAAAAGGGGCAAACCCUAGAGGAUAUGGGCCUUAGGGCCCAUAUUGGUGCGCCUCCCUCUCCUAUCCCCCUCUUGGCCGCCACCUUUGAUCCCCAUCUAGGGCUGCCGCCCCCUAGGGGUGGGAACCCUAGAGGGGGCGCAGCCCCUCCCCUUCCCUAUAUAUAUGAGGCCUAGGGCUGCCCAAAAAGACACGCGAUUCAAUCUCUCUUGGUGCAACCCUGCGUCUCUUCUUCCUCCUCUUCUGUGGUGCUUGGCGAAGCCCUGCAGGAUAGCCACGCUCCUCCACCACCACCACGCCGUUGUGCUGCUGUUGGAUGAAGUAUUCCUCAACCUCUCCCUCUCUCCUUGCUGGAUCAAGGCAUGGGAGACGUCACCGGGCUGUACGUGUGUUGAACGCGGAGGUGCCGUCCGUUCGGCACUUGGUCAUCGGUGAUUUGAAUCACGACGAGUAUGACUCCAUCAACCCCGUUCACUUGAACGCUUCCGCUUAGCGAUCUACAAGGGUAUGUAGAUGCACUCUCCUCCCCCUCGUUGCUAGUCUCUCCAUAGAUAGAUCUUGGUGACAAGUAGGAAAAUUUUGAAUUUCUGCUACGUUCCCCUACAUUACUUUGGUACCUCCCUGCUAAACUUAUAGCAAGGCACACAUCAGGUCUGGUACAUAGCAUUGCAUACAUGAUAGAGCAUAUGGCUGAAGCAUAGGGAACAUCUUUCAUUUUCUCUCUAUCUUCUGCAGUGGUCGGGCAUUGAGUCUGACUCAACUUCACACCUUGUAACACAGGCAAGAACCCUUUCUUUGCUUGAUCCAUUUUGAACUUCUUCAAAAUCUCGUCAAGGUAUGUGCUUUGUGAAAGUCCAAUUAAGCGUCUUGAUCUAUCAAUAUAGAUCUUUAUGUCUAAUAUGUAAGCAGCUUCCCCGAGGUCUUUCAUCGAAAAACUUUUAUUCAAGUAUCCCUUUAUGCUAUCCAGAAAUUCUAUAUCAUUUCCAAUCAGCAAUAUGUCAUCCACAUAUAAUAUCAGAAAUGCUACAGAGCUCCCACUCACUUUCUUGUAAAUACAGGCUUCUCCAAACGUCUGUAUAAAACCAAAUGCUUUGAUCACACUAUCAAAGCGUUUAUUCCAACUCCGAGAGGCUUGCACCAGUCCAUAAAUGGAUCACUGGAGCUUGCACACUUUGUUAGCUCCUUUUGGAUCGACAAAACCUUCUGGUUGCAUCAUAUACAACUCUUCUUCCAGAAAUCCAUUCAGGAAUGCAGUUUUGACAUCCAUCUGCCAAAUUUCACAAUUAUAAAAUGCGGCAAUUGCUAACAUGAUUCUGACAGACUUAAGCAUCGCUACGGGUGAGAAGGUCUCAUCGUAGUCAACCCCUUGAACUUGUCGAAAACCUUUUGCGACAAGUCAAGCUUUAUAGACAGUAAUAUUACCAUCAACGUCAGUCUUUUUCUUGAAGAUCCAUUUAUUCUCAAUUGCUUGCCGAUCAUUGGGCAAGUCAACCAAAGUCCAUACUUUGUUCUCAUACAUGGAUCCCAUCUCAGAUUUCAUGGCUUCAAGCCACUUUGCGGAAUCUGGGCUCACCAUCGCUUCUUCAUAGUUCAUAGGUUCAUCAUGAUCUAGUAGCAUGACUUCCAGAAUUGGAUUACCGUACCACUCUGGUGCGGAUCUCACUCUGGUUGAUCUACGUGGUUCAGUAGUAUCUUGUCCUGAAGUUUCAUGAUCAUCAUCAUUAGCUUCCUCACUAAUUGGUAUAGGUGUCCCAGAAACAGUUUUCUGUUAUGUACUAUUUUCCAAUAAGGGAGUAGGUACAGUUACCUCGUCAAGUUCUACUUUCCUCCCACUCACUUCUUUUGAGAGAAACUCCUUUUCUAGAGAUGAUCCAUUCUUAGCAACGAAUGUCUUGCCUUCGGAUCUGUGAUAGAAGGUGUACCCAACAGUCUCCUUUGGGUAUCCUAUGAAGACACAUUUCUCCGCUUUGGGUUCGAGCUUAUCAGGUUGAAGCUUUUUCACAUAAGCAUCGCAGCCCCAAACUUUAAGAAACGACAACUUUGGUUUCUUGCCAAACCAUAGUUCAUAAGGCGUCGUCUCGACGGAUUUUGAUGGUGCCCUAUUUAACGUGAAAGCGGCCGUCUCUAAAGCAUAACCCCAAAAUGAUAGCGGUAAAUCAGUAAGAGACAUCAUAGAUCGCACCAUAUCUAGUAAAGUACGAUUACGACGUUCGGACACACCAUUACGCUGUGGUGUUCCGGGUGGCGUGAGUUGCGAAACUAUUCCACAAUUUUUCAAAUGUACACCAAACUCGUAACUCAAAUAUUCUCCUCCACGAUCAGAUCGUAGAAACUUUAUUUUCUUGUUACGAUGAUUUUCAACUUCACUCUGAAAUUCUUUGAACUUUUCAAAGGUUUCAGACUUGUGUUUCAUUAAGUAGAUAUACCCAUAUCUGCUUAAAUCAUCUGUGAAGGUGAGAAAAUAACGAUAUCCGCCACGAGCCUCAAUAUUCAUCGGACCACAUACAUCGGUAUGUAUUAUUUCCAACAGAUCUGUUGCUCUCUCCAUAGUACCGGAGAACGGUGUUUUAGUCAUAUUGCCUAUGAGGCACGGUUCGCAAGUACCAAGUGAUUCAUAAUCAAGUGGUUCCAAAAGCCCAUCAGUAUGGAGUUUCUUCAUGCGCUUUACACCGAUAUGACCUAAACGGCAGUGCCACAAAUAAGUUGCACUAUCAUUAUCAACUCUGCAUCUUUUGGUUUCAACAUUAUGAAUAUGUGUAUCACUACUAUCGAGAUUCAUCAAAAAUAGACCACUCUUCAAAGGUGCAUGACCAUAAAAGAUAUUACUCAUAUAAAUAGAACAACCAUUAUUCUCUGACUUAAAUGAAUAACCGUCUCGCAUUAAACAAGAUCCAUAUAUAAUGUUCAUGCUCAACGCUGGCACCAAAUAACAAUUAUUUAGGUCUAAUAUUAAUCCCGAAGGUAGAUGUAGAGGUAGCGUGCCAACCGCGACCACAUCGACUUUGGAACCGUUUCCCACGCGCAUCGUCACCUCGUCCUUUGCUAGUGUCCGCUUAUUCUGUAAUCCCUGUUUCGAGUUGCAAAUAUUAGCAAUAGAACCAGUAUCAAAUACCCAGGUGCUACUGCGAGCUCUAGUAAGGUACACAUCAAUAACAUGUAUAUCACAUAUACCUUUGUUCACCUUGCCAUCCUUCUUAUCCGCCAAAUACUUGGGGCAGUUCCGCUUUCAGUGACCAGUCUGCUUGCAGUAGAAGCACUCAGUUUCAGGCUUAGGUCCAGACUUGGGUUUCUUCUCCUGAGCAGCAACUUGCUUGCUGUUCUUCUUGAAGUUCCCCUUCUUCUUCCCAUUGCCCUUUUUCUUGAAACUAGUGGUCUUGUUGACCAUCAACACUUGAUGCUCCUUCUUGAUUUCUACCUCCGCAGCUUUCAGCAUUGCGAAGAGCUCGGGAAUAGUCUUGUUCAUCCCUCGCAUAUUAUAGUUCAUCACGAAGCUCUUGUAGCUUGGUGGCAGUGAUUGGAGAAUUCUGUCAAUGACGCAAUCAUCUGGAAGAUUAACUCCCAUCUGAAUCAAGUGAUUAUUAUACCCAGACAUUUUGAGUAUAUGCUCACUGACAGAACUGUUCUCCUCCAUCUUGCAGCUAUAGAACUUAUUGGAGACUUCAUAUCUCUCAAUUCGGGCAUUUGCUUGAAAUAUUAACUUCAACUCCUGGAACAUAUCUUAUGCUCCAUGACGUUCAAAACGUCGUUGAAGUCCCGAUUCUAAGCCGUAAAGCAUGGCACACUGAACUAUCGAGUAGUCAUCAGCUUUGCUCUGCCAGAUGUUCAUAACAUCUGGUGUUGCUCCAGCAGCAGGCCUGGCACCCAGCGGUGCUUCCAGGACGUAAUUCUUCUGUGCAGCAAUGAGGAUAAUCCUCAGGUUACGGACCCAGUCCGUGUAAUUGCUACCAUCAUCUUUCAACUUUGCUUUCUCAAGGAACGCAUUAAAAUUCAACGGAACAACAACACGAGCCAUCUAUCUACAAUCAACAUAAACAAGCAAGAUACUAUCAGGUACUAAGUUCAUGAUAAGUAUAAGUUCAGUUAAUCAAAUUACUUAAGAACUCCCACUUAGAUAGACAUCCCUCUAAUCCUCUAAGUGAUCACGUGAUCCAAAUCAACUAAACCAUAACCGAUCAUCACGUGAGAUGGAGUAGUUUUCAAUGGUGAACAUCGUUAUGUUGAUCAUAUCUACUAUAUGAUUCACGCUCGACCUUUUGGUCUCUGUGUUCCGAGGCCAUAUCUGCAUAUGCUAGGCUCGUCAAGUUUAACCUGAGUAUUCUGCGUGUGCAAAACUGGCUUGCACCCGUUGUAGAUGGACGUAGAGCUUAUCACACCCGAUCAUCACGUGGUGUCUGGGCACGACGAACUUUGGCAACGGUGCAUACUCAGGGAGAACACUUCUUGAUAAUUUAGUGAGAGAUCAUCUUAUAAUGCUACCGUCAAUCAAAGCAAGAUAAGAUGCAUAAAUAGGGAAAAAGUAAACAAUGUGGAAAAACACAAAUAAAAUUGAAAAAAAAUGUGAAUUCAAAAAUGUUCACAGACUUUGAAAAAUUUCACGAAUUUGUAAAAAUAGUUCGUCAAAUUUGAAAGAAAAUUCAUCGAAUUUGCAAAAAGGUCAUCACCAUCUUCACCAACUGAGUCUUUUGUAGGAGUAGAGAUGCGGCUGAGGACACUUGGCGCCAUGCCUUGACUGAAUGUCGGAUGGCCUAGUGUUCAUGGGUGUUGGGAGAUGAAGAAACAUGGAACAUAUGAUCUCUAAUCGUUCGGGCGAUGCCCGGCUAUGUUUGUUCUGUUUGUUUGAACCCAUGAACCAACAUGAACUUGCGUGAGUGGUUAUUACCCUAUGGGCCAUCUGGUGGGCUCGAAAGCAGGCAAUUCAGAUGACAAAUUUCAAAGUCCUCUUUCUACAAUGGGUUUCAUCAAUAGUGUAACACCCUCGAUGCGACUAUAUCUCCCAAGUGUCGAGGCACGACUUAGAGGCAUAAUCGCAUUGAAGGCAUAUGCCGCAAGUGAGGUAAUCUUCACACAACCCAUGUAAUAUAAUAAGGGAAAGAGAUACAUAGUUGGCUUACAAUCACCACUUCACACAAUUACAUGAAUAAAGCAUUACAUCAACCAAAUACACUCAUGGUCCGACUACGGAACCAAAAUAAAAGAAGAACCCCAAAUGCGACAAAGGUCCCCGAUCGACCCCAACUGGGCUCCACUACUGAUCAACUAGAACGAAACAACACAAAUAAACAAGGUCUUCAACGAGCUCCUCCUGAGCUGGGUUGCGUCAUCUGCACGGACUCAUCGUCACCUCCAAACUGGUUUUGGAAGUAUCUGUGAGCCACGAGGACUCAGCAAUCUCGCACCCUCGCGAUCAAGACUAUUUAAGCUUAUGGGUAAGGUAAAGGUAUGAGGUGGAGCUGCAGCAAGCGACUAGCAUAUAUGGUGGCUAACAUACGCAAAUGAGAGCGAGAAGACAAGGCAAAGCAUGGUCGAUAAAAGUAUGAUCAAGAAGUGAUCCUGUACUACCUACGUCAAGCAUAACUCCAACAACCGUGUUCACUUCCCGGACUCCGCCGGAAAGAGACCAUCACGGUUACACACGCGGUUGAUUCAUUUUAAUUAAGGUCAAUUUCAAGUUUUCUACAACCGGACGUUAACAAAUUCCCAUCUGCCCAUAACCGCGGGCACGGCUUUCGAAAGUUCAAAACCCUGCAGGGUGUCCCAACUUAGCCCAUGACAAGCUCUCACGGUCAACGAAGGAAUAUACCUCCACCCGAGACAUUCCGAUCAGACUCGGUAUCCCAGUACAACAAGACAUUUCGACAGGGUAAAACUAAACCAGCAACACCGCCCGAUGCGCCGACAUCCUGAUAGGAGCUGCACAUAUCUCGUUCUCAGGGCAACACCGGAUAAGCAGUCCGUACAACUAAAACCAGCCCUCAAGUUUCCCCGAGGUGGCGCUGCAAGGGGCUCUAGUUUGGACCAAUGCUUAGACAAGCACUGGCCCCGGGGGGGUUAAAUAAAGAUGACCCUCGAGAUGCGCGACUCCCAAGGGAAAAGGCUAGGUGGCAAAUGGUAAAACCAAUGUUGGGCAUUGCUGGAGAAGCUUUACUUAAGGCGAACUGUCAAGGGGUUCCCAUUAUAGCCCAACCGCGUAAGGGACGCAAAAUCCGGGAACAUAACACCAAUAUGACGGAAACUAGGGCGGCAAGAGUGGAACGAAACACCAGGCAUAAGGCCGAGCCUUCCACCCUUUACCAAGUAUAUAGAUGCAUUAAUUAAAUAAGAUAUAUGGUGAUAUCCCAACAAGUAAAUAAAUGUUCCAACUGUUGGGGAACGUAGUAAUUUCAAAAAAUUUCCUACGCACACGCAAGAUCAUGGUGAUGCAUAGCAACGAGGGGGAGAGUCUGAUCUACGUACCCUUGUAGAUCGCAACGGAAGCGUUGACACAACGUAGAGGAAGUAGUCGUACGUCUUCUUCCCGAUCCGACCGAUCCAAGCACCGUUACUCCGGCACCUCCGAGUUCUUAGCACACGUUCAGCUCGAUGACGAUCCUCAGGCUCCGAUCCAGCAAAGCGUCGAGGAAGAGUUCCGUCAGCACGACGGCGUGGUGACGAUCUUGAUGUACUACCGACGCAGGGCUUCGCCUAAGCACUACAACGGUAUGAUCGAGGUGGAAUUUGGUGGCAGGGGCACCGCACACGGCUAAGGAACAAUCUCAAUGAUCAACUUGUGUGUCUAGAGGUGCCCCCUGCCCCCGUAUAUAAAGGUUGCCAGGGGGAGGGCUGGCCGGCCAAAGGAGGAGGGCGCAGGAGGAGUCCUACUCCUACCGGGAGUAGGACUCCCCCCCCCCAAUCCUAUUCCUAAUAGGAUUCCUCGAGAGAGGGAGAGAGGGAGAAGGGGGCCGGCCACCUCUCCUAGUCCUAAUAGGACUAGGGGAGGGGGGAGGCGCGCAGCCCACCUUGGGCUGCCCCUUUCACCUUUCCACUAAGGCCCAAUAAGGCCCAUUUGGUUCCCGGGGGGUUCCGGUAACCUCCCGGUACUCCGGUAAAAUCCCGAUUUCACCCGGAACACUUCCGAUGUCCAAACAUAGGCUUCCAAUAUAUCAAUCUUUAUGUCUCAACCAUUUCGAGACUCCUCGUCAUGUCCGUGAUCACAUCCGGGACUCCAAACAACCUUCGGUACAUCAAAAUGCAUAAACUCAUAAUAACUGUCAUCGUAACGUUAAGCGUGCGGACCCUACGGUUCGAGAACAAUGUAGACAUGACCAAGACACGUCUCCGGUCAAUAACCAAUAGCGGGACCUGGAUGCCCAUAUUGGCUCCUACAUAUUCUACGAAGAUCUUUAUCGGUCAGACCGCAUAACAACAUACGUUGUUCCCUGUGUCAUCGGUAUGUUACUUGCCCGAGAUUCCAUCGUCGGUAUCCAAUACCUAGUUCAAUCUCGUUACCGGCAAGUCUCUUUAGUCGUUCUGUAAUACAUCAUCCGCAACUAACUCAUUAGUUGCAAUGCUUGCAAGGCUUGUGUAAUGUAUAUUACCGAGAGGGCCCAGAGAUACCUCUCCGACAAUCGGAGUGACAAAUUCUAAUCUCGAAAUACGCCAACCCAACAUCUACCAUUGGAGACACCUGUAGUACUCCUUUAUAAUCACCCAGUUAUGUUGUGACGUUUGGUAGCACCCAAAGUGUUCCUCUGGCAAACGGGAGUUGCAUAAUCUCAUAGUCAUAGGAACAUGUAUAAGUCAUGAAGAAAGCAAUAGCAACAUACUAAACGAUCGGGUGCUAAGCUAAUGAAAUGGGUCAUGUCAAUCAGAUCAUUCAACUAAUGAUGUGACCUCGUUAAUCAAAUAACAACACAUUGUUCAUGGUUAGGAAACUUAACCAUCUUUGAUUAACGAGCUAGUCAAGUAGAGGCAUACUAGUGACACUCUGUUUGUCUAUGUAUUCACACAUGUAUUAUGUUUCCGGUUAAUACAAUUCUAGCAUGAAUAAUAAAAUUUAUCAUGAUAUAAGGAAAUAAAUAAUAACUUUAUUAUUGCCUCUAGGGCAUAUUUCCUUCAGUCUCCCACUUGCACUAGAGUCAAUAAUCUAGAUUACACAGUAAUGAUUCUAACACCCAUGGAGCCUUGGUGCUGAUCAUGUUUUGCUCGUGGAAGAGGCUUAGUCAACGGGUCUGCAACAUUCAGAUCCGUAUGUAUCUUGCAAAUCUCUAUGUCUCCCACCUGGACUAGAUCCCGGAUGGAAUUGAAGCGUCUCUUGAUGUGUUUGGUCCUUUUGUGAAAUCUGGAUUCUUUUGCCAAAGCAAUUGCACCAGUAUUGUCACAAAAGAUUUUCAUUGGACCCGAUGCACUAGGUAUGACACCUAGAUCGGAUAUAAACUCCUUCAUCCAGACUCCUUCGUUCGCUGCUUCCGAAGCAGCUAUGUACUCCGCUUCACAUGUAGAUCCCGCUACGACGCUUUGUUUAGAACUGCACCAACUGACAGCUCCACCGUUUAAAGUAAACACGUAUCCGGUUUGCGAUUUAGAAUCGUCCGGAUCAGUGUCAAAGCUUGCAUCAAUGUAACCUCUUACGGUGAGCUCUUUGUCACCUCCAUAUACGAGAAACAUAUCCUUAGUCCUUUUCAGGUAUUUUAGGAUGUUCUUGACCGCUGUCCAGUGAUCCACUCCUGGAUUACUUGUUGGAAAUAUGCCCUAGAGGCAAUAAUAAAUUGAUUAUUAUUAUAUUUCCUUGUUCAUGAUAAUCGUUUAUUAUCCAUGCUAUAAUUGUAUUGAUAGGAAACUCAGAUACAUGUGUGGAUACAUAGACAACACCAUGUCCCUAGUAAGCCUCUAGUUGACUAGCUCGUUGAUCAAUAGAUGGUUACGGUUUCCUGACCAUGGACAUUGGAUGUCAUUGAUAACGGGAUCACAUCAUUAGGAGAAUGAUGUGAUGGACAAGACCCAAUCCUAAGCAUAGCACUAGAUCGUGUAGUUCGUAUGCUGAAGCUUUUCUAAUGUCAAGUAUCAUUUCCUUAGACCAUGAGAUUGUGCAACUCCCGGAUACCGUAGGAGUGCUUUGGGUGUGCCAAAUGUCACAACGUAACUGGGUGGCUAUAAAGGUACAUUACAGGUAUCUCCGAAAGUGUCUGUUGGGUUGGCACGAAUCGAGACUGGGAUUUGUCACUCCGUGUAAACGGAGAGGUAUCUCUGGGCCCACUCGGUAGGACAUCAUCAUAAUGUGCACAGUGUGAUCAAGGAGUUGAUCACGGGAUGAUGUGUUACGGAAUGAGUAAAGAGACUUGCCGGUAACGAGAUUGAACAAGGUAUCGGGAUACCGACGAUCGAAUCUCGGGCAAGUAUCGUACCGAUAGACAAAGGGAAUUGUAUACAUGAUUGAUUAAGUCCUUGACAUCGUGGUUCAUCCGAUGAGAUCAUCGUGGAACAUGUGGGAGCCAACAUGGGUAUCCAGAUCCCGCUGUUGGUUAUUGACCGGAGAACGUCUCGGUCAUGUCUGCAUGUCUCCCGAACCCGUAGGGUCUACACAGUUAAGGUUCGAUGACGCUAGGGUUAUAAAGGAAGUUAGUAUGUGGUUACUGAAUGUUGUUCGGAGUCCCGGAUGAGAUCCCGGACGUCACAAGGAGUUCCGGAAUGGUCCGGAGGUAAAGAUUUAUAUAUGGGAAGUCCUGUUUUGGACACCGGAAGAGUUUCGGGGUUUAUCGGUAACAUACCGGGACCACCGGGAGGGUCCCGGGGGUCCACCAAGUGGGGCCACCUGCCCCGGAGGUUUGCAUGGGCCAAGAUUGGUGAGGGACCAGCCCCUUAGUGGGCUGGUGCGCCUCCCAUAAGGGCCCAUGGCGCCUAAGAGGUGGAAAAGGGGCAAACCCUAGAGGAUAUGGGCCUUAGGGCCCAUAUUGGUGCGCCUCCCUCUCCUCUCCCCCUCUUAGCCGCCACCUUUGAUCCCCAUCUAGGGCUGCCGCCCCCCCUAGGGGUGGGAACCCUAGAGGGGGCGCAGCCCCUCCCCUUCCCUAUAUAUAUGAGGCCUAGGGCUGCCCAAAAAGACACGCGAUUCAAUCUCUCUUGGUGCAACCCUGCGUCUCUUCUUCCUCCUCUUCUGUGGUGCUUGGCGAAGCCCUGCAGGAUAGCCACGCUCCUCCACCACCACCACGCCGUUGUGCUGCUGUUGGAUGAAGUCUUCCUCAACCUCUCCCUCUCUCCUUGCUGGAUCAAGGCAUGGAAGACGUCACCGGGUUGUACGUGUGUUGAACGCGGAGGUGUCGUCCGUUCGGCACUUGGUCAUCGGUGAUUUGAAUCACGACGAGUACGACUCCAUCAACCCCGUUCACUUGAACGCUUCCGCUUAGCGAUCUACAAAGGUAUGUAGAUGCACUCUCCUCCCCCUCGUUGCUAGUCUCUCCAUAGAUAGAUCUUGGUGACACGUAGGAAAAUUUUGAAUUUCUGCUACGUUCCCCAACAGUGGCAUGAUGAGCUAGGUCUAUGCGUAGAUUCUAUGCACGAGUAGAACACAAAGUAGUUGUGGGCGUUGAUUUUGUUCAAUAUGCUUGCCGUUACUAGUCUUAUCUUGAUUCGGCAGCAUUGUGGGAUGAAGCGGCCCGGACCGACCUUACACGUACUCUUACGUGAGACUGGUUCCACCGACUGACAUGCACUAGUUGCAUAAGGUGGCUAGCGGGUGUCUGUUGUUGGGGAACGUAGUUAUUUCGAAAAUUUUCCUACGCACACGCAAGAUCAUGGUGAUGCAUAGCAACGAGAGGGGAGAGUGUUGUCUACGUACCAACGCAGACCGACUGCGGAAGCGAUCACACAACGUAGAGGAAGUAGUCAUACGUCUUCUUUCCGAUCCGACCGAUCCAAGCACCGUUACUCCGGCACCUCCGAGUUCUUAGCACACGUUCAGCUCGAUGACGUUCCUCGGGCUCCGAUCCAGCAAAGCGUCGAGGAAGAGUUCCGUCAGCACGACGGCGUGGUGACGAUCUUGAUGUACUACUGACGCAGGGCUUCGCCUAAGCACUGUAACGGUAUGAUCGAGGUGGAAUUUGGUGGCAGGGGGCACCGCACACGGCUAAGGAACGAUCUCAAGGAUCAACUUGUGUGUCUUGGGGUGUCCCCUGCCCCCGUAUAUAAAGGUUGGAGGAGGGGGCCGGCCGGCCAGGGAGAGGGAGGCGCAGGGGGAGUCCUACUCCUACCGGGAGUAGGACUCCCCCCUCCAAUCCUAUUCCAAUUAGGACUCUCGGGGGAAAGGAGAGAGAAGGGGGGGCCGGCCCCUUAUCCUAGUCCUACUAGGACUUGGGGAAAGGGGGGGCGCCGGCCAGCUAUGGGCUGCCCCUUUUCUCUUUUUCCACUAAGGCCCAAUAGGCCCAUUAGUCUCCCGGGGGGUUCCGGUAACCCUCCCGGUAUUCCGGUAAAAUCCCGAUUUCACCCGGAACACUUCCUAUGUCCAAACAUAGGCUUCCAAUAUAUCAAUCUUUACGUCUCGACCAUUUCGAGACUCCUCGUCAUGUCCUUGAUCUCAUCCGGGACUCCGAACAACCUUCGGUACAUCAAAAUGCAUAAACUCAUAAUAACUGUCAUCGUAACGUUAAGCGUGCGGACCCUACGGUUCGAGAACAAUGUAGACAUGACCGAGACACGUCUCCGGUCAAUAACCAAUAGCGGGACCUGGAUGCCCAUAUUGGCUCCUACAUAUUCUACGAAGAUCUUUAUCGGUCAGACCGCAUAACAACAUACGUUGUUCCCUUUGUCAUCGGUAUGUUACUUGCCCGAGAUUCGAUCGUCGGUAUCCAAUACCUAGUUCAAUCUCGUUACUGGCAAGUCUCUUUACUCGUUCCGUAAUACAUCAUCUCACAACUAACAUAUUAGUUGCAGUGCUUGCAAGGCUUAUGUGAUGUGCAUUACCGAGAGGGCCCAGAGAUACCUCUCCGACAAUCGGAGUGGCAAACCCUAAUCUCGAAAUACGCCAACCCAACAUCUACCAUUGGAGACACCAGUAGUACUCCUUUAUAAUCACCCAGUUACGUUGUGACGUUUGGUAGUACCCAAAGUGUUCCUCCGGUAAACGGGAGUUGCAUAAUCUCAUAGUUAUAGGAACAUGUAUAAGUCAUGAAGAAAGCAAUAGCAACAUACUAAACGAUCGGGUGCUAAGCUAAUGGAAUGGGUCAUGUCAAUCAGAUCAUUCAACUAAUGAUGUGACCUCGUUAAUCAAAUAACAACUCUUUGUUCAUGGUUAGGAAACAUAACCAUCUUUGAUUAACGAGCUAGUCAAGUAGAGGCAUACUAGUGACACUCUGUUGGUCUAUGUAUUCACACAUGUAUCAUGUUUCCGGUUAAUACAAUUCUAGCAUGAAUAAUAAACAUUUAUCAUGAUAUAAGGAAAUAAAUAAUAACUUUAUUAUUGCCUCUAGGGCAUAUUUCCUUCAGUCUCCCACUUGCACUAGAGUCAAUAAUCUAGAUUACACUGUAAUGAUUCUAACACCCAUGGAGCCUUGGUGCUGAUCAUGUUUUGCUCGUGGAAGAGGCUUAGUCAACGGGUCUGCAACGUUCAGAUCCGUAUGUAUCUUGCAAAUCUCUAUGUCUCCCACCUGGACUAAAUCCCGGAUGGAGUUGAAGCGUCUCUUGAUGUGUUUGGUCCUUUUGUGAAAUCUGGAUUCCUUUGCCAAGGCAAUUGCACCAGUAUUGUCACAGAAGAUUUUCAUUGGACCCGAUGCACUAGGUAUGACACCUAGAUCGGAUAUGAACUCCUUCAUCCAGACUCCUUCGUUUGCUGCUUCCGAAGCAGCUAUGUACUCCGCUUCACAUGUAGAUCCCGCUACGACGCUUUGUUUAGAACUGCACCAACUGAUAGCUCCACCGUUUAAAGUAAACACGUAUCCGGUUUGCGAUUUAGAAUCGUCCGGAUCAGUGUCAAAGAUUGCAUCAACGUAACCUCUUACGGUGAGCUCUUUGUCACCUCCAUAUACGAGAAACAUAUCCUUGAGUCGGGCAUUGAGUCUGACUCAACUUCAUACCUUGUAACACAGGCAAGAACCCUUUCUUUGCUUGAUCCAUUUUGAACUUCUUCGAAAUCUUGUCAAGGUAUGUGCUCUGUGAAAGUCCAAUUAAGCGUUUUGAUCUAUCUCUAUAGAUCUUUAUGCCUAAUAUGUAAGCAGCUUCCCCGAGGUCUUUCAUCGAAAAACUUUUAUUCAAGUAUCCCUUUAUGCUAUCCAGAAAUUCUAUAUCAUUUCCAAUCAGCAAUAUGUCAUCCACAUAUAAUAUUAGAAAUGCUACAGAGCUCCCACUCACUUUCUUGUAAAUACAGGCUUCUCCAAAAGUCUGUAUAAAGCCAAAUGCUUUGAUCACACUAUCAAAGCGUUUAUUCCAACUCCGAGAUGCUUGCACCAGUCCAUAAAUGGAUCGCUGGAGUUUGCAUGCUUUGUUAGCUCCCUUUGGAUCGACAAAACCUUCUGGUUGUAUCAUAUACAACUCUUCUUCCAGAAAUCCAUUCAGGAAUGCAGUUUUGACAUCCAUCUGCCAUAUUUCAUAAUCAUAAAAUGCGGCAAUUGCUAACAUAAUUCUGAUGGACUUAAGCAUCGCUACGGGUGAGAAGGACUCAUCGUAGUCAACUCCUUGAACUUGUCGAAAACCUUUCGCGACAAGUCGAGCUUUAUAGACAGUAAUAUUACCGUCAGCGUCAGUCUUUUUCUUGAAGAUCCAUUUAUUCUCAAUUGCUUGCCGAUCAUCGGGCAACUCAACCAAAGUCCAUACUUUGUUUUCAUACAUGGAUCCCAUCUCAGAUUUCAUGGCCUCAAGCCACUUUGCGGAAUCUGGGCUCACCAUCGCUUCUUCAUAGUUCGUAGGUUCAUCAUGAUCUAGCAUCAUGACUUCCAGGACUGGAUUACCGUACCACUCUGGUGCGGAUCUCACUCUGGUUGAUCUACGUGGUUCAGUAGUAUCUUGUUCUGAAGCUUCAUGAUCAUCAUCAUUAGCUUCCUCACUGAUUGGUAUAGGUGUCGCAGAAACAGUUUUCUGUGAUGUACUAUUUUCCAAUAAGGGAGCAGGUACAGUUACCUCGUCAAGUUCUACUUUCCUCCCACUCACUUCUUUCGAGAGAAACUCCUUCUCUAGAAAGUUUCCGAAUUUAGCAACAAAAGUCUUGCCUUCGGAUCUGUGAUAGAAGGUGUAUCCAAUAGUUUCCUUUGGAUAUCCUAUGAAGACACAUUUCUCCGAUUUGGGUUCGAGCUUAUCAGGUUGAAGCUUUUUCACAUAAGCAUCGCAGCCCCAAACUUUAAGAAACGACAACUUUGGUUUCUUGCCAAACCAUAGUUCAUAAGGUGUCGUCUCAACGGAUUUUGAUGGUGCCCUGUUUAACGUGAAUGCGGCCGUCUCUAAAGCAUAACCCCAAAACGAUAGCGGUAAAUCAGUAAGAGACAUCAUAGAUCGCACCAUAUCUAGUAAAGUACGAUUACGACGUUCGGACACACCAUUACGUUGUGGUGUUCCGGGUGGCGUGAGUUGCGAAACUAUUCCACAAUUUUUCAAAUGUACACCAAACUCGUAACUCAAAUAUUCUCCUCCACGAUCAGAUCGUAGAAACUUUAUUUUCUUGUUACGAUGAUUUUCAACCUCACUCUGAAAUUCUUUGAACUUUUCAAAUGUUUCAGACUUAUGUUUCAUUAAGUAGAUAUACCCAUAUCUGCUUAAAUCAUCUGUGAAGGUGAGAAAAUAACGAUAUCCGCCACGAGCCUCAAUAUUCAUCGGACCACAUACAUCGGUAUGUAUGAUUUCCAAUAAAUCUGUUGCUCUCUCCAUAGUACCGGAGAACGGUGUUUUAGUCAUCUUGCCUAUGAGGCACGGUUCGCAAGUACCAAGUGAUUCAUAAUCAAGUGGUUCCAAAAGCCGAUCAGUAUGGAGUUUCUUCAUGCGCUUUACACCGAUAUGACCUAAACGGCAGUGCCAUAAAUAAGUUGCACUAUCAUUAUUAACUUUGCAUCUUUUGGCUUCUACAUUAUGAAUAUGUGUAUCACUAUCUUCGAGAUUCAACAAGAAUAGACCACUCUUCAAAAGUGCAUGACCAUAAAAGAUAUUACUCAUAUAAAUAGAGCAACCAUUAUUCUCUGAUUUAAAUGAAUAACCGUCUCGCAUUAAACAAGAUCCAGAUAUAAUGUUCAUGCUCAACGCUGGCACCAAAUAACAAUUAUUUAGGUCUAAUAUUAAUCCCGAAGGUAGAUGUAGAGGUAGCGUGCCGACCGCGAUCACAUCGACUUUGGAACCGUUUCCCACGCGCAUCGUCACCUCGUCCUUUGCUAGCGUCCGCUUAUUCCGUAGUCCCUGUUUCGAGUUGCAAAUAUUAGCAACAGAACCAGUAUCAAAUACUCAGGUGCUACUGCGAGCUCUAGUAAGGUACACAUCAAUAACAUGUAUAUCACAUAUACCUUUGCUCACUUUGCCAUCCUUCUUAUCCGCCAAAUACUUGGGGCAGUUCCGCUUCCAGUGACCAGUCUGCUUGCAGUAGAAGCACUCAGUUUCAGGCUUAGGUCCAGACUUGGGUUUCUUCUCCUGAGCAGCAACUUGCUUGCUGUUCUUCUUGAAGUUUCCCUUCUUCUUCCCUUUGCCCUUUUUCUUGAAACUAGUGGUUUUGCUAACCAUCAACACUUGAUGCUCCUUCUUGAUUUCUACCUCCGCAGCUUUCAGCAUUGCGAAGAGCUCGGGAAUAGUCUUGUUCAUCCCUUGCAUAUUAUAGUUCAUCACGAAGCUCUUGUAGCUUGGUGGCAGUGAUUGGAGAAUUCUGUCAAUGACGCAGUCAUCUGGAAGAUUAACUCCCAUCUGAAUCAAGUGAUUAUUAUACCCAGACAUUUUGAGUAUAUGCUCACUGACAAAACUGUUCUCCUCCAUCUUGCAGCUAUAGAACUUAUUGGAGACUUCAUAUCUCUCAAUUCGGGAUUUGCUUGAAAUAUUAACUUCAACUCCUGGAACAUCUCAUAUGCUCCAUGAUGUUCAAAACGUCGUUGAAGUCCCGAUUCUAAGCCGUAAAGCAUGGCACACUGAACUAUCGAGUAGUCAUCAGCUUUGCUCUGCCAGACGUUCAUAACAUCUGGCGUUGCUCCAGCAGCAGGCCUGUCACCCAGCGGUGCUUCCAGGACGUAAUUCUUCUGUGCAGCAAUGAGGAUGAUCCUCAGGUUAUGAACCCAGUCCGUGUAAUUGCUACCAUCAUCUUUCAACUUUGCUUUCUCAAGGAACGCAUUAAAAUUCAACGGAACAAUAGCACGAGCCAUCUAUCUACAAUCAACAUAAACAAGCAAGAUACUAUCAGGUACUAAGUUCAUGAUAAGUUUAAGUUCAGUUAAUCAAAUUACUUAGGAACUCCCACUUAGAUAGACAUCCCUCUAAUCUUCUAAGUGAUCACGUGAUCCAAAUCAACUAAACCAUAACCGAUCAUCACGUGAGAUGGAGUAGUUUUCAAUGGUGAACAUCGUUAUGUUGAUCAUAUCUACUAUAUGAUUCACGCUCGACCUUUCGGUCUCCGUGUUCCGAGGCCAUAUCUGCAUACGCUAGGCUCGUCAAGUUUAACCUGAGUAUUCUGCGUGUGCAAAACUGGCUUGCACCCGUUGUAGAUGGACGUAGAGCUUAUCACACCCGAUCAUCACGUGGUGUCUGGGCACGACGAACUUUGGCAACGGUGCAUACUCAGGGAGAACACUUCUUGAUAAUUUUUUAGUGAGAGAUCAUCUUAUAAUGCUACCGUCAAUCAAAGCAAGAUAAGAUGCAUAAAAAGGGAUAAACAUCACAUGCAAUCAAUAUAAGUGAUAUGAUAUGGCCAUCAUCAUCUUGUGCUUGUGAUCUCCAUCUCCGAAGCACCGUCAUGAUCACCAUCGUCACCGGCGCGACACCUUGAUCUCCAUCGUAGCAUCGUUGUCGUCUCACCAAUCUUAUGCUUCCACGACUAUCACUACCGUUUAGUAAUAAAGUAAAGCAUUAAAUCACGAUUGCAUUGCAUACAAUAAAGCGACAACCAUAUGGCUCCUUCCAGUUGCCGAUAACUCGGUUACAAAACAUGAUCAUCUCAUACAAUAAAAUCAGCAUCAUGCCUUGACCAUAUCACAUCACAACAUGCCCUGCAAAAACAAGUUAGACGUCCUCUACUUUGUUGUUGCAAGUUUUACGUGGCUGCUACGGGCUUAAGUAAGAACUCAUCUCACCUACGCAUCAAAACCACAACGAUAGUUCGUCAAAUAGACUCCGUUUUAACCUUCUCAAGGACCGGGCGUAGUCACACUUGGUUCAACUAAAGUUGGAGAGACAGUCUUCCGCAAGCCAUCUAUGUGCAAAGCACGUCGAGGGAACCGGUCUCGCGUAAGAGUACGCGUAAGGUUGGUCCGGAUCGUCUCACCCAACAAUACCGCCGAACCAAAGUAUGACAUGCUGGUAGGCAGUAUGACUUGUAUUGCCCACAACUCACUUGUGUUCUACUCGUGCAAAUAACAUCAAACCAUAAAACCUAGGCUCGGAUGCCACUGUUGGGGAACGUAGUAAUUUCGAAAAUUUUCCUACGCACACGCAAGAUCAUGGUGAUGCACAGCAACGAGAGGGGAGAGUGUUGUCUACGUACCAACGCAGACCGACUGCGGAAGCGAUCACACAACGUAGAGGAAGUAGUCGUAUGUCUUCUUUCCGAUCCGACCGAUCCAAGCACCGUUACUCCGGCACCUCCGAGUUCUUAGCACACGUUCAGCUCGAUGACGUUCCUCAGGCUCCGAUCCAGCAAAGCGUCGAGGAAGAGUUCCGUCAGCACGACGGCCUGGUGACGAUCUUGAUGUACUACCGACGCAGGGCUUCGCCUAAGCACUGCAACGGUAUGAUCGAGGUGGAAUUUGGUGGCAGGGGGCACCGCACACGGCUAAGGAACGAUCUCAAGGAUCAACUUGUGUGUCUUGGGGUGUCCCCUGCCCCCGUAUAUAAAGGUUGGAGGAGGGGGGCCGGCCGGCCAGGGAGAGGGAGACGCAGGGGGAGUCCUACUCCUACCGGGAGUAGGACUCCCCCCUCCAAUCCUAUUCCAAUUAGGACUCUCGGGGGAAAGGAGAGAGAAGGGGGGGCCGGCCCCUUAUCCUAGUCCUACUAGGACUUGGGGAAAGGGGGGGGGGGCGCCGGCCAGCUAUGGGCUGUCCCUUUUCUCUUUUUCCACUAAGGCCCAAUAGGCCCAUUAGUCUCCCGGGGGGUUCCGGUAACCCUCCCGGUAUUCCGGUAAAAUCCCGAUUUCACCCGGAACACUUCCUAUGUCCAAACAUAGGCUUCCAAUAUAUCAAUCUUUACGUCUCGACCAUUUCGAGACUCCUCGUCAUGUCCGUGAUCUCAUCCGGGACUCCGAACAACCUUCGGUACAUCAAAAUGCAUAAACUCAUAAUAACUGUCAUCGUAACGUUAAGCGUGCGGACCCUACGGUUCGAGAACAAUGUAGACAUGACCGAGACACGUCUCCGGUCAAUAACCAAUAGCGGGACCUGGAUGCCCAUAUUGGCUCCUACAUAUUCUACGAAGAUCUUUAUCGGUCAGACCGCAUAACAACAUACGUUGUUCCCUUUGUCAUCGGUAUGUUACUUGCCCGAGAUUCGAUACUCGGUAUCCAAUACCUAGUUCAAUCUCGUUACUGGCAAGUCUCUUUACUCGUUCCGUAAUACAUCAUCUCACAACUAACAUAUUAGUUGCAGUGCUUGCAAGGAUUAUGUGAUGUGCAUUACCGAGAGGGCCCAGAGAUACCUCUCCGACAAUCGGAGUGACAAACCCUAAUCUCGAAAUACGCCAACCCAACACCUACCAUUGGAGACACCUGUAGUACUCCUUUAUAAUCACCCAGUUACGUUGUGACGUUUGGUAGUACCCAAAGUGUUCCUCCGGUAAACGGGAGUUGCAUAAUCUCAUAGUUAUAGGAACAUGUAUAAGUCAUGAAGAAAGCAAUAGCAACAUACUAAAUGAUCGGGUGCUAAGCUAAUGGAAUGGGUCAUGUCAAUCAGAUCAUUCAACUAAUGAUGUGACCUCGUUAAUCAAAUAACAACUCUUUGUUCAUGGUUAGGAAACAUAACCAUCUUUGAUUAACGAGCUAGUCAAGUAGAGGCAUACUAGUGACACUCUGUUGGUCUAUGUAUUCACACAUGUAUUAUGUUUCCGGUUAAUACAAUUCUAGCAUGAAUAAUAAACAUUUAUCAUGAUAUAAGGAAAUAAAUAAUAACUUUAUUAUUGCCUCUAGGGCAUAUUUCCUUCAUCUGUCUCUCCCACUUUAGUCGGAUCGGAUUUGAUGAAAAGGGUCCUUAUGAAGGGUAAAUAGCAAUUGGCAUAUCACGUUGUGGUCUUUGCGUAGGUAAGAACCGUUCUUGCUAGAAACCCAUAGCAAACACAUAAAACAUGCAAACAACAAUUAGAGGACGUCUAACUUGUUUUUGCAGGGUAUGCUAUGUGAUGUGAUAUGGCCCAAAGGAUGUGAUGAAUGAUAUAUGUGAUGUAUGAGAUUAAUCAUGUUCUUGUAAUAGGAAUCACGACUUGCAUGUCGAUGAGUAUGACAACCGGCAGGAGCCAUAGGAGUUGUCUUAAUUUAUUUAUGACCUGCAUGUCAACAUAAACGUCAUGUAAUUACUUUACUUUAUUGCUAACCGUUAGCUGUAGUAGUAGAAGUAAUAGAUGACGUGAGAACUUCAAGAAGACACGAUGAUGGAGAUCAUGGUGUCAUGCCGGUAACAAGAUGAUCAUGGAGCCCCGAAGAUGGAGAUCAAAAGGAGCAAUAUGAUAUUGGCCAUAUCAUGUCACUAUUUGAUUGCAUGUGAUGUUUAUCAUGUUUAUACAUCUUAUUUGCUUAGAACGACGGUAGUAAAUAAGAUGAUCCCUUACAAAAAUUUCAAGAAGUGUUCUCCCCUAACUGUGCACCGUUGCUACAGUUCGUCGUUUCGAAGCACCACGUGAUGAUCGGGUGUGAUAGAUCCUUACGUUCACAUACAACGGGUGUAAGACAGAUUUACACAUGCAAAACACUUAGGGUUAACUUGACGAGCCUAGCAUGUGUAUAGACAUGGCCUCGGAACACAGAAGACCGAAAGGUCGAGCAUGAGUCGUAUGGUAGAUACGAUCAACAUGAAGAUGUUCACCGACGUUGACUAGUCCGUCUCACGUGAUGAUCGGACACGGCCUAGUUGACUCGGAUCAUGUAAUCACUUAGAUGACUAGAGGGAUGUCUAUCUAAGUGGGAGUUCAUAAGAUGAACUUAAUUAUCCUGGACAUAGUCAAAAGGAUUUUGCAAAUUAUGUCGUAGCUCACGCUAUAGUUCUACUAUUUAGAUAUGUUCCUAGAGAAAAAUUAGUUGAAAGUUGAUAGUAGCAAUUAUGCGGACUAGGUCCGUAAACUGAGGAUUGUCCUCAUUGCUUCAUAGAAGGCUUAUGUCCUUAAUGCACCGCUCAGUGUGCUGAACCUCGAAUGUUGUCUAUGGAUGUUGCGAACAUCUGACAUACACAUUUUGAUAACUACGUGAUAGUUCAGUUAAACGGUUUAGAGUUGAGGCACCAAAGACGGUUUUUGAAACGUCGCGAAACAUAUGAGAUGUUUCGAGGGCUGAAAUUGGGAUUUCAGGCUCGUGCCCACGUCAAGAGGUAUAAGACCUCCGACGAUUUUCUUAGCCUACAAACUAAGGGAGAAAAGCUCAAUUGUUGAGCUUGUGCUCAGAUUGUCUGAGUACAACAAUCAUUUGAAUCAAGUGGGAGUUGAUCUUCCACGAUGAGAUAGUGAUGUUUCUCCAAAGUCAUUACCACCAAGCUGCUAGAGCUUCGUGAUGAACUAUGAUAUAUCAGGGACAUAUAUGAUGAUCCUUGAGAUAUUCGCGGUGUUUGACACCGCAAAAGUAGAUAUCAAGAAGGAGCAUCAAUUGUUGAUGGUUAGUGAAACCACUAGUUUCAAGAAGGGCAAGGGCAAGAAGGGAUACUUCAUGAAACGGCAAAUCAGCUGCUGCUCUGGUGAAGAAACCCAAGGUUGAACCCAAACCCGAGACUAUGUGCUUCUGUAAUAAGGGGAACAGCCACUGGAACAGAAUUACCCUAGAUACUUGGUAGAUUAGAAAGCUGGCAAGGUCGAUAGAAGUAUAUUGGAUAUACAUUAUGCUAAUGUGUACUUUGCUAGUACUCCUAGUAGCACCAGGGUAUUAGAUACCGGUUCGGUUGCUAAGUGUUAGUAACUCGAAAUAAAAGCUACGGAAUAAACGGAGACUAGCUAAAGGUGAGCUGACGAUAUGUGUUGGAAGUGUUUCCAAUGUUGAUAUAAUCAAGCAUCGCACGCUCCCUCUACCAUCAAUAUUGGUGUUAAACCUGAAUAAUUGUUAUUUGGUGUUUGCGUUGAGCAUAGACAUGAUUGGAUUAUGUCUAUCGCAAUACGGUUAUUCAUUUAAGGAGAAUAAUGGUUACUCUGUUUAUUUGAAUAAUACCUUCAAUGGUCUUACACCUAAAAUGAAUGGUUUAUUGAAUCUCGAUCGUAGUGAUACACAUGUUCAUGCCAAAAGAUAGUAAUGAUAGUACCACCUACUUGUGGCACUGCCACGUAAGUCAUAUCGGUAUAAAACGCAUGAGGAAGCUCCAUGUUGAUGGAUCUUUGGGCUCACUCAUUUUUGAAAAGUUUGAGACACGCGAACCAUGUCUAUUGGUGUAUAUGCAUGAAGAAACUCCAUGCAAAUGGACCGUUUGGACUCACUUGAUUUUGAAUCAGUUGAGACGUGCAAAUCAUACCACAUGGGCAAGAUGACUGAAAGCCUCGUUUUUAGUAAAAUGGAACUAGAAAGCAACCUGUUGGAAGUAAUACAUUUUGAUGUGUGCAGUCCAAUGAGUGCUGAGGCAUGUAGUGGAUAUCGUUAUGUUUUAACUUCACAGAUGAUUUGAGUAUAUGUUGAGUAUAUUUACUUGAUGAAUCACGAGUCUGAAUUAUUGAAAGGUUCAAGUAAUUUCAAGGUGAAGUUGAAAGAUCAUCGUGACAAGAGGAUAAAAUAUCUAUGAUAUGAUCAUAGAGAUGAAUAUCUGAAUUACGAGUUUGGCACAGAAUUAAGACAUUGUGGAAAUUGUUUCACAACUAAUACAGCCUGGAACACCAUAGUGUGAUGGUGUGUCCGAACAUCAUAACUGCACCCUAUUGGAUAUGAUGCAUACCAUGAUGUCUCCUAUCGAAUUACCACGAUAGUUUAUGGGUUAGGCAUUAGAGACAACCACAUUCACUUUAAAUAGGGCACCACGUAAUUCCGAUGAGAUGACACCGUAUGAACUAUGGUUUAGAGAAACCUAAGCUGUCAUUUCUUAAAAGCUUGGGGCUGCGACGCUUAUGUGAAAAGUUUCAGGCUGAUAAGCUCGAACCCAAAGCGGAUAAAUGCAUCUUCAUAGGACACCCAAAACAGUUGGGUAUACCUCCUGUCUCAGAUCCGAAAGCAAUAAGGGAUUGUUUCUGGAAUCGGGUCCUUUCUCGAGGAAAAGUUUCUCUCGAAGGAAUUGAGUGGGAGGAUGGUGGAGACUUGAUGAGGUUAUUGAACCAUCUCUUCAACUAGUGUGUGGCAGGGCACAGGAAAUUGUUCCUAUGGCACCUACACCAAUUGAAGUGGAAGCUUAUGAUAUUGAUCACGAGACUUCGGAUCAAGUCACUACAAACCUCGUAGGAUGACAAGGUUGCGUACUACUUUAGAGUGGUACGUAAUCCUGUCUUGGAAGUCAUGUUGCUAGACAACAAUGAACCUACGAGCUAUGGAGAAGCGAUGGUGGGCCCGGAUUCCGAUAAAUGGCUCGAGGCCAUAUAAUCCGAGAGAGGAUCCAUAUAUGAAAACAAAGUGUAGACUUUGGAAGAACUACUUGAUGGUCGUAAGGCUGUUAAGUAUAGAUGGAUUUUAAAGGAAUACGGACAAUGAUGGUAGAUGUCACCAUUAAGAAAGCUUGACUUGUCAUUAGAAGUUUCCCGACAAGUUCAAGGAGUUGACUACGAUGAGACUUUCUCACUCGUAGCGAUGCUAAGAGUUUGUUGGAAUUAUAUUAGCGAUUACUGCAUUAUUUAUGAAAUCUUGCAGAUAGGAUGUCAAAACAUUGUUUCCUCGACGAUUUUCUUGAGGAAAAGUUGUCACAUACAACCGGAAGUUUUUGUCAAUCCUAAAAUAUGCUAAUAAGUAUGCAAAGCUCCAGCAAUCCUUCUAAGGACUGGAGUAAGCAUCUCGGAGUUGGAAUGUAUGCUUUGAUGAGAUGAUCAAAGAUUUUGGUUUAUACAAAGUUUAUGAGAAACUUGUAUUUCCAAAGAAGUGAGUGGGAGCACUAUAGAAUUUCUGAUGAGUAUAUGUUGUUGACAUAUUGUUGAUCAGAAAUGACGUAGAAUUUCUGGAAAGCAUAUAGGGUUAUUUGGAAAGUGUUUUUCAAUGGAAAAGCCUGGAUUAAGCUACUUGAACAUUGAAGCAUCAAGAUCUAUAAGGAUAGAUCAAAACGCUUAAUGGAACUUUCAAAUGAGCACAUACCUUGACGUGAUCUUGAAGGUGUUCAAGAUGGAUCAGUCAAAGAAGGAGUUCUUUCCUGAGUUGUAAGGUAUGAAGUUAAGACUUAAAGCUCGACCAUGGCAGAAUAGAGAGAAAGUAACGAAGGUCAUCCCCUAUGCUUAAGACAUGGGCUCUACAGUAUGCUAUGCUGUGUACCGCACCUGAAGUGUGCCUUGCCAUGAGUCAGUCAAGGGGUACAAGAGUGAUCCAAGAAUGGAUCACAGGACAGCGGUCAAAGUUAUCCUUAGUAACUAGUGGACUAAGGAAUUUUCUCGAUUAUGGAGGAGGUAAAAGAGUUCGUCGUAAAGGGUUACGUCGAUGCAAGCUUAACACCUAUCCGGAUAGCUCUGAGUAGAGAUACCGGAUACGUAUAAUGGAGCAACAAUUUAGAAUAGCUCCAAGUAGAACAGUUAUUUGGAAUAGCUCCAAAUAGAACGUGGUAGCUACAUCUAGGAGAUGACAUAGAGAUUUGUAAAGCACACACGGAUCUGAAAGGUUUAGACCCGUUGACUAAAACCUCUCUCACAAGCAACAUGAUCAAACACAGAACUCAUUGAGUGCUAAUCACAUAGUGAUGUGAACUAGACUCUUGGAUGUUGGUUACAUAGCGAUGUGACCUGUGAGUGUUAAUCACAUGGCGAUGUGAACUAGAUUAUUGACUCUAGUGCAAGUGGGAGACUGUUGGAAAUAUGCCCUAGAGGCAAUAAUAAAUUGAUUAUUAUUAUAUUUCCUUGUUCAUGAUAAUCGUUUAUUAUCCAUGCUAUAAUUGUAUUGAUAGGAAACUCAGAUACAUGUGUGGAUACAUAGACAACACCAUGUCCCUAGUAAGCCUCUAGUUGACUAGCUCGUUGAUCAAUAGAUGGUUAUGGUUUCCUGACCAUGGACAUUGGAUGUCGUUGAUAACGGGAUCACAUCAUUAGGAGAAUGAUGUGAUGGACAAGACCCAAUCCUAAGCAUAGCACUAGAUCGUGUAGUUCGUAUGCUGAAGCUUUUCUAAUGUCAAGUAUCAUUUCCUUAGACCAUGAGAUUGUGCAACUCUCGGAUACCGUAGGAGUGCUUUGGGUGUGCCAAACGUCACAACGUAACUGGGUGGCUAUAAAGGUACAUUACAGGUAUCUCCGAAAGUGUCUGUUGGGUUGGCACGAAUCGAGACUGGGAUUUGUCACUCCGUGUAAACGGAGAGGUAUCUCUGGGCCCACUCGGUAGGACAUCAUCAUAAUGUGCACAGUGUGAUCAAGGAGUUGAUCACGGGAUGAUGUGGUACGGAACGAGUAAAGAGACUUGCCGGUAACGAGAUUGAACAAGGUAUCGGGAUACCAAUGAUCGAAUCUCAGGCAAGUAUCGUACCGAUAGACAAAGGGAAUUGUAUACGGGAUUGAUUAAGUCCUUGACAUCGUGGUUCAUCCGAUGAGAUCAUCGUGGAACAUGUGGGAGCCAACAUGGGUAUCCAGAUCCCGCUGUUGGUUAUUGACCGGAGAACGUCUCGGUCAUGUCUGCAUGUCUCCCGAACCCGUAGGGUCUACACACUUAAGGUUCGAUGACGCUAGGGUUAUAAAGGAAGUUAGUAUGUGGUUACCGAAUGUUGUUCUGAGUCCCGGAUGAGAUCCCGGACGUCACGAGGAGUUCCGGAAUGGUCCGGAGGUAAAGAUUUAUAUAUGGGAAGUCCUGUUUUGGACACCGGAAGAGUUUCGGGGUUUAUCGAUAACAUACCGGGACCACCGGGAGGGUCCCGGGGGUCCACCAAGUGGGGCCACCUGCCCCGGAGGUUUGCAUGGGCCAAUAUUGGUGAGGGACCAGCCCCUUAGUGGGCUGGUGCGCCUCCCAUAAGGGCCCAUGGCGCCUAAGAGGUGGAAAAGGGGCAAACCCUAGAGGAUAUGGGCCUUAGGGCCCAUAUUGGUGCGCCUCCCUCUCCUCUCCCCCUCUUGGCCACCACCUUUGAUCCCCAUCUAGGGCUGCCGCCCCCCUAGGGGUGGGAACCCUAGAGGGGGCGCAGCCCCUCCCCUUCCCUAUAUAUAUGAGGCCUAGGGCUGCCCAAAAAGACACGCGAUUCAAUCUCUCUUGGUGCAGCCCUGCGUCUCUUCUUCCUCCUCUUCUGUGGUGCUUGGCGAAGCCCUGCAGGAUAGCCACGCUCCUCCACCACCACCACGCCGUUGUGCUGCUGUUGGAUGAAGUCUUCCUCAACCUCUCCCUCUCUCCUUGCUGGAUCAAGGCGUGGGAGACGUCACCGGGCUGUACGUGUGUUGAACGCGGAGGUGCCGUCCGUUCGGCACUUGGUCAUCGGUGAUUUGAAUCAUGACGAGUAUGACUCCAUCAACCCCGUUCACUUGAACGCUUCCGCUUAGCGAUCUACAAGGGUAUGUAGAUGCACUCUCCUCCCCCUCGUUGCUAGUCUCUCCAUAGAUAGAUCUUGGUGACACGUAGGAAAAUUUUGAAUUUCUGCUACGUUCCCCAACAUUACUUUGGUACCUCCCUGCUAAACUUAUAGCGAGGCACACAUCAGGUCUGGUACAUAGCAUUGCAUACAUGAUAGAGCCUAUGGCUGAAGCAUAGGGAACAUCUUUCAUUUUCUCUCUAUCUUCUGCAGUGGUCGGGCAUUGAGUCUGACUCAACUUCACACCUUGUAACACAGGCAAGAACCCUUUCUUUGCUUGAUCCAUUUUGAACUUCUUCAAAAUCUCGUCAAGGUAUGUGCUUUGUGAAAGUCCAAUUAAGCGUCUUGAUCUAUCUCUAUAGAUCUUUAAGCAUAAUAUGUAAGCAGCUUCCCCGAGGUCUUUCAUCGAAAAACUUUUAUUCAAGUAUCCCUUUAUGCUAUCCAGAAAUUCUAUAUCAUUUCCAAUGAGCAAUAUGUCAUCCACAUAUAAUAUCAGAAAUGCUACAGAGCUCCCACUCACUUUCUUGUAAAUACAGGCUUCUCCAAACGUCUGUAUAAAACCAAAUGCUUUGAUCACACUAUCAAAGCGUUUAUUCCAACUCUGAGAGGCUUGCACCAGUCCAUAAAUGGAUCGCUGGAGCUUGCACACUUUGUUAGCUCCUUUUGGAUCGACAAAACCUUCUGGUUGCAUCAUAUACAACUCUUCUUCCAGAAAUCCAUUCAGGAAUGCAGUUUUGACAUCCAUCUGCCAAAUUUCAUAAUUAUAAAAUGCGGCAAUUGCUAACAUGAUUCUGACAGACUUAAGCAUCGCUACGGGUGAGAAGGUCUCAUCGUAGUCAACCCCUUGAACUUGUCGAAAACCUUUUGCGACAAGUCGAGCUUUAUAGAUAGUAAUAUUACCAUCAGCGUCAGUCUUUUUCUUGAAGAUCCAUUUAUUCUCAAUUCCUUGCCGAUCAUUGGGCAAGUCAACCAAAGUCCAUACUUUGUUCUCAUACAUGGAUCCCAUCUUAGAUUUCAUGGCUUCAAGCCACUUUGCGGAAUCUGGGCUCACCAUCGCUUCUUCAUAGUUCGUAGGUUCAUCAUGAUCUAGUAGCAUGACUUCCAGAAUUGGAUUACCGUACCACUCUGGUGCGGAUCUCACUCUGGUUGAUCUACGUGGUUCAGUAGUAUCUUGUCCUGAAGUUUCAUGAUCAUCAUCAUUAGCUUCCUCACUAAUUGGUAUAGGUGUCGCAAAAACAGUUUUCUGUUAUGUACUAUUUUCCAAUAAGGGAGUAGGUACAGUUACCUCGUCAAGUUCUACUUUCCUCCCACUCACUUCUUUCGAGAGAAACUCCUUUUCUAGAAAUGAUCCAUUCUUAGCAACGAAUGUCUUGCCUUCGGAUCUGUGAUAGAAGGUGUACCCAACAGUCUCCUUUGGGUAUCCUAUGAAGACACAUUUCUCCGCUUUGGGUUCGAGCUUAUCAGGUUGAAGCUUUUUCACAUAAGCAUCGCAGCCCCAAACUUUAAGAAAUGACAACUUUGGUUUCUUGCCAAACCAUAGUUCAUAAGGCGUCGUCUCGACGGAUUUUGAUGGUGCCCUAUUUAACGUGAAUGCGGCCGUCUCUAAAGCAUAACCCCAAAAUGAUAGCGGUAAAUCAGUAAGAGACAUCAUAGAUCGCACCAUAUCUAGUAAAGUACGAUUACGACGUUCGGACACACCAUUACGCUGUGGUGUUCCGGGUGGCGUGAGUUGCGAAACUAUUCCACAAUUUUUCAAAUGUACACCAAACUCGUAACUCAAAUAUUCUCCUCCACGAUCAGAUCGUAGAAACUUUAUUUUCUUGUUACGAUGAUUUUCAACUUCACUCUGAAAUUCUUUGAACUUUUCAAAGGUUUCAGACUUGUGUUUCAUUAAGUAGAUAUACCCAUAUCUGCUUAAAUCAUCUGUGAAGGUGAGAAAAUAACGAUAUCCGCCACGAGCCUCAAUAUUCAUCGGACCACAUACAUCGGUAUGUAUUAUUUCCAACAGAUCUGUUGCUCUCUCCAUAGUACCGGAGAACGGUGUUUUAGUCAUAUUGCCUAUGAGGCACGGUUCGCAAGUACCAAGUGAUUCAUAAUCAAGUGGUUCCAAAAGCCCAACAGUAUGGAGUUUCUUCAUGCGCUUUACACCGAUAUGACCUAAACGGCAGUGCCACAAAUAAGUUGCACUAUCAUUAUCAACUCUGCAUCUUUUGGUUUCAACAUUAUGAAUAUGUGUAUCACUACUAUCGAGAUUCAUCAAAAAUAGACCACUCUUCAAAGGUGCAUGACCAUAAAAGAUAUUACUCAUAUAAAUAGAACAACCAUUAUUCUCUGAUUUAAAUGAAUAACCGUCUCGCAUUAAACAAGAUCCAUAUAUAAUGUUCAUGCUCAACGCUGGCACCAAAUAACAAUUAUUUAGGUCUAAUAUUAAUCCCGAAGGUAGAUGUAGAGGUAGCGUGCCAACCGCGAUCACAUCGACUUUGGAACCGUUUCCCACGCGCAUCGUCACCUCGUCCUUUGCUAGUGUCCGCUUAUUCUGUAAUCCCUGUUUCGAGUUGCAAAUAUUAGCAACAGAACCAGUAUCAAAUACCCAGGUGCUACUGCGAGCUCUAGUAAGGUACACAUCAAUAACAUGUAUAUCACAUAUACCUUUGUUCACCUUGCCAUCCUUCUUAUCCGCCAAAUACUUGGGGCAGUUCCGCUUCCAGUGACCAGUCUGCUUGCAGUAGAAGCACUCAGUUUCAGGCUUAGGUCCAGACUUGGGUUUCUUCUCCUGAGCAGCAACUUGCUUGCUGUUCUUCUUGAAGUUCCCCUUCUUCUUCCCUUUGCCCUUUUUCUUGAAACUAGUGGUCUUGUUGACCAUCAACACUUGAUGCUCCUUCUUGAUUUCUACCUCCGCAGCAUUCAGCAUUGCGAAGAGCUCGGGAAUAGUCUUGUUCAUCCCUUGCAUAUUAUAGUUCAUCACGAAGCUCUUGUAGCUUGGUGGCAGUGAUUGGAGAAUUCUGUCAAUGACGCAAUCAUCUGGAAGAUUAACUCCCAUCUGAAUCAAGUGAUUAUUAUACCCAGACAUUUUGAGUAUAUGCUCACUGAUAGAACUGUUCUCCUCCAUCUUGCAGCUAUAGAACUUAUUGGAGACUUCAUAUCUCCCAAUUCGGGCAUUUGCUUGAAAUAUUAACUUCAACUCCUGGAACAUCUCUUAUGCUCCAUGACGUUCAAAACGUCGUUGAAGUCCCGAUUCUAAGCCGUAAAGCAUGGCACACUGAACUAUCGAGUAGUCAUCAGCUUUGCUCUGCCAGACGUUCAUAACAUCUGGUGUUGCUCCAGCAGCAGGCCUGGCACCCAGCGGUGCUUCCAGGACGUAAUUCUUCUGUGCAGCAAUGAGGAUAAUCCUCAGGUUACGGACCCAGUCCGUGUAAUUGCUACCAUCAUCUUUCAACUUUGCUUUCUCAAGGAACGCAUUAAAAUUCAACGGAACAACAGCACGAGCCAUCUAUCUACAAUCAACAUAAACAAGCAAGAUACUAUCAGGUACUAAGUUCAUGAUAAGUAUAAGUUCAGUUAAUCAAAUUACUUAAGAACUCCCACGUAGAUAGACAUCCCUCUAAUCCUCUAAGUGAUCACGUGAUCCAAAUCAACUAAACCAUAAUCGAUCAUCACGUGAGAUGGAGUAGUUUUCAAUGGUGAACAUCGUUAUGUUGAUCAUAUCUACUAUAUGAUUCAUGCUCGACCUUUUGGUCUCUGUGUUCCGAGGCCAUAUCUGCAUAUGCUAGGCUCGUCAAGUUUAACCUGUGUAUUCUGCGUGUGCAAAACUGUCUUGCACCCAUUGUAGAUGGACGUAGAGCUUAUCACACCCGAUCAUCACGUGGUGUCUGGGCACGACGAACUUUGGCAACAGUGCAUACUCAGGGAGAACACUUCUUGAUAAUUUAGUGAGAGAUCAUCUUAUAAUGCUACCGUCAAUCAAAGCAAGAUAAGAUGCAUAAAAGAUAAACAUCACAUGCAAUCAAUAUAAGUGAUAUGAUAUGGCCAUCAUCAUCUUGAACUUGUGAUCUCCAUCUCCGAAGCACCGUCAUGAUCACCAUCGUCACCGGCACGACACCUUGAUCUCCAUCGUAGCAUCGUUGUCGUCUCGCCAAUCUUAUGCUUCCACGACUAUCACUACCGCUUAGUAAUAAAGUAAAGCAUUACAUCGCGAUUGCAUUGCAUACAAUAAAGCGACAACCAUAUGGCUCCUGCCAGUUGCCGAUAACUUGGUUACAAAACAUGAUCAUCUCAUACAAUAAAAUUUAGCAUCAUGCCUUGACCAUAUCACAUCACAUCAUGCCCUGCAAAAACAAGUUAGACGUCCUCUACUUUGUUGCUGCAAGUUUUACGUGGCUGCUACGGGCUUACGCAAGAACUCAUCUCACCUACGCAUCAAAACCACAACGAUAGUUUGUCAAAUAGACUCCGUUUUAACCUUCUCAAGGACUGGGCGUAGCCAUACUCGGUUCAACUAAAGUUGGAGAGACAGUCGCCCGCAAGCCAUCUAUGUGCAAAGCACGUCGAGGGAACCGGUCUCGCGUAAGCGUACGCGUAAGGUUGGUCCGGGUCGUCUCGUCCAACAAUACCGCCGAACCAAAGUAUGACAUGCUGGUAGGCAGCAUGACUUGUAUCGCCCACAACUCAAUUGUGUUCUACUCGUGCAAAUAACAUCAAACCAUAAAACCUAGGCUCGGAUGCCACUGUUGGGGAACGUAGUAAUUUCAAAAAAUUUCCUACGCACACGCAAGAUCAUGGUGAUGCAUAGCAACGAGGGGGAGAGUCUGAUCUACGUACCCUUGUAGAUCGCAAUGGAAGCGUUGACACAACGUAGAGGAAGUAGUCGUACGUCUUCUUCCCGAUCCGACCGAACCAAGCACCGUUACUCCCGCACCUCCGAGUUCUUAGCACACGUUCAGCUCGAUGACGAUCCUCGGGCUCCGAUCCAGCAAAGCGUCGAGGAAGAGUUCCGUCAGCACGAUGGCGUGGUGACGAUCUUGAUGUACUACCGACGCAGGGCUUCGCCUAAGCACUACAACGGUAUGAUCGAGGUGGAAUUUGGUGGCAGGGGGCACCGCACACGGCUAAGGAACGAUCUCAAAGAUCAACUUGUGUGUCUAGAGGUGCCCCCUGCCCCCGUAUAUAAAGGUUGCCAGGGGGAGGGCUGGCCGGCCAAAGGAGGAGGGCGCAGGAGGAGUCCUACUCCUACCGGGAGUAGGACUCCCCCCCCCCCCCNNNNNNNNNNNNNNNNNNNNNNNNNNNNNNNNNNNNNNNNNNNNNNNNNNNNNNNNNNNNNNNNNNNNNNNNNNNNNNNNNNNNNNNNNNNNNNNNNNNNNNNNNNNNNNNNNNNNNNNNNNNNNNNNNNNNNNNNNNNNNNNNNNNNNNNNNNNNNNNNNNNNNNNNNNNNNNNNNNNNNNNNNNNNNNNNNNNNNNNNNNNNNNNNNNNNNNNNNNNNNNNNNNNNNNNNNNNNNNNNNNNNNNNNNNNNNNNNNNNNAAUCCUAUUCCUAAUAGGAUUCCUCGAUAGAGAGAGAGAGAGAGGGAGAAGGGGGCCGGCCACCUCUCCUAGUCCUAAUAGGACUAGGGGAGGGGGGAGGCGCGCAGCCCACCUUGGGCUGCCCCUUUCACCUUUCCACUAAGGCCCAAUAAGGCCCAUUUGGUUCCCGGGGGGUUCCGGUAACCUCCCGGUACUCCGGUAAAAUCCCGAUUUCACCCGGAACACUUCCGCUGUCCAAACAUAGGCUUCCAAUAUAUCAAUCUUUAUGUCUCAACCAUUUCGAGACUCCUCGUCAUGUCCGUGAUCACAUCCGGGACUCCAAACAACCUUCGGUACAUCAAAAUGCAUAAACUCAUAAUAGAUGUCAUCGUAACGUUAAGCAUGCGGACGCUACGGUUCGAGAACAAUGUAGACAUGACCGAGACACGUCUCCGGUCAAUAACCAAUAGCGGGACCUAGAUGCCCAUAUUGGCUCCUACAUAUUCUACGAAGAUCUUUAUCGGUCAGACCGCAUAACAACAUACGUUGUUCCCUUUGUCAUCGGUAUGUUACUUGCCCGAGAUUCGAUCGUCGGUAUCCAAUACCUAGUUCAAUCUCGUUACCGGCAAGUCUCUUUACUCGUUCUGUAAUACAUCAUCCGCAACUAACUCAUUAGUUGCAAUGCUUGCAAGGCUUGUGUAAUGUGUAUUACCGAGAGAGCCCAGAGAUACCUCUCCGACAAUCGGAGUGACAAAUUCUAAUCUCGAAAUACGCCAACCCAACAUCUACGAUUGGAGAUACCUGUAGUACUCCUUUAUAAUCACCCAGUUACGUUGUGACGUUUGGUAGCACCCAAAGUGUUCCUCCGGCAAACGGGAGUUGCAUAAUCUCAUAGUCAUAGGAACAUGUAUAAGUCAUGAAGAAAGCAAUAGCAACAUACUAAACGAUCGGGUGCUAAGCUAAUGAAAUGGGUCAUGUCAAUCAGAUCAUUCAACUAAUGAUGUGACCUCGUUAAUCAAAUAACAACACAUUGUUCAUGGUUAGGAAACUUAACCAUCUUUGAUUAACGAGCUAGUCAAGUAGAGGCAUACUAGUGACACUCUGUUUGUCUAUGUAUUCACACAUGUAUUAUGUUUCCGGUUAAUACAAUUCUAGCAUGAAUAAUAAACAUCUAUCAUGAUAUAAGGAAAUAAAUAAUAACUUUAUUAUUGCCUCUAGGGCAUAUUUCCUUCACCAACAAGGAACGACAUCUCCAUGUUCCAACAAGGAACAAACUUCAAUCUUCACCUGCAACUAACAACGCUAUAAGAGGGGCUGAGCAAAGCGGUAACAUAGCCAAUCAACGGUUUGCUAGGACAUUGGUGGGUUAGAGGCUGAACAUGGCAAUUUGGGAGGCUGACAAGCAAGUGGUAGGCAUCGUAGCAAUGGCAUAGCAAAAGAGCGAGCAUCUAGCAAAGCAAAGAUAGAAGUGAUUUCGAGGGUAUGAUCAUCUUGCCUGAAAUCCCGCAAGGAAGAAGAACGAGUCCAUGAAGAAGACAAACAGACGAAGUCGAACGGAUCCUCACAAACUCGACGUUACCGGAUCCAACCCGAAGAAGCAAACACCGGAAAAGAAGCACACAACAUAGUAAACAACCACCACAUAGACAUGGCAUGAUGCGCAAACAAGAAUGAUGCAUGGCCGGUUUAAAGAGGCAUGGCAUGGCAAAAUGCACAAGCAAUCCUACAAAUUAAGUGGAGCUCAAUAUACAACGGGUUGCAUAUUGACGAAACACCACGUCAAUUAUUUAGUUCUCUCUCGUUUAUGUACCCAUCAAUAUUAAAUGUUGAUUAACAUGGCAAGAGGUGAAGCACAACAAAACUACCUAUCUAAGCAAGUUUAAAUGAGGCCGGAAGCAACGAACAACAAUUCCGGAAAAUCCUCAUAUGCAUAAUUAAGGUUUGGUACUGUUCUGCCCUAAACACAAUUUUAGAUUUGUUUAACAUGCAAAACAAUGCCACCAUGUUAAACUAGGCAAAAUUCUACCCCAUUUACAUAUAAAGUUUGUUAAAUUCGGAGUUACGGUUAUUUAGUUAUGAAAUAAAUCAUUUUAGCAUGGCAUAGGAGUAAAUUUAACCAAACAACAUUUUAAACAUUUUAACAUGGCAAGAAAUUGGCAUAUUAUUAAUCUACACAUAAUUUUAAGCAAGUUUCAUAUAUAAAUCAUUUUAAUCCGAUGCACGAAUUAUGAGUUAUUAUAUGCAUGAACAUGAGGGUCUUUUCUGUAAAACUGCUCUCCUCUGGAAAAAAACGCUGAAAGGAAAAAAAACAGAAGCAAGCCAAAAUUGCUGGGCCCAAGGUGCACAGCAGAGGGGGCGGCUCACCCAUGGGCCGUGGCCCGGCUCGGUGGAGGGGAUUGGGCCUGCUGGAUUUCGGAUGGGCCUUGAGCGCUGGAAGGCCUGCAGGCGAUGCGGCAGCCCACACGGAAGGGAGACACAUCAACAGCCUGGACGAGCGCUCUGCUCGACUGAACGAAGCAGACAACAGCGGGGGCAUGAGGUUCAGAGUAGCAACAUCGGCGGAGACGAGCCCUGGGAUGCUGGCGAGGCGGCCGUCCGGGCGGGAAGACGAGCGCGGGGCCGAGCGCUGCAACGGGGUACUCCUCUCCCGUGCGGCUCGGGCGUGACGGGGUCAGGCGGUCGAGGAAGCAGGGCCGCGUCCGAGUGGCCUGAAGGUCGAGGAAUCAGUUUGGUACGGGCAUCCAUGGCGUUAGGUGUAGGCGCAGGAGGAGUUCAUGCUGGAGGCGGCCAUGGCGUUCGGGGAUGGAACUUGCUUCGUUGUGCGGCGGCACCGAUGGUCACCGCCGAGGUCGAGGCGGGGCACGCUCAGGCGGACGGGCGUUGGGGCUCCGCUCGUUGCGGCCUGGCUCCGGGCGCUGCUGACUCGGGAAGGAGGAGCUCGGCUCCUGGCUUGCGGACGACGACGGGAGGCGGCAUGGUAGCAGAUCAACGGCGACUGGUCUCAAAGAAGCAGGGCGAUGGCCAUGGUGUCGGGACAGAACUCCUGUUGCACGAAUAGACAGAGAGAGAGAUGAGACUUUGAGAGAGAGAAAAAGGAACAGGGGGAGGAGGAGAAAUAAAAGGGGCACACCGGAGGAGCCCUGGUCGCUGGCGGCUUGAGAAGCUCGAGAUCGAGCCUCCUUCUCGAUCUGGGGGUGGGCAUUCGACUGGCUGCAUGCCCGAGCGCGAGGGGAGCAGGGAAGCGGCGGAGCUAAUUUUUGGGUGGAUCGAGGGAGGCCUCGGAUGCUGGUUGGUUGGGAGAGAGGAUCGGGAGGGAUCCCGAGGAUGAAGGAGGCUGGUCGGGUGGCUCUGGCAGGGGGAGAUCCCGAUGGGGAUUUGAGUGUGGCGGCGGCGGUGGCGAUGGGUGGAAGAGAAAGGGGGCCUAAAAUUUAGGGUUAGGGGGCUAUAUAUAGCAUGUAGGUAAUAGGAGGGGGAUCUGUAUCAUCGGAUCGGGAUCGGACGAUCGAGAAUAAAAGGUUAGGGGAGUCCAAAAAGAAAAAUGGAGAUAAUUAGGGGAUGUUUGGGGAUGAUCCGGAUCCAUCGGUCACAAUUGCUCGGGUCGGGUUCGGGACAACUUUCGGAUGCGCACGCGAGGGGUUCGAUGCACUGUGCAAAGAGGGUUUCGGACCGUGCGGUCGCAUUGGACAACUCCGGAAGCGAAGAGGGGAAGGAGGAUGGACUAGGUGGGCCGUGGCGAGACUGCAAGGGGGAGAAGAGAGAUAGAGGGCCCGGCAUCUGUUUCCGGAGACCGAAAACGUCCGACGAUUUGACCGACUAUAUUGCCGCUAUAGUUAAUCAUUGAGGCAUCAAACGAACUCCGAAUGCGAUGAAACUUGACAGGCGGUCUAUCUACACUAUAAUAAGACCACACGUCAACUCUCAUCCCAUUCCGAGCACAUUUUCCGGCCACUUAUAAAAUACUAUUUCGGACGUGCCGUGGGCGUGUGCAAGUGUGGUAGGGCUCAGAACGGACAACGGAGAGAACGAGGAGGCCGGGACGGAUGUAGGUUUUGAAAACAUGAUGAUGCAAUGCACAUGAUGACAUGAUGAAAUGCAACACGCAAGCGAACGACAUGGCAACGACAACGAAUAACUGGAAGACACCUGGCACAACGGUCUCGGGGAGUUACAACACUCCACCACUACGAGAGGAUCUCGUCCCGAGAUCUAGAAUGGCACCGGAGGGAAAACGGAAGAGAAAAAGAAGAGGUAAAACUAAGUUGCUUCUUUGACAAACGAGUGAAACCACAACCUUGAGAGGUUGAACAAAUUCGAGAAAAGAAUACCACGAAGGUGAACUAGGUCGAAAACACUCUGUUAGAAACGAGGGACAAAGAGCAUUGCGAAACCUUGAGGUUGAAGGGAAGAUAUAUAUAGAAAAACACUCCGGUUAAGGAAGGGGAUCAAGGAAAACCCAAAUUUCGGGCAGCACUCCAGUUGAAAAUAAAAGAAUUGAAUAAGGUCUUGAUAAGAUGAGAAGAUACUUGAUGAAAUCACAACACACUGCCUCCAUAACUAUUGAAUGGAUGGAACAAAAGGUAAGAAAUAUCUGGGACAGCACUCCGGUUGAGAAAGGAUGUAAAACUUGAUAAGAUGAGAGAACUGGCAUGAAAACACAACACUCCGGUUGAGAAAGGAUGCAAGACUUGAUAAGGCGAAAAGAACUUGAGCAGAAUGUCACCACACUCCGGUUAAACAAAAUAGAGAAGGAAAAAGACUGAUAUAAUUUGGACAGCACUUUGACUGUAAAUGGAAGAAAUUGAACAUGAUCUUGACAAACCGAGAUGAGGAGUGAAAAGAGCAACAUCACUAGACCUCCGGGAGAAAGAAUAGAAGUUGGAUCUUGGACAAGGAAAGAAUUGAGAGGAAAAGACAUCUUCUACCACAAUAGAAUUUGAAAAGCAUCUUAAAGAGAAGGUUCGCAUGGAGUUGUUGGAAACCAACAACGAAAAGAAUAAGCUUGAUAUGGUCUUAUGGAAUACAUCUCAAAUUAUGAGGUGACAACCUGCCACUCACGGGAAAAAGAAUUGGAUUGAUAAGAACAAGGAGACGAGAAACUUAUUUCACUGGGAGGAUAAUUGAAGAACUUGGGUCAUUUAUAAACACCAUAGAUAGCAACAAUCCUUAGGGAAGUCUUUAGGUGAAAUAUAACCCAAGAUAGCUCCAAUGACGAGAUUGAUGGAUUUAAAAUAUCCCAAUCUUGACAACAUGUGAAUCAUGAAAACAAGAACUGAAAUUAUCAAGAAUGACAUAAUACCACCUCCAAUGAUACGGAAGAAAGAAAUAAUUGCACUCCGGAUUACAAUAUGAAGAAAGCUUGAGCUCCUUUGAAAAGAAUCGCAAUGAACACUUCGAGAAGGAAUUAAAUCCUUGAAGAACCAUCAUGUAGAACCUCCAUGAAGAACUCCGGUAAUAAAAGAAUGAUCAAACGAAAAGAAAGAUGAGAAGAGUAAGGUUGAGCCUUGCAAUGAUUAGAUGGAUCUUCGUGAUGAAAUAAAUUGGGAGAACUUGGCACUCCGGGAAAGAAAAGAUAAGAUGAACAAUUGAGAUCAAGAAUCUUGAUGAACCUCCGUAAUAAGGAAUUAAUCACUUAAAUGAACAAGAAUAAGAAUUAUGUUAUGAUUAUCCUUCAACAAUUUAAUUGCUGACAAACAAUGGAUUUGACAUACUACUUAUUCUUGUAGAAAGGAUUAAGAUAGAUAUUGUACAAACUUGAGAAAGGUCUUCAACGAACCACCGGAAGGAUUCAAAACGAUUGAAGUAAAGAUAAAGAAAACACCGGGAGGAAUUAGCAAAUUAACGAAGAUGCUUGGGAGAAUUUAGAUAUAUGAGAACGAAGAGAUGAUGAGCUGAUUAGAGAACACUUGAACAAUGCACCGGUAAGAUUAGGAGGAUGAGUGCUGAAAGCUAGAAUGAAUAAUCCCGAAAUGAUGGCCUUCAGAGAAUCAAACUGAAAAGGCUCUUGAAUUGCUCCGGAUGGAUAAAAAGGAUUCUCACAAUCAAACAAUUAUGAGAGGAUGGCAGAGAAUGGGGUAAGAUUAAAGAGAAACUCUUCUUCGGUCUUCAAAAUCCAAGAAUGAUGACGAGAAACACCACCAAGAAUUAUUUAGACACUCCGGAAGAAUCAAAACGAAGAGGUUGAUCCAAUGAUGAAAAGAAUUUGAAAGAUCUUGAAGAAAUACAUAUGACUGAUGACAAUCCAUUCUUACGUCAACUUUGAAAAGCAUUUGGGAGUAACUCCGGAAAGAAUGGAAGAGUCAGGUAAGAUCCUAGGAAAGACCUGUGGGUUAGGGCCCACUCAAAAGAAACACCGCUCAAAUGAUUUAGAGGAGAGGUUGCACCGGUUGAAUUAAAUGACUUGAAUGAGAUAACAACCUCGAAAGAUCUUGAAUGAAUGCAGAGUGGAAACACGAAUCUUGGAGAUAUCUUGAGCACUCCGGAACAAUAGAAUAGCAAGCGGGGAAUGAUUAUGAAUUGCACCAGCAUGAGAAAACAUUGAAACGAGGAAAGGAUAUUAUCAACAAAGCUUGACUUGGUUCCACCGGAGAAGAAAGGAACGAAAGAUGAUGAACUUGAAGCUCCGUUAGAAUCUUCAUGAGAAUAACCGGAUAAGAAGAUUGACGGAAAAGGAUUGGAGAGGCUUUCCAUCAAUAAAAUGGAUACUUGAAUAAGAAAUCUGGGUCCUCGAAGAAAACAGGGAGGGAGGGUAGGAAAACAAAGACAACUUGGGAUGGAUGAAACAAACACCGUUGAGAAGAAAUGAUAAUUGAUCUUGCGGGAGUUGAAAUGAUCGGAUCCACUUGAAGAGAAACACGCCGGUUUAAAAGAAAUUGGCAUGACAAUCUCGAUUAACCAGAAGGAUUAGUAUUCACAUCAGAGUAUGAGAACACCAUUUGGGGAAGGUAUGGAAUCAACACUUGACAUUGAAGCAACUCGAAUACCACAACUCAAAACAAAAACAAAAGGAUUGGCUUGCAAAAUAAGCCAGAACAAACAUAUGAUAGAGAUUUCGUCCGAAGUUUUCGUGGUGGGACCUACACGGGCUCGAUCGUACAGCACCAUCAUGUACAAGGCAGUGCACAUGACAUACGAAGCGUCCCCGAGUCAGCAUAGCCAAGGACUCUUUAAGACACAACGAGACCACUGUAAAAUCGACCGUGAAUAGGCGAACCACUAGACGUCGAACCCCAAUUUCAUAGCAUACAUCUGUCGAAAAGAUAUCCUAAGAGCUACUUGAAUUCCCACCUAUGAAACUCCCGAAAUUUUCCGGUUAUGCAAUCAGGUGUUGGGGAUACAGGGGAAGCAUAAUAUCUCACCCAAACUAGCAAUUCCUACAUCCAGCUGUAUCCAUCCUUCAACACAUAACCAAGAAACCUUCGGAAAUCAUCUACCUCAACCUUCGAAAAGCAUCCGUUAUACAAGUUAUGGCGAUACUCCCGAACUCCCGCCCCAGUACUGGGUGGCGUCGAGGUUAUCUCACCAACGAACUGCAUAAAAGAGAUUUUCGAUGUCGGCGUACUAAACUCAGGUAUUCCAGAACUGCAACGAUAAAAUUAUGAUGACAACACCUCAGAGCUCAACUCCCCGGGACACUUCCACUAAACCCCUGACAGGAGGCACCAAGACAAUGUUCUCAUCAUAAAACCAUCGGAACGAUUCCAAGAUACCCGCAUGAUCCUAAAGAAAAUUUAGUGAAAUUUGAGAAGAGAAGAGUCAAAACUCUACGUCAGGAUGCCUUACCAGAGCGAAGAAGGGACUGGGAAGUAAAAAGAAUUCCUAAACUCUCCGAUAUAUAAUUCCUAAAUGACUCAAAACAUUUUUCUAGACACAACUCGACUGCUAAAAACGAUCAAUCAGUGGGGGCUCCUAAGGUCGGGGAAGGCUCUAAUACCAACUUGUAACACCCUCGAUGUGACUAUAUCUCCCACGUGUCGAGGCACGACUUAGAGGCAUAAUCGCAUUGAAGGCAUAUGCCACAAGUGAGGUAAUCUUCACACAACCCAUGUAAUAUAAUAAGGGAAAGAGAUACAUAGUUGGCUUACAAUCGCCACUUCACAUAAUUACAUGAAUAAAUCAUUACAUCAACCAAAUACACUCAUGGUCCGACUACGGAACCAAAAUAAAAGAAGAACCCCAAAUGCGACAAAGGUCCCCGAUCGACCCCAACUGGGCUCCACUACUGAUCAACUAGAACGAAACAACAAAAAUAAACAAGGUCUUCAACGAGCUCCUCCUGAGCUGGGUUGCGUCAUCUGCACGGACUCAUCG
rnacentral:lncRNA from 1 species